rnacentral:lncRNA from 1 species
UGCUAUUUCUCUCUAAAUUGCAUCAAAGAAAAUAGAGAGAGAGAGAGCAGAUGGAUCCUAUCCCCUAUAACGAACACUCAUUCCUAUCUAUUGAUAGAAAAAGAAAGAUCUUUGUCACAGACUUUUUCUUUGUUCUUUUUUUAGAUUGGAGGAAUUCCUCAUAUCCAAGGCAGCUCCCCACAAACACCCCACCCAUAUGACUAUGCCCCCUUUUGAAUCGACAGUAGAUUGGGCUUCAUAGCUACUUUCAUUCUAAAGACGAAUAUUAGUCAAUAGGCAGGCUUCUUUCAGUAGCAAACAUAUUCAUUUUCACCGGGCUCCGCGCACCUUUGAUACUUCUGGAGGGCAAGCAGUUUUAUAGUGACUUCUUUCUUAGGGUAGGGCGACGAAUACUUCCAAUUCCAGAAAGGUCAUUGGGUCGCCUUUGGAAGCUAAAGCAAAAUUUGUAGAAAGCCGAGAGAAAAAGCGAAAGCUUGCUCGAAACGGCCUAUACCCUAACCCUCGGAAGCGAAGACGCAAAGCGUCACUUUUUUCAAAAGGAAGGAGUUUUUCUGACUGAAUCCAUCCUGCAAACAGUCAAAUCUAAACCUUGUCGCCCUUCUUUCCUCGUGGGCAGGAAGCACACCAGCAGCGUGCGUUGCGUGAUUCCACUGUGUUUUUUGCACUUGACUGGGUGGACAGUUGACAGGAAGAUAACUUCGAUUCGCCCGGCCAGCAGGCGGGCGGCGUGCUUAUCUUGUGUGACAACACUACAGAGCGAGUAGCUCUUCUAGUCCAAAUAAAACAGGAACUCCCUUGACUACAAGUACAACACAUGACAUAGAUUCCCUCACAUCUUCAAAAAUGUCAGCUACAGGAUUCGAACUCACGACCUUCAUUCCACCUACGAGCUCGCUAACCACUGGAGCUAAUGGCCUUGAACGAUUUGUAACGGCCUGAAAUACCUAAUAAAACUGGCGCAGCGCUAUUUGUUGCAGAUAACCAUGUAUUGUAUCGCUUAAAUUUUUUGGAAAACAAAUCGUGAUAAGAAAAGGUUCAUGGAUUUGGAAAAGGUGUCAUUUUUGAAGAAAAGUUCAUCGAUUUUGAAAAAAAGUUCAUUCAAAUUGAAAAAAAAUUGUUCAUGGAUUAUAAAAAAAAUUGAAAAAUUGAAAAAAGUUCAUCAGUUUGAAAAAAAGUUCAUCAAAUUUAGAAAAAGUUUAUUAAAUUUGAAAAAAAGUUCAUCAAAUCUGAAAAAUGUUCAUCAAAUUUGAAAAAAAAAAUAUUAAAUCUGAAAAAAGUUCAUCAAAUUUGAAAAAAAGUUCAGUGAAUUUUUUUAAAAAGUUCAUCGAAUAUGAAAAAAGUUCAUUGAAUUUGGAAAAAAUAGUUCAUUAAAUAUGAAAAAAGUUCAUCGAAUCUGAAAAAGUUCAGCGAAUUUGAAAAAAAAGUUCAUCAAUAUGAAGAAAAAGUUCACGAAUUAUAAACAAAUCAUUGAGCCAGGAAGAAGAAAAGAAAAAAAAAGAAAAACAUAAACGGAAAAAGAAAAAAGGAAAAAAGGAAAGUUAAACGAAGAAAAGAUAUAAGAGGAUGCUAGUAACAACGUUGGGUAUGGUGGCGUGAUGGUUUCUGUCGGGUAGCUCGAAGUAGAGGUGCCUAGUUCGAUCCCCUGCGGGAACGCUCUUUUUUCCUGUCAAGAUAUAGAAAGGGAACAGGGUGAGAUGGGCGGGCCCAGCUUGGUUGCUGCAGGCGCUCGUGUUUGCAAAAUACACAUAAACGGGCGCCAAAUAGGAUUUGCCCGGUUCGCUCGCUAGCUGAAGAAAAACACACUACGUCGCUGGGGUUUUUUCGGGUUGUGUUGUGGUGCUGGUUCAGGAAAAAGUCUGGCCUCCGUUUUUUACAUGUUUCAGUAUGUUUAUGAAACAAAUUCAUAUAUUAUUAAAAAAAGAUCAUCGAUUUUGAUCAAGAAUGUUCACAAAUCUGAAAAAGUUCAUCAAUUUUGAUAAAGUACAUCGGAUUUAAAAAAGUUCAACGGAUUAAAAAAAGUUCAUCGGAGUGAAAAUAGUUCAUUGGAUUUUAAAAAAAGUUCAUCGAAUCUAAAAAAAAGUUCAUUGGAUUUGAAAAAAAGGUUGAUCGAAUUGAAAACAUUUAUCAGAUUUUAGAAAAAAUGUUCAUUGAAUUGAAAAAAGUUCAUUGGAUUUGAAAACAAAUCAUUGAAUUGGAAAAAGUUCAUCGAUUUUUAAAAUAAAUUCAUCAAAAUGGUAAAAAGUUCAUUCAUUUUCAAGAAAACAUCGAGUUUGAAAAAAAGUUCAUCAAAAUUGAAAAAAUUCUUUGAAAUUGAAAAAAAAUCAUCGAUUUAAAUAAAAAUUUCACGAAUUAGGUAAAAAAAUAUCGUCUGUUUGUAAACAUUUCUCGCAUUUUAAGAAAACAAGAAAACAUGAAACAAAAAAGAAAGGGAAAAACACAGAAAAAAUAGAGGGCAUUUUCUGUAUGUAUAAAAAGAUGGAAAUGAGGUUUGUGAUCACGAGUUAGUGCGGUGGCAUGGUGGUUCUUGGAGUUAGCUAACCCCAGAGAGAUCUGUAGUUCGAUUCCUUUCUGCCCACAAUUUCCUUUCUAUCCUAUUUUGAGUUCCAAAACACGGAGGGAAAUGGUAGUGCGCCAAGCCCAGCUAGCACCACUGCAGGCGCCAGUUUGUGGAAACAGCUAUAACCAGCGCGUGCAGCUCCAAGCGAUUUUUUGUUUUUGUUUUGUUCGCUCUUGUUUUUCAAUUUUUUUUUGGUUUCUCGUAAGGCAAUAGUAUUUUUUAAUGCGAAAAAUAUGUAAUUAUAUGAAUAUUUUGAGAACUUGGUUACAUUUUCAUUACUAAAUAAAUAUUUAUAAAACUAAUAUAUGCAUGACCGCUUUAAAAAAACCAUAAGCAUUGCAUGAACAUUUUUCUGCAAUUGCAUUAGUUCUUUAAAUGUUUAUCAUGUGUUUGAAAAAGUUCAUUGUAUAUUUAUAAAAUGUUCAUAAGUUCUGAAACAUGUUAUGAAGAACUUUAAACGAAAAAAACAUGAAUUAAACAUACGUUCACUGUGUAUUUAUCUGAGCAAAUUUUUAUUAAAAAAUUAUUUCUGAAAAAUAGAUUGGCAUUUUAAGAAAAAUAUUUACCAUGUAUUAAAAAAAUGUAUUCAUUAUGAAUUGAAUAUUUUUUCCUUGUUUAAAAGUGUCCAAGAUGUAUUUUACAAAAUGUUCACCACAUGUGAGAAAAUGCUCAUGAGUUAUAAAAUGUGUGCGCCCUUUAAAAAUGUUCAUGAAUUACAUAAACAUUGUCGAAAUUGAAAAAAAAUUGUGCAAAUGUUCAUGAAGUUAAGAUCAUGAAAUAAAAAGUAUUAAUGCAUUUUAAAAGCAUGGUCAAAAUUUUACAAUCAUUCUUGAAAUAAAAAUGUUUAAGGAAAGAGAAAAAAACUAAAAAUAGGGGAAUUUUAAAGUUGCUAUAAAAAAAUUGUAAAACAUCCAAGAAUGAUAAUAUAACAGUAUGGAACAAUAAAAUAUUAUAGAUACAUUGGAGACGUAUCAAUCAGUGCGAAAAGGCUAGAGGCCUACUCGGAUCUGUCAGAUUCAGGACUCCAUAGACCCAAAAAGGUUCGAACUCUCGGGCAUGUGCGAAGAUCUCAACCUCUAGAGCCUCAAACUCGUCGCCCUACAUCCUAGCCUUGCCGGUUACACACUCAAGCGGGGAAGAAGAUGAACAUGGCAGUUUACCCAGGUUCGGGCCACCUUGCGGUGUAAAACCUACUCAUGCUUUAUGGUGGAUUGGCCUCACGAGGAGGUUUGAGGAUGAACUAGUAUAGUGGAUGAGUUGCCUACCGAGGGCUCGGGGGUGAGAAUGAGUCGACCCUUUCUAUGAUAGUGACUAACCUAUAUUUGUAGUGGCCUUGGUCCUCUUCCCCAAAACUUAGGCGGGAAGGGAUUCCACAACGGACAAUUUAAAAGGGGACAAGAGGUACAUCUAAUCCUGACAAAAGGCAGUCUUCUCCCGCAAAGCUUCUGGUCGUGACGCAGCAGUGGGCUCGGCGAUGACUGUUGGGGAAUGUAGCAUGCAAUUUUUUAGAAAAUCAUACGCUCACGCAAGAUCUAUUUAGGAGAUGCAUAGCAACGAGAGGGGGAGAGUGUGUCCACGUACCCUCGUAGACCGAAAGCAGAAACGUUUGACAACGCGGUUGAUGUAGUCGAACUUCUUCUCGUUCCGACCAAUCAAACACCAAACGUACAACACCUCAGAGUUUUGCACACGUUUGGCUUGAUGACGUUACUCGAACUCUUGAUCCAGCAAAGUGUCAAGGGAGAGUUCCGUCAGCACGACGGCGUGGUGACAGCGAUGGUGAAGUAAUCCGCGCAGGGCUUCGCCUAAGCACUACGUGAAUAUGAUCGGAGGUGUAAACUAUGGAGGGGGCGCCGCACACGGCUAACAACUAUUGAUGUGUGUUCUAGCGAUGCUCCCCUCAUAUAUAUAGGUUGGAAGGGAGGAGAGGCAGCCAAGGGGGCGCCCCAAGUAGCAGGAAUCCUACUUGGGCGCCUCCCAAUUCGGCCUCCCCCUUCCAUAUUCAUCGGGAGGGGGAAGGAAGGAGGAGGGAGGGGGGAGGAAGGGGAGGCCAAAUCCCUCCCCUUCCUUUCUCCCUGUAACGCCCACGAUGCGGCUAUAUCUCCCACGUGUCGAAGCACGACUUAGAGGCAUAACCGCAUUGUAAGCAAUGUCGCAAGAGAGGUAAUCUUCACACAACUCAUGUAAUGAAUAAGGAAAAGAGGUACAUAGUUGGCUUACACUCGCCACGUCACACAAUACAUGAGUAAAGCAUUACAUCAAACAGAUACAAUCAAGAUCCGACUACGGAACCAAAAUAAAAGAAUACUACCCCUAAUGCUACAGAUCCCCGAUCGCCCCGACUGGGCUCCACUACUGACCAACUGGAAACGGAAACAACAUAACGAACACGGUCUUCAACGAGCUCCUCCUUGAGCGCGGUUGCGUCACCUGCACGGUUUCAUCGGCACCUGCAAACUGGUUUUGGAAGUAAUCUGUGAGUCACGGGGACUCAGCAAUCUCACACCCUCGCGAUCAAGACUAUUUAAGCUUAUGGGUAGGUAAAAGGUAUGUGAGGUGGAGCUGCAGCAAGCACUAGCAUAUAUGGUGGCUAACAUACGCAAAAGAGAGCGAGAAGAGAAGGCAAAGCACGUUCGAGAAUCUAUGAUCAAGAAGUGAUCCAAGACUACUUACGUUCAAGCAUAACUCCAACACUGUGUUCACUUCCCGGACUCCGCCGAGAAGAGACCAUCACGGCUACACACGCGGUUGAUCCAUUUUAAUUAAGUUAAGUUUCAGAUUUUCUACAACCGGACAUUAACAAAUUCCCAUCUGCCCAUAACCGCGGGCACGGCUUUCGAAAGUUCAUAACCCUGUAGGGGUGUCCCAACUUAGCCCAUCACAAGCUCUCACGGUCAACGAAGGAUAUUCCUGUUGGGGAACGUAGUAAUUUCAAAAAAAUUCCUACGCACACGCAAGAUCAUGGUGAUGCAUAGCAACGAGAGGGGAGAGUGUGAUCUAUGUACCCUUGUAGACCGACAGCGGAAGCGUUAGCACAACGCGGUUGAUGUAGUCGUACGUCUUCACGGCCCGACCGAUCAAGCACCGAAACUACGGCACCUCCGAGUUCUAGCACACGUUCAGCUUGAUGAUGAUCCCCGGACUCUGAUCCAGCAAAGUGUCGGGGAAGAGUUCCGUCAGCACGACAGCGUGGUGACGAUCUUGAUGUACUACCAUCGCAGGGCUUCGCCUAAGCACCGCUACAAUAUUAUCGAGGACUAUGGUGGAAGGGGGCACCGCACACGGCUAAGAAUAUGAUCACGUGGAUCAACUUGUGUGUCUAGGGGUGCUCCCUGCCUCCGUAUAUAAAGGAUCAAAGGGGGGGUGCGGCAGGCCAGGAGGAGGGCGCGCCAGGAGGAGUCCUACUCCCACCGGAAGUAGGAUUCCCCCCCCCUUCCUAGUUGGAAUAGGAUUCGGGAGGGGGAAAGAGGAGAGAAAGAAGGAAAGGGGAGGGGCGCCGCCCCCUCUCCUUGUCCUAUUCGGACUAGGGGAGAGGGGUGCGCGGCCCAGCCCUGGCCACCUCUCCUCUCUUCCACUAAAGCCCACUAAGGCCCAUAUACCUCCCGGGGGGUUCCGGUAACCUCCCGGUACUCCGAAAAAAUCCCGAUUUCACCCGGAACACUUCCGAUAUCCAAAUAUAGGCUUCCAAUAUAUCAAUCUUUAUGUCUCGACCAUUUCGAGACUCCUCGUCAUGUUCGUGAUCACAUCCGGGACUCCGAAAAAACUUCGGUACAUCAAAAUGUAUAAACUCAUAAUAUAACUGUCAUCGAAACCUUAAGCGUGCGGACCCUACGGGUUUGAGAACAAUGUAGACAUGACCGAGACACGUCUCCGGUCAAUAACCAAUAGUGGAACCUGGAUGCUCAUAUUGGCUCCUACAUAUUCUACGAAGAUCUUUUAUCGGUCAGACCGCAUAACAACAUACGUUGUUCCCUUUGUCAUCGGUAUGUUACUUGCCCGAGAUUCGAUCGUCGGUAUCUCAAUACCUAGUUCAAUAUCGUUACCGGCAAGUCUCUUUACUUGUUCCGUAAUACAUCAUCUCACAACUAACUCAUUAGUUGCAAUGCUUGCAAGGCUUAUGUGAUGUGCAUUACCGAGAGGGCCCAGAGAUACCUCUCCGACAAUCGGAGUGACAAAUCCUAAUCUUGAAAUACGCCAACCCAACAUGUACCUUUGGAGACACCUGUAGAGCUCCUUUAUAAUCAUCCAGUUACGUUGUGACAUUUGGUAGCACACAAAGUGUUCCUCCGGCAAACGGGAGUUGCAUAAUCUCAUAGUCAUAGGAACAUGUAUAAGUCAUGAAGAAAGCAAUAGCAACAUACUAAACGAUCGGGUGCUAAGCUAAUGGAAUGGGUCAUGUCAAUCAGAUCAUUCACCUAAUGAUGUGAUCCCGUUAAUCAAAUAACAACUCUUUGUCCAUGGUUAGGAAACAUAACCAUCUUUGAUUAACGAGCUAGUCAAGUAGAGGCAUACUAGUGACACUCUGUUUGUCUAUGUAUUCACACAUGUAUUAUGUUUCUGUUUAAUACAAUUCUAGCAUGAAUAAUAAACAUUUAUCAUGAUAUAAGGAAAUAAAUAAUAACUUUAUUAUUGCCUCUAGGGAAUAUUUCCUUCAGUCUCCCACUUGCACUAGAGUCAAUAAUCUAGAUUACACAGUAAUGAUUCUAACACCCAUGGAGCCUUGGUGCUGAUCAUGUUUUGCUCGUGGAAGAGGCUUAGUCAACGGGUCUGCUACAUUCAGAUCUGUAUGUAUCUUGCAAAUCUCUAUGUCUCCCACCUGGACUAGAUCCCGAAUGGAAUUGAAGCGUCUCUUUAUGUGCUUGGUUCUCUUGUGAAAUCUGGAUUCCUUUGCCAAGGCAAUUGCACCAGUAUUGUCACAACAGAUUUUCAUUAGACCCGAUGCACUAGGUAUGACACCUAGAUCGGAUAUGAACUCCUUGAUCCAGACUCCUUCAUUUGCUGCUUCCGAAGCAGCUAUGUAUUCCGCUUCACACGUAGAUCCCGCCACGACGCUUUGUUUAGAACUGCACCAACUGACAGCUCCACCGUUUAAUGUAAACACGUAUCCGGUUUGCGAUUUAGAAUCGUCUGGAUCAGUGUCAAAGCUCGCAUCAACGUAACCAUUUACGAUGAGCUCUUUGUCACCUCCAUAAAUGAGAAACAUAUCCUUAGUCCUUUUCAGGUAUUUCAGGAUGUUCUUGACCGCUGUCCAGUGAUCCACUCCUGGAUUACUUUGGUACCUCCCUGCUAGACUUAUAGCAAGGCACACAUCAGGUCUAGUACAUAGCAAUGCAUACAUGAUAGAGCCUAUGGCUGAAGCAUAGGGAACAUCUUUCAUUUUCUCUCUAUCUUCUGCAGUGGUCGGGCAUUGAGUCUUACUCAACUUCACACCUUGUAACACAGGCAAGAACCCUUUCUUUGCUUGAUCCAUUUUGAACUUCUUCAAAACUUUGUCAAGGUAUGUGUUUUGUGAAAGUCCAAUUAAGCGUCUUGAUCUAUCUCUAUAGAUCUUAAUGCCUAAUAUGUAAGCAGCUUCACCGAGGUCUUUCAUUGAAAAACUCUUAUUCAAGUAUCCCUUUAUGCUAUCCAGAAAUUCUAUAUCAUUUCCAAUUAGUAAUAUGUCAUCCACAUAUAAUAUCAGAAAUGCUAUAGAGCUCCCACUCACUUUCUUGUAAAUACAUGCUUCUCCAAAAGUCCGUAUAAAACCAAAUGCUUUGAUCACACUAUCAAAGCGUUUAUUCCAACUCCGAGAGGCUUGCACCAGUCCAUAAAUGGAUCGCUGGAGCUUGCACACUUUGUUAGCUCCCUUUGGAUCGACAAAACCUUCCGGCUGCAUCAUAUACAACUCUUCUUGCAGAAAUCCAUUCAGGAAUGCAGUUUUGACAUCCAUUUGCCAAAUUUCAUAAUCAUAAAAUGCGGCAAUUGCUAACAUGAUUCGGACAGACUUAAGCAUCGCUACGGGUGAGAAGGUCUCAUUGUAGUCAACCCCUUGAACUUGUCGAAAACCUUUUAUGACAAGUCGAGCUUUGUAGACAGUAAUAUUAUCGUCAGCAUCAGUCUUCUUCUUGAAGAUCCAUUUAUUCUCUAUUGCUUGCCGAUCAUUGGGCAAGUCAACCAAAGUCCAUACUUUGUUCUCAUACAUGGAUCCCAUCUCAGAUUUCAUGGCUUCAAGCCAUUUUGCGGAAUCUGGGCUCACCAUCGCUUCUUCAUAGUUCAUAGGUUCAUCAUGAUCUAGUAGCAUGACUUCCAGAACAGGAUUACCAUACCACUCUCGCGCGGAUCUUACUCUGGUUGAUCUACGAGGUUCAGUAGUAUCUUGUUCUGAAGUUUCAUGAUCAUUAUCAUUAUCUUCCUCACUAAUUGGUGUAGGUGUCACAGAAAUAGGUUUCUGUGAUGUACUACUUUCCAAUAAGGGAGCAGGUACAGUUACCUCGUCAAGUUCUACUUUCCUCCCACUCACUUCUUUCAAGAGAAACUCCUUCUCCAGAAAGUUUCCGAAUUUAGCAACAAAAGUCUUGCCUUCGGAUCUGUGAUAAAAGGUGUAUCCAAUAGUUUCCUUUGGAUAUCCUAUGAAGACACAUUUCUCCGAUUUGGGUUCGAGCUUAUCAGGUUGAAGCUUUUUCACAUAAGCAUCGCAGCCCCAAACUUUCAGAAACAACAACUUUGGUUUCUUGCCAAACCACAGUUCAUAAGGCGUCGUCUCAACGGAUUUUGAUGGUGCCCUAUUUAACGUGAAUGCGGCCGUCUCUAGAGUAUAUCCCCAAAACGAUAGCGGUAAAUCAGUAAUAGACAUCAUAGAUCGCACCAUAUCUAGUAAAGUACGAUUACGACGUUCGGACACACCAUUACGCUAUGGUGUUCCGGGUGGCGUGAGUUGCGAAACUAUUCCACAUUGUUUCAAAUGUACACCAAACUCGUAACUCAAAUAUUCUCCUCCACGAUCAGAUCAUAGGAAUUUUAUUUUCUUGUUACGAUGAUUUUCAACUUCACUCUAAAAUUCUUUGAAUUUUUCAAACGUUUCAGACUUGUGUUUCAUUAAGUAGAUAUACCCAUAUCUGCUUAAGUCAUCUGUGAAGGUGAGAAAAUAACGAUAUCCGCCACGAGCCUCAACAUUCAUCGGACCACAUACAUCUGUAUGUAUGAUUUCCAACAAAACUGUUGCUCUCUCCAUAGUAUCGGAGAAUGGUGUUUUUGUCAUCUUACCCAUAAGGCACGGUUCGCAAGUACCAAGUGAUUCAUAAUCAAGUGGUUCCAAAAGCCCAUCAGUAUGGAGUUUCUUCAUGCGCUUUAUACCGAUAUGACCCAAACGGCAGUGCCACAAAUAAGUUGCACUAUCAUUAUCAACUCUGCAUCUUUUGGCUUCAACACUAUAAAUAUGUGUGUCACUACUAUCGAGAUUUAAUAUGAAUAGACCACUCCUUAAGGGUGCGUGACCAUAAAAGAUAUUACUCAUGUAAAUAUAACAACCAUUAUUCUCUGAUUUAAAUGAAUAACCGUCUCGCAUCAAACAAGAUCCAGAUAUAAUGUUCAUGCUUAACGCUGGCACCAAAUAACAAUUAUUUAGGUCUAAUACUAAUCCCGAAGGUAGAUGUAGAGGUAGCGUGCCGACUGCGAUCACAUCAACUUUGGAACCAUUUCCCACGCGCAUCGUCACCUCGUCCUUAGCCAAUCUUCGCUUAAUCCGUAGUCCCUGUUUCGAGUUGCAAAUAUUAGCAACAGAACCAGUAUCAAAUACCCAGGUGCUACUGCGAGCAUUAGUAAGGUACACAUCAAUAACAUGUAUAUCACAUAUACCUUUGUUCACCUUGCCAUCCUUCUUAUCCGCCAAAUACUUGGGGCAGUUCCGCUUCCAGUGACCAGUCUGCUUGCAGUAGAAGCACUCAGUUUCAGGCUUAGGUCCAGGUUUGGGUUUCUUCUCUUGAGUAGCAACUUGCUUGCUAUUCUUUUUGAAGUUCCCCUUCUUCUUCCCUUUGCCCUUUUUCUUGAAACUAGUGGUCUUGCUGACCAUCAACACUUGAUGCUCCUUCUUGAUUUCUACCUCUGCAGCUUUCAGCAUUGCGAAGAGCUCGGGAAUAGUCUUAUUCAUCCCUUGCAUAUUAUAGUUCAUCACGAAGCUCUUGUAGCUUGGUGGCAGUGAUUGGAGAAUUCUGUCAAUGACGCAAUCAUCUGGAAGAUUAACUCCCAUUUGAAUCAAGUGAUUAUUAUACCCAGACAUUUUGAGUAUAUGCUCACUGACAGAACUGUUCUCCUCCAUCUUGCAGCUAUAGAACUUAUUGGAGACUUCAUAUCUCUCAAUCCGGGCAUUUGCUUGAAAUAUUAACUUCAACUCCUGGAACAUCUCAUAUGCUCCAUAACGUUCAAAACGUUGUUGAAGUCCCGAUUCUAAGCUGUAAAGCAUGGCACACUGAACUAUCGAGUAGUCAUCAGCUUUGCUCUGCCAGAUGUUCAUAACAUCUGGUGUUGCUCCAGCAGCAGGCCUGGCACCCAGCGGUGCUUCCAGGACAUAAUUCUUCUGUGCAGCAAUGAGGAUAAUCCUCAAGUUACGGACCCAGUCCGUGUAAUUGCUACCAUCAUCUUUCAACUUUGCUUUCUCAAGGAACGCAUUAAAAUUCAACGGAACAACAGCACGGGCCAUCUAUCUACAAUCAAACAUAAAUAAUCAAGAUACUAUUAGGUACUAAGUUCAUGAUAAAUUUAGGUUCAAUUAAUCAUAUUACUUAAAGAACUCCCACUUAGAUAGACAUCCCUCUAAGCCUCUAAGUGAUUACGUGAUCCAAAUCAACUAAACCAUGUCCGAUCAUCACGUGAGAUGGAGUAGUUUCAUUGGUGAACAUCACUAUGUUGAUCAUAUCUACUAUAUGAUUCACGCUCGACCUUUCGAUCUCCGUGUUCCGAGGCCAUAUCUGUAUAUGCUUGGCUCGUCAAGUAUAACCUGAGUAUUCCGCGUGUGCAACUGUUUUGCACCCGUUGUAUUUGAACGUAGAGCCUAUCACACCCGAUCAUCACGUGGUGUCUCAGCACGAAGAACUUUCGCAAUGGUGCAUACUCAGGGAGAACACUUCUUGAUAAUUAGUGAGAGAUCAUCUUAUAAUGCUACCGUCAAUCAAAGCAAGAUAAGAUGCAUAAAAGAUAAACAUCACAUGCAAUCAAUAUAAGUGAUAUGAUAUGGCCAUCAUCAUCUUGUGCUUGUGAUCUCCAUCCUCGAAGCACCAUCGUGAUCACCAUCGUCACCGGCGCGACACCUUGAUCUCCAUCGUAGCAUCGUUGUCGUCUCGCCAAUCUUAUGCUUCCACGACUAUCGCUACCGCUUAGUGAUAAAGUAAAGCAUUACAGCGCAAUUGCAUUGCAUACAAUAAAGCGACAACCAUAUGGCUCCUGCCAGUUGCUGAUAACUCGGUUACAAAACAUGAUCAUCUCAUACAAUAAAAUUUAGCAUCAUGUCUUGACCAUAUCACAUCACAACAUGCCCUGCAAAAACAAGUUAGACGUCCUCUACUUUGUUGUUGCAAGUUUUACGUGGCUGCUACGGGCUUAAGCAAGAACCAAUCUUACCUACGCAUCAAAACCAUAAUGAUAGUUUGUCAAGUUGGUGCUGUUUUAACCUUCGCAAGGACCGGGCGUAGCCACACUCGGUUCAACUAAAGUUGGAGAAACUGUCACCCGCUAGCCACCUUUGUGCAAAGCACGUCGGGAGAACCGGUCUCGCGUAAGCGUAUGCGUAAUGUCGGUCCGGGCCGCUUCGUCCAACAAUACCGCCGAACCAAAGUAUGACAUGCUGGUAAGCAGUAUGGCUUAUAUCGCCCACAACUCACUUGUGUUCUACUCGUGCAUAUAGCAUCAACACAUAAAACCUAGGCUCGGAUGCCACUGUUGGGGAACGUAGUAAUUUCAAAAAAAUUCCAACGCACACGCAAGAUCAUGAUGAUGCAUAGCAAAGAGAGGGGAGAGUGUGAUCUACGUACCCUUGUAGACCGACAGCGGAAGCGUUAGCACAACGCGGUUGAUGUAGUCAUACGUCUUCACGGCCCGACCGAUCAAGCACCGAAACUACGGCACCUCCGAGUUCUAGCACACGUUCAGCUUGAUGAUGAUCCCCGGACUCCGAUCCAGCAAAUUGUCGGGGAAAAGUUCCGUCAGCACGACAGCGUGGUGACGAUCUUGAUGUACUACCGUCACAGGGCUUCGCCUAAGCACCGCUACAAUAUUAUCGAGGACUAUGGUGGAAGGGGGCACCGCACACGGCUAAGAAUAUGAUCACGUGGAACAACUUGUGUGUCUAGGGGUGCUCCCUGCCUCCGUAUAUAAAGGAUCAAAGGGGGGGUGGGUGCGGCCGGCCAGGAGGAGGGCGCGCCAGGAGGAGUCCUACUCCCACCGGGAGUAGGAUUCCCCCCCUUUCCUAGUUGGAAUAGGAUUCGGGAGGGGGGAAAGAGGAGAGAGAAGGAAAGGGGGGCGCCGCCCCCAUCUCCUUGUCCUAUUCGGACUAGGGGGGAGGGGCGCGCGGCCCAGCCCUGGCCACCUCUCCUCUCUUCCACUAAAGCCCACUAAGGCCCAUAUACCUCCCGGGGGGUUCCGGUAACCUCCCGGUACUCCGGAAAAAUCCCGAUUUCACCCGGAACACUUCCGAUAUCCAAAUAUAGGCUUCCAAUAUAUCAAUCUUUAUGUCUCGACCAUUUCGAGACUCCUCGUCAUGUCCGUGAUCACAUCCGAGACUCCGAACCAACUUCGGUACAUCAAAAUGUAUAAACUCAUAAUAUAAUUGUCAUCGAAACCUUAAGCGUGCGGACCCUACGGGUUCGAGAACAAUGUAGACAUGACCGAGACACGUCUCCGGUCAAUAACCAAUAGGGGAACCUGGAUGCUCAUAUUGGCUCCUACAUAUUCUACGAAGAUCUUUUAUCGGUCAGACCGCAUAACAACAUACGUUGUUCCCUUUGUCAUCGGUAUGUUACUUGCCCGACGUUCGAUCGUCGGUAUCUCAAUACCUAGUUCAAUCUCGUUACCGGCAAGUCUCUUUACUCGUUCCGUAAUACAUCAUCUCACAACUAACUCAUUAGUUGCAAUGCUUGCAAGGCUUAUGUGAUGUGCAUUACCGAGAGGGCCCAGAGAUACCUCUCCGACAAUCGGAGUGACAAAUCCUAAUCUCGAAAUACGCCAACCCAACAAGUACCUUUGGAGACACCUGUAGAGCUCCUUUAUAAUCACCCAGUUACAUUGUGACGUUUGGUAGCACACAAAGUGUUCCUCCGGCAAACGGGAGUUGCAUAAUCUCAUAGUCAUAGGAACAUGUAUAAGUCAUGAAGAAAGCAAUAGCAACAUACUAAAUGAUCGGGUGCUAAGCUAAUGGAAUGGGUCAUGUCAAUCAGAUCAUUCACCUAAUGAUGUGAUCCCGUUAAUCAAAUAACAACUCUUUGUCCAUGGUUAGGAAACAUAACCAUCUUUGAUUAACGAGCUAGUCAAGUAGAGGCAUACUAGUGACACUCUGUUUGUCUAUGUAUUCACACAUGUAUUAUGUUUCCGUUUAAUACAAUUCUAGCAUGAAUAAUAAACAUUUAUCAUGAUAUAAGGAAAUAAAUAAUAACUUUAUUAUUGCCUCUAGGGCAUAUUUCCAUCAAUUCCUUCUCCCAGGAAGACCCGAUCAGACUCGGAAUCACGGUUACAAGACAUUUCAACAAUGGUAAAACAAGACCAGCAAGACCACCCGCCGUGCCGACAAAUCCCGAUAGGAGCUGCACAUAUCUCGUUCUCAGGGCACACCGGAUAAGCUAAUCGUACAGGAGCCGACGUAACCCAAGUUGCCAAGGGAUGGCCCUGCACGGUGCUCUAGUUUGGACCAACACUCAGAGGAGCACUGGCCCGGGGUUUAAAUAAAGAUGACCCUUGAGUGUGCAGAACCCAAGGGAAAAAGUCUUAGGUGGCAAAUGGUAAAACCAAGGUUGGACCUUGCUGGAGGAGUUUUAUUCAAGGCGAACUAUCAAGGGGGUCCCAUUAUAACCCAACCACGUAAGGAACACAAAAUCAAGGAACAUAACACCGGUAUGACAGAAACUAGGGCGGCAAGAGUGGAACAAAACACAAGGCAUAAGGCCGAGCCUUCCACCCUUUACCAAGUUUAUAGAUGCAUUAAAUAAAUAAGAGAUAUUGUGAUAUCCCAACAAAAUAUCCAUGUUCCCAACAAGGAACAAACUCCAUCUUCACCUGCAACUAGCAACGCUAUAAGAGGGGCUGAGCAAAGCGGUGACAUUGCCAAACAACGGUUUGCUAGGACAAGGUGGGUUAGAGGUUUGACAUGGCAAUAUGGGAGACAUGAUAAAGCAAGUGGUAGGUAUCGCAGCAUAGGCAUAGCAAUAGAGCGAGCAACUAGCAAGCAAAAAUAGAAGUGAUUUCGAGGGUAUGGUCAUCUUGCCUGAGAUCCCGCAAGGAAGACGAACGAGUCCAUGAAGAAGACAAAUGGACGAAGUCGAACGGAUCCUCACAAGCGCGACGUUAACGGAACUAACCCGAAGAAACAACACCGGAAAGAAGCAAACAAGAUAGUAAACAACCACCACAUAAACAUGGCAUGAUGCACAUGUUGGGGAACGCAGUAAUUUCAAAAUUUUCCUACGCACACGCAAGAUCAUGGUGAUGCAUAGAAAUGAGAGGGGAGAGUGUUGUCCAUGUACCCUCAUAGACCGAAAGAGGAAGCGUUAGCACAACGUGGUUGAUGUAGUCAUACGUCUUCACGAUCCGACCGAUCCAAGUACCGAACGCACGACACCUCCGAGUUCAGCACACGUUCAGCUCGAUGACAUCCCGCGAAUUCCGAUCCAGCAGAGCUUCACGGGAGAGUUCCGUCAGCACGACAGCGUGGUGACGGUGAUGAUGUUGCUACCGACGCAGGGCUUCGCCUAAGCACCGCUACGAUAUGACCGAGGUGGAAUAUGGUGGAGGGGGGCACCGCACACGGCUAGGAGAGAUCAACUGAUCAACUUGUGUGUCUAGAGGUGCCCCCUACCCCCGUAUAUAAAGGAGCAAGGGGGAGGCCGGCCGGCCCUCUAUGGGCGCGCCAGGAGGAGGAGUCCUCCUCCUAGUAGGAGUAGGACUCCCCUUUCCUACUCCUACUAGGAGGAGGAAAGGAAGGAGGAGAAGGAGAAGGAAGGAGAGGGAGGUAAAGGAGGAAAGGGGGGCCGGCCCCCUAGUCUAAUUCGGUUUGGGCUAGGGGGGCCGCGCGCCCUGCCUCCUCUCUUCCACCACUUGGCCCAUGAGGCCCAUUACUUCUUCUUCGUAUUCCCAUAACUCCCCGGUACCCCCGAAGAUACCCGAAUCACUCGGAACCUUUCCGAUGUCCGAAUAUAGUCGUCCAAUAUAUCGAUCUUUACGUCUCGACCAUUUCGAGACUCCUCGUCAUGUCCCCGAUCUCAUCCGGGACUCCGAACUACCUUUGGUACAUCAAAUCACAUAAACUCAUAAUACAAUCGUCACCGAAACUUUAAGCGUGCGGACCCUACGGGUUCGAGAACUAUGUAGACAUGACCGAGACAUGUCUCCGGCCAAUAACCAAUAGUGGAACCUGGAUGCUCAUGUUGGCUCCCACAUAUUCUAUGAAGAUCUUUAUCGGUCAAACCGCAUAACAACAUACGUUGUUCCCUUUAUCAUCGGUAUGUUACUUGCCCGAGAUUCGAUCGUCGGUAUCUCAAUACCUAGUUCAAUCUCGUUACCGGCAAGUCUCUUUACUCGUUUCGUAACAAAUCAUCCCACAACUAACUCAUUAGUUGCAAUGCUUGCAAGGCUUUAAGUGAUGUGCAUUACCGAGAGGGCCCAGAGAUACCUCUCCGACAAUCGGAGUGACAAAUCCUAAUCUCGAAAUACGCCAACCCAACAAGUACCUUUGGAGACACCUGUAGAGCACCUUUAUAAUCACCCAGUUACGUUGUGACGUUUGGUAGCACACAAAGUGUUCCUCUGGUAAACAGGAGUUGCAUAAUCUCAUAGUCAUAGGAACAUGUAUAAGUCAUGAAGAAAGCAAUAGAAACAAACUAAACGAUCAAGUGCUAUGCUAACGGAAUGGGUCAAAUCAAUCACAUCAUUCUCUAAUGAUGUGACCCCGUUAAUCAAAUGACAACUCAUGUCUAUGGCUAGGAAACUUAACCAUCUUUGAUUCAACGAGCUAGUCAAGUAGAGGCAUACUAGUGACACUCUGUUUGUCUAUGUAUUCACACAUGUAUUAUGUUUCCGGUUAAUACAAUUCUAGCAUAAAUAAUAAACAUUUAUCAUGAAAUAAGGAAAUAAAUAAUGACUUUAUUAUUGCCUCUAAGGCAUAUUUCCUUUCAGUCUCCCACUUGCACUAGAGUCAAUAAUCUAGUUCACAUCGCCAUGUGAUUUAACAUCAAUAGUUCACAUCACCAUGUGAUUAACACCCAUAGUUCACAUCGUCAUGUGACCAACACCCAAAGGGUUUACUAGAUUCAAUAAUCUAGUUCACAUCACUAUGUGAUUAACGCCCAAAGAGUACUAAGGUGUGAUCAUGUUUUGCUUGUGAGAGAAGUUUAGUCAACGGGUCUGCCACAUUCUAUGUCAACAAUGCUCUGCACUAAGCUACUCUAGCUAAUUGCUUCCACUUUCAAUAUGUAUCCAGAUUGAGACUUUGAGUCAUCUAGAUCAGUGUCAAAACUUGCAUCACCGUAACCUUUUACGACGAACCUUUUGUCACCUCCAUAAUCGAGAAACAUAUCCUUAUUCCACUAAGGAUAAUUUUGACCAAUGUCUAGUGAUCUACUCCUAGAUCACUAUUGUACUCCCUUGCCAAACUCAGGGCAGGGUAUACAAUAGGUCUGGUACAUAGCACGGCAUACUUUAUAGAACCUAUGGCUGAGGCAUAGGGAAUGACUUUCAUUUUCUCUCUAUCUUCUACCGUGGUCGAGUUUUGAGUCUUACUCAACUUCACACCUUGUAAUAUAGGCAAGAACUCCUUUUUGACUGUUCCAUUUUGAACUACUUCAAAAUCUUGUCAAGGUAUGUACUCAUUGAAAAACUUAUCAAGCGUCUUGAUCUAUCUCUAUAGAUCUUGAUGCUCAAUAUGUAAGCAGCUUCACCGAGGUCUUUCUUUGAAAAACUCCUUUCAAACAUUCCUUUAUGCUUUUGCAGAAUAAUUCUACAUUAUCUUCGAUCAACAAUAUGUCAUACACAUAUACUUUAUCAAAAAUGUUGUAGUGCUCCCACUCACUUUCUUGUAAAUACAGGCUUCGCCUUAUGUCUGUAUAAAACUAUAUGCUUUGAUCAACUUAUCAAAGCGUAUAUUCCAACUCCGAGAUGCUUGCACCAGUCCAUAGAUGGAUCGCUGGAGCUUGCAUAUUUUGUUAGUACCUUUAGGAUUGACAAAACCUUCUGGUUGCAUCAUAUACAACUCUUCUUUAAUAAAUCCAUUAAGGAAUGUAGUUUUGUUUAUCCAUUUGCCAGAUUUCAUAAAAUGCGGCAAUUGCUAACAUGAUUCGGGCAGACUUAAGCAUAGAUACGAGUGAGAAAUUCUCAUUGUAGUCAACACCUUGAACUUGUCGAAAACCUUUUUGCGACAAUUCUAGCUUUGUAGAUAGUAACACUACUAUCAGCAUCCGUCUUCCUCUUGAAGAUCCAUUUAAUCUCAAUGGCUUGCCGAUCAUUGGGCAAGUCAAUCAAAGUCCAUACUUUGUUCUCAUACAUGGAUCUCAUCUCAGAUUUCAUCGCCUCAAGCCAUUUCGUGGAAUCUGGGCUCAUCAUCGCUUCCUCAUAGUUCAUAGGCUCAUCAUGGUCAAGUAACAUGACCUCCAGAACAGGAUUACCGUACCACUCUGGUGCGGAUCUCACUCUGGUUUACCUACGAGGUUCGGUAGUAACUUGAUCUGAAGUUACAUGAUCAUCAUCAUUAGCUUCCUCACUAAUUGGUGUAGUAGUCACAGGAACAGAUUGAUGUGAUGAACUACUUUCCAAUAAGGGAGAAGGUACAAUUACCUUAUCAAGUUCCACUUUCCUCCCACUCACUUCUUUCAAGAGAAACUCCUUGUCUAGAAAGGAUCCAUUCUCAGCAAUGAAUAUCUUGCCUUCGGAUCUGUGAUAGAAGGUGUACCCAACAUUUUCUUUUGGGUAUCCUAUGAAGAUUUACUUCUCCGAUUUGGGUUUGAGCUUAUCAGGUUGAAACUUUUUCACAUAAGCAUUGCAACCUCAAACUUUAAGAAACGACAACUUAGGUUUCUUGCCAAACCAUAGUUCAUACGGUGUCGUCUUAACGGAUUUAGAUGGUGCCCUAUUUAACGUGAAUGUAGCUAUCUCUAAUGCAUAAACCCAAAACGAUAGUGGUAAAUCGGUAAGAGACAUCAUAGAUCACACCAUAUCUAAUAAAGUACGGUUACGAUGUUCGGACACACCAUUACACUGUGGUGUUCCAGGUGGCGUGAGUAGUGAAACUAUUUCACAUUGUUUUAACUGAAGGCCAAACUCGUAACUCAAAUAUUUUACUUCUACGAUCAUAUCGUAGAAAUUUUUAUUUUUGUUACGAUGAUUCUCCACUUCACUCUGAAAUUCUUUGAACUUUUCAAAUGUUUCAGACUUGUGUUUCAUUAAGUAGAUAUACCCAUAUAUGCUCAAAUCAUCUGUGAAGGUCAGAAAAUAAUGAUACUUGCCAUGAGCCUUAACAUUCAUCGGACCGCAUACAUCAGUUAUGUAUUAUUUCCAAUAAGUCAGUUGCUCGCUCCAUUGUUCCGGAGAACGGAGUCUUAGUCAUCUUGCUCAUGAGGCAUGGUUCGCAAGCAUCAAGUCAUUCCAAAAGUCCAUCAGUAUGGAGUUUCUUCAUGCGCUUUACACCAAUAUGACCUAAACGGCAAUGCCACAAAUAAGUUGCACUAUCAUUAUUAACUUUGCAUCUUUUGGCUUCAAUAUUAUGAAUAUGUGUAUCACUAUGAUCGAGAUCCAACGAACCAUUUUCAUUGGGUGUGUAACCAUAUAAUGUUUUAUUCAUGUAAACAGAACAACAAUUUAUUCUCUUACUUAAAUGAAUAACUGUAUUGCAAUAAACAUGAUCAAAUCAUAUUCAUGCUCAACGCAAACACCAAAUAACACUUAUUUAGGUUCAACACUAAUCCCGAAAGUAUAGGGAGUGUGCGAUGAUGAUCAUAUUAAUCUUGGAACCACUUCCAACACACAUCGUCACUUCACCCUUAACUAGUCUCUGUUCAUUCUGCAACUCCCGUUUCGAGUUACUACUCUUAGCAACUGAACCAGUAUCAAAUAUCGAGGGGUUGCUAUGAACACUAGUAAAAUACACAUCAAUAAUCUGUAUAUCAAAUAUACCUUUGUUCACUUUGCCAUCCUUCUUAUCCGCCAAAUACUUGGGGCAGAUCCGCUUCUAGUGACCAGUCCCUUUGCAGUAGAAGCACUCAGUCUCAGGCUUAGGCCCAGACUUGGGCUUCUUCACUUGAGCAGCAACUUGCUUGCUGUUCUUCUUGAAGUUCCCUUUCUUCCCUUUGCCCUUUUUGAAACUAGUGGUCUUUGUCAACCAUCAACACUUGAUGCUUUUCUUGAUUUCUACCUUCGUCGAUUUCAGCAUCACGAAGAGCUUGGGAAUUACUUUUGUCAUCCCUUGCAUAUUAUAGUUCAUCACUAAGUUCUAGUAACUCGGUGAUAGUGACUAGAGAACUUUGUCAAUUACUCUCUUAUCUGGAAGAUUAACUCCCACUUGAUUCAAGCAAUUGUAGUACUCAGACAAUCUGAGCACAUGCUCAUCGGUUGAGCUAUUCUCCUCCAUCUUGUAGGCAAAGUACUAUCAGAGGUCUCAUACCUCUCGACACGGGCAUGUGUAUGAAAUACCAAUUUCAACUCUUGGAACAUCUUAUAUGCUCCAUGGCGUUCAAAAUGUCUUUGAAGCCCCGAUUCUAAGCCGUUAAGCAUGGUGCACUAAACUAUCAAGUAGUCAUCAUAUUGAGUUAGCCAAACGUUCAUAACGUCUGCAUCUGCUCCUGCAAUAGGUCAGUCACCUAGCGGUGCAUCAAGGACAUAAUUCUUCUGUGCAGCAAUGAGGAUAAACCUCAGAUCAUGGAUCCAAUCCGCAUCCUUGCUACUAACAUCUUUCAACUUAGUUUUCUCUGGGAACAUAUAAAAAAUAAAACAAGGGAUCUAAACGCGAGCUUUUGAUCUACAGCAUAGAUAUGCUAAUACUACCAGGACUAAGUUCAUGAUAAAUUUAAGUUCAAUUAAUCAUAUUACUUAAGAACUCCCACUUAGAAACACAUCCCUCUAAUCUUCUAAGUGAUCACGUGAUCCAAAUCAACUAAACCAUGACCGAUCAUCACGUGAAAUGGAGUAGUUUUUAAUGGUGAACAUCACUAUGUUGAUCAUAUCUACUAUAUGAUUCACGCUCGACCUUUCGGUCUCAGUGUUCCGAGGCCAUAUCUGCAUAUGCUAGGCUCGUCAAGUUUAACCUGAGUAUUCUGCGUGUGCAAAACUGGUUUGCACCCGUUGUAGAUGGACGUAGAGCUUAUCACACCCGAUCAUCACGUGGUGUCUGGGCACGACAAACUUUGGCAACGGUGCAUACUCAGGGAGAACACUUUUUAUCUUAAAUUUAGUGAGAGAUCAUCUUAUAAAGCUACCGUCGAACUAAGCAAAAUAAGAUGCAUAAAAGAUAAACAUCACAUGCAAUCAAAAUAUGUGACAUGAUAUGGCCAUCAUCAUCUUGUGCCUUUGAUCUCCAUCUCCAAAGCAUCGUCAUGAUUUCCAUCGUCACCGGCAUGACACCAUGAUCUCCAUCAUCUUGAUCUAUAUCAAUGUGUCGUCACAUGGUCGUCUCGCCAACUAUUGCUCUUGCAACUAUUGCUAUCGCAUAGCGAUAAAGUAAAGCAAUUAUUUGGCGCUUGCAUCUUAUGCAAUAGAGAGAUAACCAUAAGGCUUUUGCCAGUUGCCGAUAACUUCAACAAAACAUGAUCAUCUCAUACAACAACUUAUAUCUCAUCACGUCUUGACCAUAUCACAUCACAACAUGCCCUGCAAAAACAAUUUAGACGUCCUCUACUUUGUUGUUGCAAGUUUUACGUGGCUGCUACGGGCUGAGCAAGAACCGUUCUUACCUACGCAUCAAAACCACAACGAUAGUUUGUCAAGUUGGUGCUGUUUUAACCUUCGCAAGGACCGGGCGUAGCCACACUCGGUUCAACUAAAGUUGGAGAAACUGAUACCCGCUAGUCACCUGUGUGCAUAGCACGACGGUAAAACCAGUCUCACGUAAGUGUACGCGUAAUGUUAGUCCGGGCCGCUUCAUCCAACAAUACCGCUGAACCAAAGUGUGACAUGCUGGUAAGCAGUAUGACUUAUAUCGCACACAACUCACUUGUGUUCUACUCGUACAUAUUACAUCAACGCAUAAAACCUGGCUCGGAUGCCACUGUUGGGGAACGUAGUAAUUUCAAAAUUUUCCUACGCACACGCAAGAUCAUGGUGAUGCAUAGCAAUGAGAGGGGAGAGUGUUGUCCACGUACCCUCGUAGAUCGAAAGCGGAAGCGUUAGCACAAUGUGGUUGAUGUAGUCGUACGUGUUCACGAUCCGACCGAUCCAAGUACCGUACGCACGACACCUUCGAGUUCAGCACACGUUCAGCUCGAUGACGUCCCGCGAACUCCGAUCCAGCAGAGCGUCACAGGAGAGUUCUAUCAGCAUGACGGCGUGGUGACGGUGAUGAUGUUGCUACCGACGUAGGGCUUCGCCUAAACACCGCUACGAUAUGAUCGAUGUGGAAUAUGGUGGAGGGGGGCACCGCACACGGCAGGGAGAGAUCGAUUGAUCAACUUGUGUGUCUAGAGGUGCCCCUGCCCCCGUAUAUAAAGGAGCAAGGGGGAAGGCUGGCCGGCCCUCUAUGGGCGCGCCAGGAGGAGGAGGAGUCCUCCUAGUAGGAGUAGGACUCCCCUUUCCUACUCCUACUAGGAGGAGGAAAGGAAGGAGUAGAAGGAGAAGGAAGGAGAGGGAGGAAAAGGAGGAAAGGGGGGGGGGCGACCCCCAAGUCCUGCUCGGUUUGGGCUAGGGGGGCGCACGCCCUGCCUCCUCUCUUCCACCACUUGGCCCAUGAGGCCCAUUAUUUCUUCCUAGUAUUCCCGUAACUCCCCGGUACCCCCGAAAAUACCCGAAUCACUCGGAACCUUUCCGAUGUCCGAAUAUAGUCGUCCAAUAUAUCGAUCUUUACGUCUCGACGAUUUCAAGACUCCUCGUCAUGUCCCCGAUCUCAUCCGGGACUCCGAACUACCUUCGGUACAUCAAAUCACAUAAACUCAUAAUACAAUCGUCACCGAAUCUUUAAGCGUGCGGACCCUACGGGUUCGAGAACUAUGUAGACAUGAUCGAGACACGUCUCCGGCCAAUAACCAAUAGCGAAACCUGGAUGCUCAUAUUGGCUCCCACAUAUUCUACGAAGAUCUUUAUCGGUCAAACCGCAUAACAACAUACGUUGUUCCCUUUGUCAUCGGUAUGUUACUUGCCCGAGAUUCGAUCGUCGGUAUCUCAAUACCUAGUUCAAUCUCGUUACCGGCAAGUCUCUUUACUCGUUCCGUAAUACAUCAUCCCGCAACUAACUCAUUAGUUGCAAUGCAUGCAAGGCUUUAAGUGAUGUGCAUUACCGAGAGGGCCCAGCGAUACCUCUCCGACAAUCGGAGUGACAAAUCCUAAUCUCGAAAUACUCCAACCCAACAAGUACCUUUGGAGACACCUGUAGAGAACCUUUAUAAUCACCCAGUUACGUUGUGACGUUUGGUAGCACACAAAGUGUUCCUCCGGUAAACGGGAGUUGCAUAAUCUCAUAGUCAUAGGAACAUGUAUAAGUCAUGAAGAAAGCAAUAGCAACAAACUAAACGAUCAAGUGCUAUGCUAACGGAAUGGGUCAAAUCAAUCACAUCAUUCUCUAAUGAUGUGACACCGUUAAUCAAAUGACAACUCAUGUCUAUGGCUAGGAAACUUAACCAUCUUUGAUUCAACGAGCUAGUCAAGUAGACGCAUAGUAGUGACACUCUGCUUGUCUAUGUAUUCACACAUGUAUUAUGUUUCCGGUUAAUACAAUUCUAGCAUGAAUAAUAAACAUUUAUCAUGAAAUAAGGAAAUAAAUAAUAACUUUAUUAUUGCCUCUAGGGCAUAUUUCCUUUCAGCACAAUCAAGUAUGAUGCAUGUCCGGUUUAAAUAUGCAUGGCAUGGCAAAGUGCACAAACAAAACUACAAGUUAAGUGGAGCCCAAUAUGCCACGGGUUGCAUAUUGACGGAACACCACAUCAAUUAUUUAGUUCACUCCCGGUUAUGUACUCAACAAUAUUAAAUGUUGAUUAACAUGACAAGAGGAGAAGCAUAACAAAACUACACCAUCUAAACAAUUUAAAUGGGGCCAGAUAUAACAAACAACAAAUCCGGUAAAUCCCCAUAUGCAUUUAGCAAAUUGGUGCAACAACAAAGUUAAACAUUUAAAUGUUAUUAUCAUGAUGUGGAUGACAUGAACAAGUUUAUGCAAUGUUUAUUAAAAGUUGACAAGAGCAUGAUAUGAAGCAUUUUGUCAUCGUGGCGGAAACGAAAGGGGUGCCACGACAACGAAUCCAAAAAUGAUGCCACGACAACAUAUCGUUUCCGGUAUCUUAUGGAGAUACCGGUACAAAAGGAAAAGUGACGGGAGCGUGACAUGCGAUAGAAGGUGGGGUGAUCCCGGUAACCGGGUUCCCACGGGUCGACGACGGUGACAAGGCAAAAGAGGGGCAACAUGCACCGACAAUUCGAGCAUGAAGCAAGAACGAGCAUCUCAUACAUCAGAAGCAUUCGUUCCUGGGCGGUCGUCUCGGGGUUAUACCUUCGAAGCGUGCGUUAUCGAAGCGGUUCGAGUCAAGCGGUGUAGUCGUUCACGAUCUUCGUGGGAAGUAGUGGUACUCGGCGAUGGUAGAGGAAGUAGUUGUUCAUGGUUCGUUGUGGGAAGUAGUCGUUCUCGUGGCGACGGUAGUCGUUCACGUUCUUAGUCUCACAAGUCUCUGUAGAUGUUCACGGGCACGACGAGAAACUUGACGUCCACGGAGUCUUCGAGGGUCGACGGUAGUGGUACUUGGCAAAAUGCACGUCGACGGUAGUUGUUCUUGUAUCGUCAUGGUACUUGGCGAUUUCGGAGACGGCGGAAGACGAACUUGGCGGUCCUCGUUGACCUAGUACUUGGCGUGUCCAAAACGUAGCAGCACAAAUGUCUCGGUCGGAAGCACUCGUUCGGGCGUCGUUGGUCUUGCGGGUCGUGGUACUUGGUGGUCUUUCCUGUUCGGUGGUCUUCCUUGGCGGUUCAGGGUGCGGUGCAGGGACUUGGCGCGAUGCAGGGGCGACGGCCACGGGACUUGCAGCGGCAUCGGCGGGAACUUGGCGCAGCGGCAUGGGCGCGAUGCAGGGCUAUAGGCCGACGCUGCUGGCGACCUGGGGACGCCGGGACCCAAAGCAGAGGAGCGGGUGCUUCUCCGGCGACGCAUCGGUGCAGAGAACGGAAGGAGAAGCACGGGCAGGAGGUGAAGCGGGUCGUCCUCCUCGUCCUAGACAUGACGAGGCAGGGGAGGUCUUGCCGCUGGGCUCCAGCGAAGCAGGGCGCUGAUGAGGAGGCAAAUAUGGCGCUGCAGUGACCUGGUGGUCUUGGACAGCGGCAACGCACAGGAGAAGGAGGAGGGCAACAGCGGGUAACGGCGACCAUGGCCUCAGCAGCAGGGGGCGGCCAUGGCGGGGCUUGGCUGCUCAUGAAGGAUGGCGAGCGCCGGUGCUCCUGCUCUGCUGUUGCGGGCAUGGGAACAAGGAGGUGGAGCUCGCGCGCUGUGGCCCGAGAGAGAGAGAGAGAGAGGCUGCAGGGGAGAGGUGAGCAGUGCGCGAGAUCCAGAGGAGAGGGAGGUCGGGGCCUGGAGGGAUCGAGGGAGAGAAGUGGGAUCGAGGGAGAUGGGGGAGUCGGGCUCCCUGGCAGCGCGAGGGGAGAGGAGAGGGAGGAGGGGAGCGGGAGAGAGAGGUAGCGAUCGGCUAGGGUUAGAGCAGUUAGAUGGGUCGGUGCUAGAUGGGCCUAUAGGCCGGCUGGAGUAGGGAGGCCCAAGUGGGUUGUGGUACUGCGCGGAGAGAAACUGGGCCUCAACUAGAACUCUCCUCCUUUGUUGUCUCUACUUAUCCGUUUAUAAGAAAAAAAUAGAACUUGCAUAAAUGCACAAAGAGGUAGCAAAGUAAUUAGGGAGAGACAAAAAUAGUUCUGGAGUCCUUGGAAUAUGGUCAAUUAAAGAAAAGUGGUGUGAGGAAUUUUAUAGACCAUAAAUUUAAACAGGUUCGAAUUUAAUCCAAACAUGCCUGAAUUUAUAACCUAACCAAACCGAACCCAAAUGGGCUUAAAUUUUAUAGGAUGGCCCUACAUAAUAGAUAUGAUUUAUGGGCACAAGAUGAACAUUAAUGGAUAAAGUAAAAUUGCAACUCAGUUGCAAUUUAACUUAAAAGGUCAAAACGGAAGGGUAGGAGGAUGAGUCGGGUGAGGAAAGAGUUGAAGUGUAGUGCAAUUGUGUUAUGGGUGAUUCCAAGUUAAUGGAAUAUUUUAAUAUAGAUCCCUAAAUAUUAGGAGGAUAUGUUAUAAAGAGAAUCACCAUGUGAAUUCCCUCGGUUUAAAUGGAUUAGAAAUCCAUGCAAUUUAUUUAGUUGAGUUUUAAAACGGGUUUAAUGAUGACAUGAUGCAAUGCACAUGAUACAAGGAUGAAUGCAACGAACCAAACAAAACACACGACGAAUCUCAGAAAACAAGGAAGGCAUCUGGAGCGCCGGUCUCGGGGCGUCACAACACUCCACCACUACGAGAGGAUCUCGUCCCGAGAACUAGGAUGGCACCGGAGAGAAAACGGAAGAGGAAGAGGAGAGGUAAACUAAGUUGCUUCUUUGUACAAACGAGUGAAGCCAAAGAACCUUGCGAGCUUGAACAAAUUUAAAAAAGGAAUACAACGAAGCUGAACAAAGUUGAAAACACUCCAUUAGGAAGGAGGAACAAGGAACAUUACUAGAACCUUGUAGGUUGAAAGACAUAAGAAAAGGGUUGCAAUGGACAAGAACUACAUGCAAGCACUCCGGUAGAAACGAGAUGUACAAGGAACGAUAAGGAUCAAUUACGACAACACUCCGGUUAAACAAGAUAGAGAAGGAAUAAGAAUGAUAUAAAUUGGACAGCACUCCGACUGUAAAUGAAAGGAAUUGAACAUGAUCUUGACAAAACAAGAUGAUGGGUCGAAGAGAGCAACAUCACAAUGUCUCCGGAAGAAAGAAAGAAUGGAAUGGAAUGAACGGAGGGAAACAAGAUCUUGGGAGAGCAAGCUUACAACAAAUGCUAGAACAGAGUUGUUGGAUUAUCAACAACGAAAAAAGAUAAGCUUAAUAUGGGUUUAUUGAAUACAUCUCAAAAUUAUUAGGUGAAGUUCUACCACUAACGAAAAUAAUAGAUUUGGGUUGAUAUGAACAAGGGGACGAGAAAACUAUUUCACCGGGAGGAUAGAUGAAGAACUUGGGUCAUUUAUUAGCACCCUAAAUAGCAACAAUCCUUAGGGAAGGCUUUAGGUGAAAUAUAACCCACGAUAAACUUCAAUGAAGAGAUUGAUGGGUAGAUAAGAGCUUAUGCUCGAAGAAAUAGAUGGGUUUAACUACCUCAUUCUUGACAACUGAUGAGACAUGACACACGAAGGGAUAUUGUCAAGAAUGACAUAACACCAUCCCAAAAGAUGAGAUAUGAAAGAAUUGCACUUCAGAAUGCAAGAUGAAGAAUGCAUGAGCUCCUCUGAAAAGAAUCUCGAUGAACACUUCGAAAAGGAAUUAAAUCCUUGAUGAGCCAUCAUGUAUAGCCUCCAUGAAGAACUCCGGUAAUAAAGAAUGAUCAAACGAAAGGACAAAAUUGAAAAGAACUCCGGGAGAAGCCUUGCAAUGAUUAGACGAAGCUUCACGAUGACAUAAUUGAGAGAGCUUGGAACUCCGGGAAAGAAAAGAUGACACAAUUGAAAACCGAGAACUUGAUGAGCCUCCAGAAUACAGAAUUGAAUUUAACUCGAUGAAACAAGAAUAAGAAUUACAUUAUGCUUAUCCUUCAUCAAUUAAAUUGAUGGCACACAAUGGAUUUGGCAUACUACUUAUUCUCAUAGAAAGGAUUAAGAUAGAUAUAGCGUCAACUUGGAAAGGUCUUCUAUGAACCGCCGGUAGGAUUGGAAAGAACGAAUGAAUUGAUAUACUAAACAAGGAAGAGAACUCCUGAAUGGACCACCGUAAGAAUUGAAAAUGAAAGAAGAAAAGAUAACGAAACACCGGGAAGAAUUAGAGAACGAAUUAAGAUACUUGAGGGAAUUUAGAUACAUGAGAACGAAGAGAUCACGAGCUGAAAAGAGGAUAUUUGAAUGAAGCACCAGUAAGUUUGAAGAACGAGAGCUGAGAGCUGAGAAUGAAUAAUUCUAAGAUGAUGGGGUUCAGAGAAUCCCACUGAAAAGACUCCUGAAAUGCUCCGGAUGGGUGCCAAUAAUUCUCACAAUCAAAAACAAUUAUGAGAGGAUGGCAUCAAGCUAGAAUCACGAAUCUUUGAAGAGAAUGGAGCAAGAUUGAGAGAAAAAUCUUCUUCGGUCUUCAAAAAUUCUGGAAUGACGACGAGAGCACCACCAAGAAUUGUUGAGAUACUCCGGGAUGAAUAUUAGAAAGGUUGAACCGAUGAUGAAAAUAAUUUGAAAGAUCUUGGAGAAAGACAUUUUUCUGAUGAUAACUCAUUCUUACGACAAACUUGAAAAAGAAUUUGAGAAGCUCCGGGAAAAUUAGGAGAGUCAGGUAAGAUCCCGGGAAAAGACCUGUGGGUUAGGGCCCACUCAAAAAAACACCGUAGAAAGAUUACUUGAAUAGAGAGAUUCCACCGGUUGAAUCAAAUGGCUUGAAUGAGAUAACAACCUCGAGAUAGGUUUGAACGGAUCUUGAAUGAAAAGACGAGCCUUCUGAGAUAUCUUCAGCACUCCAGAACAAUUGAAUAAUGAGAAGUGGAUUAUUAAGAAGUGCACCGGCAUGGGAAAGCAUUUGAAAUGAGGAAAAGGAUGUGAUCAACAAAGCUUGAAUUCAAUUCACCGCAGAAGAAAAAAAACGAAGAAUGAUGAACUUGAAGCUCCGUUAGCAUCUUCGUGAGAAUCACCGGAUAAGAACAUUGGCGGAAAGAAAGGGAUGGAGAGGGUUCCCAUCAAUAAAAGGAUACUUGAAUAAGAAAUAUGAGGCCUUGAAGAAAAAGGGUGGGAGGGCGGGAAAAACAAAGGCAGCCUGGGACGAAUGAAAUGAGCACCGUUGAUAAACUUAGAAUUGAUCUUGCGGAUGUUGAAAUGAUCGGAUCCACUUGAAGAGAAACACGCCGAUUGACAAGUAUUGACCUGACAAUCUCGAUUAUCGUGAAGGAUUAGUAUUCACAUAGGAGUAUGAGAACACCGCUUAGGAAAGGUAUGGAAUCAACAGUUGACUUCGAAGCAACUCGAAUACCACAAUUCAAAACAAAACAAAGGAUUGGCUUGCAGAAAAAAAGCCGGAACAAACAUAUGAUAGAGAUUUCAUUCGAAGUUUUCGUGGUGGGGCCCACACGGGCUCGAUCGUACAACACCGUCAUGUACAAGGCAGUGCACAUGACAUACGAAGUGUCCCCGAUUCAGCAUAGCCAAGGACUCUUUAAGACACAACGAGACCACUUAAAACCAACCGUGGAUAGGCGGACCACUAGACGUCGAACCCCAAUUUCAUAUCAUACAUCUGUCGAAAAGAUAUCCUAGGAGCUACUUAAAUUCCCACUUAUAAACUCCCGAAAUUUUCUUGUUAUGCAAUCAGGUGUUGGGGAUACAGGGGAAGCAUAAUAUCUCACCCAAAACAAGCAAAUCCUACAUCCAGCUGUAUCCAUCCUUCAACAUAUAACCAAGAAACCUUCGGAAAUCAUUUACCUCAACCUUCGAAAAGCACCUGUUAUACGAGUUAUGGCAAUACUCCCAAACUCCCGCCCCAGUACUGGGUGGCGUCGAGGUUAUCUCACCAACAACUGCAUAAAAAAGAUUUUUGAUGUCGUCGAGCUCAGGUAUUCUAGAACUCCAACGAUAAAAUUGUGAUGACAACACCUCGGAGCUCAACUCCCCGGGACACUGCCACAACCCCUAAAUGUCAGGAGGCACCAAGAUCAAUGUUCUCGUCACAAAACAAUCGGAACAAUUCCAAGAUACCUGCGUGAUCCUAAAAAAAAUUUCAUGAAAUUUGAGGAGAGAAGAGUCAAAAUUCUACUUCAGGAGGCCUCACCAGAGCGACGAAGGGACUAAGGAGUAAAAAGAAUCCUACUCCGAUAUAUAUAAUCCUAAUAGACUCAAAACAUUUUUCUAGACUCAACAACACCAGCGAUUCGAUCAAGCAGGGGGCUCCUAAGUCGGGGAAGGCUCUGAUUACCAACUUGUAACGCCCACGAUGCGGCUAUAUCUCCCAUGUGUCGAAGCACGACUUAGAGGCAUAACCGCAUUGUAAGCAAUGUCACAGGAGAGGUAAUCUUCACACAACCCAUGUAAUGAAUAAGGAAAAGAGGUACAUAGUUGGCUUACACUCACCACAUCACACAAUACAUGAGUAAAGCAUUACAUCAAACAGAUACAAUCAAGGUCCGACUACGGAACCAAAAUAAAAGAAGACUACCCCUAAUGCUACAGAUCCCCGAUCGCCCCGACUGGGCUCUACUACUGACCAACUGGAAACGGAAACAACAUAACAGACAUGGUCUUCAACGAGCUCCUCCUUGAGCGCGGUUGCAUCACCUGCAUGGUUUCAUCGGCACCUGCAAACUGGUUUUGGAAGUAAUCUGUGAGUCACGGGGACUCAGCAAUCUCACACCCUCGCGAUCAAGACUAUUUAAGCUUAUGGGUAGGUAAAAAGUAUGUGAGGUGGAGCUGCAACAAGCACUAGCAUAUAUGGUGGCUAACAUACGCAAAAGAGAGCGAGAAGAGAAGGCAAAGCACGUUCAAGAAUCUAUGAUCAAGAAGUGAUCCAAGACUACUUACGUUCAAGCAUAACUCCAACAUCGUGUUCACUUCCCGGACUCCACCGAGAAGAGACCAUCACGGCUACACACGCGGUUGAUCCAUUUUAAUUAAGUUAAGUUUCAGGUUCUCUACAACCGGACAUUAACAAAUUCCCAUUCGCCCAUAACCGCGGGCACAGCUUUCGAAAGUUCAUAACCCUACAGGGGUGUCCCAACUUAGCCCAUCACAAGCUCUCACGGUCAACGAAGGAUAUUCCUUCUCCCAGGAAGACCCGAUCAGACUCGGAAUACCGGUUACAAGACAUUUCGACAAUGGCAAAACAAGACCAGCAAGACCACCCGUUGUGCCGAAAAAUCCCGAUAGGAGCUGCACAUAUCUCGUUCUCAGGGCACACCGGAUAAGCUAAGCGUACAGGAGCCGACGUAACCCAAGUUGCCAAGGGAUGGCCCUGCAUGGUGCUCUAGUUUGGACCAACACUCAUAGGAGCACUUGCCAGGGGGUUUAAAUAAAGAUGACCCUUGAGUCUGCAGAACCCAAGGGAAAAAGGCUUAGGUGGCAAAUGGUAAAACCAAGGUUGGGCCUUGCUGGAGGAGUUUUAUUCAAGGAGAACUAUCAAGGGGUUCCCAUUAUAACCCAACCGCGUAAGGAACACAAAAUCAAGGAACAUAACACCGGUAUGACGGAAACUAGGGCGGCAAGAGUGGAACAAAACACCAUGCAUAAGGCCGAGCCUUGCACCCUUUACCAAGUGUAUAGAUGCAUUAAAUAAAUAAGAGAUAUUGUGAUAUCCCAACAAAAUAUCCAUGUUCCCAACAAGGAACAAACUCCACCUUCACCUGCAACUAGCAACGCUAUAAGAGGGGCUGAGCAAAGCGGUAACAUAGCCAAACAACGGUUUGCUAGGACAAGGUGGGUUAGAGGUUUGACAUGGCAAUAUGGGAGGCAUGAUAAAGCAAGUUGUAGGUAUCGCAGCAUAGGCAUAGCAAUAGAGCGAGAAACUAGCAAGCAAAGAUAGAAGUGAUUUCGAGGGUAUGGUCAUCUUGCCUGAGAUCCUGCAAGGAAUAAGAACGAGUCCAUGAAGAAGACAAACGGACGAAGUCAAACGAAUCCUCACAAGCGCGACGUUAAUGGAACUAACCCAAAGAAGCAACACCGGAAAAAAGCAAACAACAUAGUAAACAACCACCAUAUAAACAUGGCAUGAUGCACAAUCAAGUAUGAUGCAUGUCCGGUUUAAAUAUGCAUGGCAUGGCAAAAGUGCACAAACAAAACUACAAGUUAAGUGGAGCCCAAUAUGCAACGGGUUGCAUAUUGACGGAACACCACAUCAAUUAUUUAGUUCACUCCCGGUUAUGUACUCAACAAUAUUAAAUGUUGAUUAACAUGACAAGAGGAGAAGCAUAACAAAACUACACCAUCUAAACAAUUUAAAUGGGGCCGGAUAUAACAAACAACAAAUCCGGUAAAUCCCCAUAUGCAUUUAGCAAAUUGGUGCAACAACAAAGUUAAACAUUUAAAUGUUAUUAUCAUGAUGCGGAUGACAUGAACAAGUUUAUGCAAUAUUUAUUAAAAGUUGACAAGAGCAUGAUAUGAAGCAUUUUGUCAUCAUGGCGGAAACGAAAGGGGUGCCACGACAACGAAUCCGAAAAUGAUGCCACGGCAACAUAUCAUUUCCGGUAUCUUAUGGAGAUACCGGUACAAAAGGAAAAGUGACGGGAGCGUGACAUGCGAUAGAAGGUGGGGUGAUCCCGGUAACCGGGUUCCCACGGGUCGACGACGGUGACAAGGCAAAAGAGGGGCAACGUGCACCGACAAUUCGAGCACAGAGCAAGCACGAGCAUCUCAUACAUCACAAGCAUUCAUUCCCGGGCGGUCGUCUCAGGGUUAUACCUUCGAAGCGUGCGUUAUUGGAGCGGUUCGGGUCAAGCGGUGUAGUCGUUCACGAUCGUCGUGGGAAGUAGUGGUACUCGGCGAUGGUAGAGGAAGUAGUUGUUCACGGUUCAUUGUGGGAAGUAGUCGUUCUCGUGGCGACGGUAGUCGUUCACGUUCUUAGUCUCACAAGUCUCCGUAGAUGUUCAGGGGCACGGCGAGAAACUUGACGUCCACGGAGUCUUCGAGGGUCAACGGUAGUGGUGCUUGGCAAAAUGCACGUCGACGGUAGUUGUUCUCGUAUCGUCAUGGUACUUGGCGAUUUCGGAGACGGCGGAAGACGAACUUGGCGGUCCUCGUUGACCUAGUACUUGGCGUGUCCAAAACAUAGCAGCACAAAUGUCUCGGUCGGAAGCACUCGUUCGGGCGUCGUUGGUCUUGCGGGUCGUGGUACUUGGCGGUCUUUCCUGUUCAGUGGUCUUCCUUGGCGGUUCAGGGCGCGGUGCAGGGACUUGGCGUGAUGGAGGGGCGACGGCCACGGGACUUGCAGCGGCAUCGGCGGGAACUUGGCGCGGCGGCAUGGGCGCGAUGCAGGGCUAUAGGCCGACGCUGCUGGCUACCUGGGGACGCCGGGACCCAAAGCAGAGGAGCGGGUGCUUCUCCGGCGACGCAUCGGUGCAGAGAACGGAAGGAGAAGCACGGGCAGGAGGUGAAGCGGGUCGUCCUCCUCGUCCUAGACAUGACGAGGCAGGGAAGGUCUUGGCGCUGGGCUCCAGCGAAGUAGGGCGCUGACGAGGAGGCAAAUAUGGCGCUGCAGUGACCUGGUGGUCUUAGACGGCGGCAACGCACAGGAGAACGGGGAGGGCAGCAGCGGGCAAUGGCGACCAUGGCCUCAGCAGCAGGGGCCGCGGCCAUGGCGGGCUUGGCUACUCGUGAAGGACGGCGAGCGCCGGUGCUCCUGCUCUGCUGUUGCGGGCAUGGGAACGAGGAGGUGGAGCUCGAGCGCCGUGGCCCGAGAGAGAGAGAGAGAGACUGCAGGGGAGAGGUGAGCAGCGCGCGAGAUCGAGAGGAGAGGGAGGUCGGGGCCUGGAGGGAUCAAGGGAGAGAAGUGGGAUCGAGGGAGAUGGGGGAGUCGGGCUCCCUGGCGGCGCGAGGGGAGAGGAGAGGGAGGAGGGGAUCGGGAGAGAGAGGUAGCGAUCGGCUAGGGUUAGAGCAGUUAGGUGGGUCGAUGCUGGAUGGGCCUAUAUAGGCCGGCUAGAGUGGGGAGGCCCAAGUGGGUUGUGGUACUGCGCGGAGAGAAACUGGGCCUCAGCUAGAGCUCUCCUCCUCUGUUGUCUCUACUUAUCCGUUUAUAAGAAAAAAAUAGAACUUGCAUAAAUGCACAAAGAGGUAGCAAAGUAAUUAGGGAGAGACAAAAAUAGUUCUGGAGUCCUUGGAAUAUGGUCAAUUAAAGAAAAGUGGUAUGAGGACUUUUACAAACCAUAAAUUUAAACAUGUUCGAAUUUAAUCCAAACAUGCCUGAAUUUAUAACCUAACCAAACUGAACCCAAAUGGGCUUAAAUUUUAUAGGAUGGCCCUACAUAAUAAAUAUGAUUUAUGGGCACAAGAUGAACAUUAAUGGAGAAAGUAAAAUUGCAACUCAAUUGCAAUUUAACUUAAAAGGUCAAAACGGAAGGGUAGGAGGAUGAAUCGGGUAAGGAAAGAGUUGAAGUGUAGUGCAAUUGUGUUAUGGGUGAUUCCAAGUUAAUGGAAUAUUUUAAUAUAGCUCCCUAAAUAUUAGGAGGAUAUGUUAUAAAGAGAAUCACCAUGUGAAUUCCCUCGGUUUAAAUGGAUCAGAAAUCCAUGCAAUUUAUUUAGUUUAGUUUUAAAACGGGUUUCAUGAUGACAUGAUGCAAUGCACAUGAUGCAAGGAUGAAUGCAACGAACCAAACAAAACACACGACGAAUCUCGGAAAACAAGCAAGACAUCUGAAGCGCCGGUCUCGGGGCGUCACACUCCCUUCUCCUCUUUCCUUCCCCUUUAUUUUCGCCUACAUGGGGCGCCCCGGCCCCUUAGGGGCUGGUCUGCCCCCCUCUUGGCCCAUCAAGGCCCAUGUAGUUGUCAGGGGGAUGCCCGGAACCCCUUCCGGUGACCCGAUAUGCACCCGGUACCCCAGAACACUUCCGGUGUCCGAAUACCAUCGUCCAGUAUAUGAAUAUAUAACUCUCGACCAUUUUGAGACUCCUCGUCAUGUCCGUAAUCUCAUCCGGGACUCCGAACAACAUUCGGUCACCAAAUCACAUAACUCAUAUAAUACAAAAUCGUCAUCGAACUUUAAGCGUGCGGAUCCUACGGGUCCGAGAACUAUGUAGACAUGACCGAGACACCUCUCCGGUCAAUAACCAACAACGAACCUGGAUGCUCAUAUUGGUUCCUACAUAUUCUACGAAGAUCUUUAUCGGUCAUACCGUAAUGACAACAUACUUUAUUCCCUUUAUCAUUGGUAUGUUACUUGCCCGAGAUUCGAUCGUUGGUAUCUUCAUACCUAGUUCAAUCUCGUUACCGGCAAGUCUCUUUACUCGUCCCGUAAUACAUCAUGCCAUAACUAACUCAUUAGGCACAUUGCUUGCAAGGCUUAUCAUGAUGUGUAUUACCGAGAGGGCCCAGAGAUACCUCUCCGAUACUCGGAGUGACAAAUCCUAAUCUCGGUCUAUGCCAACCCAACAAACACCUUUGGAGAUACCUGUAGAGCAUCUUUAUAAUCACCCAGUUACGUUGUGACGUUUGAUAGCACACAAGGUAUUCCUCCGGUAUCUGGGAGUUGCAUAAUCUCAUAGUCAAAUGAAUAUGCAUAUGACAUGAAGAAAGCAAUAGCAAUAAACCUAACGAUCAUUAUGCUAAGCUAACGGAUGGGUCUUGUCCAGCACAUCAUUCUCCCAAUGAUGUGAUCCCGUUCAUCAAAUGACAACACAUGUCCAUGGUUAGGAAACUUAACCAUCUUUGAUUUACAAGCUAGUCUAGUAGAGGCUUACUAGGGACACGGUGUUUUGUCUAUGUAUCCACACAUGUAUCAAGUUUCUGGUUAAUACAAUUCUAGCAUGAAUAAUAAACAUUUAUCAUGAUAUAAGGAAAUAUAAAAUAACAACUUUAUUAUUGCCUCUAGGGCAUAUUUCCUCAAUGACAUCCGUCCUGCCGAGUUCGUGGUCUUGGUCUUGUUGCACCGGACUAGAAACCUUUGGGGAUUCCUUGGGAACCCGCGUCUGCCCUUGCUCCCUUAGCAUCCAAAGGGAAAUUGUCUCCUCUGCGCCCGCUGGCGCCCGCCUGGCUCUGGUCGUCAUGGCUCACGUCACCGCAGCCUCAUGAGGCUGGGCACUUGCAUAGGAAUCUUCGCUCUUCGGGAGACAACCUAGGGAGGCCGCUUCCUCUAGAGCUCUUGGUGUCGUCCGCCUCGCGAGGCCAGGGCCCCCGCGAGGGUCUUGUCUUGGUGGUCUUGCAGAUGGGUCAUACCAAGCCGUCGAGGGAGCCACGCCGUGGGCCACACGCAGGCAAGUCUGGGUACCCUGGUUCCCAGAACGCCGACGGGGUCACAUAUCCAAACCAUUAAUGUCUUGGGAGCGCGCGAUAACAAGCAAAGACUCACGAUCAUGUGACCCCGUCGCCCCGUCUCGUGCACUUAUGGCAAGUGCCCAGAAUGCCCCACCGUGCCACGUAAUUAUCUCGCGGGUACCCUCCAGGUCAACAUGACUACACAUCAACUCGAGGGUACACUCAUGGUCAACCCGACUUCACAUUUCUCUCGCGGGUACCGCUCGGGGUCGACCUGACUUCAUCAUGGUUCUGGGGUAAAGUCAAAGUAACCGUGUGCCCAAAACAGUAAGGGGGGACCCGAGGAAUCACCCUUGAUGGACUCCCACUUGAUGUAACCGUCAAGGUGGACUUGGAGGAAUCACCCACGAUGGUCCACACUUGAGGGGUUGCACAACAGAGUCAUUAUCGGUAGUGGUGAAAGAGGAAUCACCCUUGAUGACCACGACGAUUAGCUACAAUACAGAGUUAACAUCACAAGUGUUAUACGAGGUAUCACCCUCGGUAGUCAAUAGUUGCUCUGUAGUGUCGUACAACUAAGGGGGUGUGAUGUGCUGUGUCGGGCCCUGGACGUCGAUCACGUUGAUCAAGUCAUUAAACAUAAGGCGGGGGCAACUAGGACAAGGUGAGAGGUCACUGGUGGAUCACUAACCAACCUAUGCUAAGCAGUUUAGGAUAAGCAAGUAAGGUACAAAGCAGGUUACAAAAAAUCAGGUUAUGCAUCAGAAUAGGAGCAAUCAAAUACAAUAGCAAAAUCUAAUGUACCAUGAGAGAGAAUGGAACUGGGCGAUAUAGGAAUGAUCAAGGGGGUUUUGCUUGCCUGGUUGCUGUGUAGACGAAAGGAAUCUUCGAAAGCGUAGCCGUAGUCGAACACCAAAGCAUCAACAGUCUCGGGGUCUACCAGAGAGAAAGGACGGGGAAGAAACAAUAAAUAACAAGCAUACAAAGCAACAUAAAGCACGACAUGACCAUAAGCUAUGCUAAGGGUGACCUAACGCAGGGCUACGCAUUACCGACGAAGUCUGGCAUUUUCAGACAGAUGAUCGGAGGGGGGAAGAUCCAUAUUCACUGUGUUAGAGGCCUGUGGCAGGUAUGCAGAGAGCAAAUUCGGAUUUGUCCUAUUUUUCUGAUCAUUUUUCAUAUAUAAAUUAUGUUCAUCUUGACUUACGGUUUUUUUAUUAAUAUUCAAAGUUUCAAAUCAUUUUCUGAAAUUCUAGAAUUUAUUUAUUUUUUUAAAAAAGGAAAGGCUAGCUGCACCCGGUCCAGUGCAUCCAACAGUGUACAAGAGGCUAACAGUAGGCCCGUUGACUACCUAGUCAACAGUCAACAUUGACCCGUUGACUGAUGAACGAUUCCCGAGGGUCCCGCACGUCAGUGACUGGGAGCCCAGUCAGCGCUGUUGACUGGUCAACUGGGUCCAUUGGGACCAGUGGCAGUGACUAUUUAUUUAACCUAUGUCUAAUUAGUUUUAAACCAGUUAAUUUAGUCGAGUGGGACCUAGUGGUCAGUGGGGGAGGUUAAGCUAACCACGUACUUAAGUUAACCGCCCGGGCCCACAAGACAGCGGGCCGGGUUCAAACGUGUGCUCGCGCCGACGUUGCUCCGGCAACCACAGGGGAUGGCGGCGCGCUUGGAACCGGCUGUUCCGGUGACCAAAUGGAUGGCUCCGGGCGCCAAACGAACGAGCGUCGAGCGCCGCUCCUACCUACGCUAGCGGCGAGCGCAGGGGGUGGCCGGAGCGACGGUUGAGGCAAUGGCCGACCGGCGACCGGAGCACGGGGCGGCUCCCUCCGGCGACCACUUGGUUGACCGAGAGGUCCUACGCGAUGCAGGCGAUGCGAGGCAGCCAAGGGCACUACGGGCGCGUGUAGAUGAGGUCGGUAUCGACGACUAGCAACGACGGUUAAGCGGCGGCAGCGGCGGUGCUCUACGGGAGCUAGCCUACGAGACACGGGAAAGAACAAGGGGAGGUCAAGGAAGAGCCGAGGCUCACAGCGAAGCUCGGGGAGGGCUCUACGAGGCCGGGGACGCGGAGGUGGAGGCGGAUCGAGCGGUGGAUGACGACGGCCGGAGGUUGAAGAAGGGUUCGAUGCCGGCGAUGUAGAGGGCCCCGGGUCAAACCAGUGGGCGUAGGCGGAGUAGAGGUCGACGGCGGAUCUAUCGAACAAGCUCACAGGGCACGGCGUGGGAGAUGGGCGCGNNNNNNNNNNNNNNNNNNNNNNNNNNNNNNNNNNNNNNNNNNNNNNNNNNNNNNNNNNNNNNNNNNNNNNNNNNNNNNNNNNNNNNNNNNNNNNNNNNNNNNNNNNNNNNNNNNNNNNNNNNNNNNNNNNNNNNNNNNNNNNNNNNNNNNNNNNNNNNNNNNNNNNNNNNNNNNNNNNNNNNNNNNNNNNNNNNNNNNNNNNNNNNNNNNNNNNNNNNNNNNNNNNNNNNNNNNNNNNNNNNNNNNNNNNNNNNNNNNNNNNNNNNNNNNNNNNNNNNNNNNNNNNNNNNNNNNNNNNNNNNNNNNNNNNNNNNNNNNNNNNNNNNNNNGGGAGAAGAAAGCGAGAGAAUGAAGGGGGGUCCGGGGCGCUAGGGUUCGUCAGCGCGGGUCUGGGCGCCCUUGUAUCUCGCCGGGGAGCGCCGGAUGGCCGGCGCGUGGCCAUCCGCAGGAUGGACGCGGCGCGCUCGUCCAUGGGGCUCGGGUGAAUAGAGGAUGAAGAAAGGUGGGGAGGUGGGCUGGGGUCGACUGGGCCGGAUGUACUAUGCAUUUGGGCCCAUGUGCACAGUGGAGUUUUUUUAUUUCUGUUUAGCAUUUAAUUUAAACAGCAAAAGUGGUUUUGUAAAUAAGAGACUUGGGCCAUAAUUUACAAUAUAAAUUAAGGCACUGCCAUAAAAAGGUUUUGAGGCAAGAUAAUUUCAUUUAAAUUUUAUAUAAAUGAAAUCAGGUUAAUGGGGCUGUUAUGGGCACUGUUUUAAAUCCUAGGGGUAUUUUUGGAGAUUCAAAAAUGUUGGUUUUAUUUUUAUAAUAACUUUGGGAAUUUUUUCAAUAUUAUGAACAUUUUAUUUUUACUGUUAGAAGAAAUAAUUUAUUUGUCUUUAUUUUAAAUUUGAAAUUGGCUUUGAUUUUUUACCAGGUGGCAAUUUGGCUUAGCUAACUUGAUGACAUGGCACCAUUAGGGGGAAUGUCUGUAGCAUGACACUGGGGGUGUUACAGGUAACUCUAAUCCCUUUGCUGGACUUGAGCCCUCCGCCACCGACGUCUGCAACCUCGACAUCCACACCCGUGUCCCCAUCAAACCGGAUCAAUACAACUCCUCGUACUACACGUGGAAGACCUACUUCAACCUUGUCUUUCGCGGGUACUACCUCCUCGAGCACGUCGACAAUUUCGUCGAUAGCACCGUCAUGGCGGGUGACCCGGAGUGGUCUGCCAUUGAGGCCACCCUCAUCCACUAGUUCUACCUCACCGUCUCGGUGGAUAUCUUCCACACGAUCGUCUCUGAGGAUGAUGAUGCUUGUCCCGUGUGGACCAAGAUCAAAGUCCUCUUCAUUAACAACAAGCUCCAACGCCUCAUUUUUUGCAACAAGAAUUUUUUGGUUGCCAUCAAGAUGACUCCUCCAUUGAUGACUAUUGCAUGCGCCUCAAGAGGCUUGCUGACGAGCUUUGCGACAUUGGUGCCAAGGAAUCCGAUGAUCUUAUGCUCAACACCCUCACCGUCGACCUUAAUGAAGACUUUGGCAACGCGGCCUCCAACCUCACCUUGUUGUCAGACACUACCUUUCACACCGUCAUCGCAUACUUGCGCCUGGAGGAACGACGGAUGAAGACGAUCAAGGCUUGGGUGCAUCACACCACCCUCGCCGUCGGGACCUCUCGCAGGAUGCCUGCACCAGCCCCGCCCCAGCAGCGGCCUCCCGCCCUGCCGGUGUUCUUCCCCCUGCCGCCCACGCCACCCACGUCACAGCAGCAGUAGCAGGGCGGCGGUCGCCGCAGAAGAUGUCGCGGGGGCGUCAGUCCCACACAACAGCAACAACAGCCGGGGUAUGGCAGGGCAGCAACGCCAACUCCUGUCCUACCCGCCCUGGACCACCGGCCAACCCGUGGACCGGCGUGGUUCACGCCUACACCAUGUCGGUCCCAUGAGCCCCUGCUCCGGGUCUCCUCGGACCCCGCCCCGCCGGCCCACAGGCUUACCUGGCGAUGCCCUACCAGGCGGGUGCCGGUGGCUACCCGUCGCUGCUCCCGACUCCACCGGUGGUAGGUGGCUACCCACAACCGCACGCACUGGAUCCACCCCAUGGAGGCCACGACCUUCCACCAACACCGUUAAAUCUAGCACUCCUCACUGCGCUGCACUCGGUGCCGUCACCCAACACCUACAGUGGCGGCGGAGACAGGUAUAUGGACACGGGGGCUAUUGCACACAUGACAGCUCAUCCCGGUAACCUAACCUCCUCCUCUACAGUUAACACCUCCACCCACAUCACCCUUGUUGACGGUUCUUCCUUGCCUAUCACUCAUGUUGGUCAUAGUUUCUUUCCGUCUAAUUCCAUGCGAAUCACUAUGUCUAACAUUCUUGUUUCUCCUGAUCUAGUCAAAAAUCUUGUCUCUGUUCGUCGUCUUGCUCAUGAAAAUCCCAUUACCGUUGAAUUUAAUGGUGUUGGUUUUUUCUGUGAAGGACGCAUGUACCCGGAUGGUUCUUCACCGAUGUGACAACCUAGACGAGCUGUACCCGGUGCACUCUGGCGCCGCCUCCACCACCGUCCCUCCAAUCGCCCUCUCCACCGGCGUUGACCUUUGACAUCCACGUUUGGAUCACCCCAACUCCGCCGUCCUUUGUCAGAUUCUUAGGAGUUUUUCUUUUUCAUGUAAUAAGCUCGACGAGCACACCUCUCAUGCUUGUCAUCUUGGCAAGCAUGUUCGUCUUCCCUUUAGUGCGUCCACAACUAUUUCUACUUUUCUGUUUCAGUUACUACAUAGUGAUGUAUGGACAUCUCCAGUUGUGAGCAAUACAGGCUAUACUUAUUAUCUUGUGCUACUCGAUGAUUUUGCCCACUUCGUGUGGACCUUUCCUCUUCACCACAAAUCUGACACCAUAGCUACAUUCAUGGCAUUUUAUUCAUAUGUCACCACACAGUUUGCUCGCCUGAUGCUCGCCCUUCAGACUGACAACGGAAAAGAGUUUAUCAAUGCGGUAAUUCGCCAGCUUAUCGCCUUUCAUGGCACUACCUUUCGCCUCACAUGCCCCUACAGUUCACAGCAGAAUGGUCGCGCCAAACACAUCCUCUGCAUUCUUAAUGACUGUGUCCUUACACUAUUGUUUCACUCCAAUGUACCCCCUCGGUUCUGGCCAGAUGCUCUCGCCACCGCCACUCUUCUCCUUAAUAUUCGGCCGUGUCGUCCUCACUGGAACUACAACCCUCACCAUCUUCUCUUUGGCACUCCUCCAUCCAACGAUGGUCUUCGCACCUUUGGUUGUCUCUGUUAUCCUAGUAUAGCCUCCACCACACCCCACAAGCUAGCACCUCAUUCCGUAGCUUGUAUUUUCCUAGGAUAUCCCUCUAACACCAAAGGUUACCGGUGUUAUGAUCAUGUCUCUCACGGUGUGUAGCAAGUGUACUUUGAUGAGCAUGUAUUUCCUUUUCACCAGGUACAACCAUCUGCAGCGGAUUCCUUACCACUUCUGGACGCCCCUCCGGCAUGGCAUGAGUCUCAAGCACGGCAUUCCCCUGCCACCUCCGUCGGCAGGCCACCCUCCCCGCCACGCACCCCUAUGGGCACGGCUUCCUCCGCCGCCCCUCUGGUGUGGCCGACUCUGGCGCCCUGGACCCCUCGGGCGCGGACCCUUUGGGUGAGGCCUCCUCGCGCAUGGUUACCACCGCCGACCCGGCUACGGCGGACUCGACCCCAUCCUCGUCCGUCGCCCCCUUGGUGGCCGCUCUGUCAUCCACUAGCAUGAUGACCCGGGCUUGCACAGGUAUACACUGGCCCAGCACAAGUUACACCUCUGAUGAGUAUGUUUGUAUCGCGUCGGCUCCACUGUCUUCACCGUCACCCAUCCCUUAUUCGCUCGUGCAUCCCUUCGUGAUCCACAUUGGCUCGCUGCAAUGCGUGAGGAGUUCGAUGCAUUGCAGCGCAACUACACGUGGCAUCUUGUUCCGCGGCCUCCCCAUGCUAACAUCAUCAGUGGCAAGUGGGUGUUCCGCCACAAGACCCGUCCUGACGGUUCUCUCGAGCGCUAAAAGGCUCGCUAGGUGGUCUGUGGCUUUCGAUAGUGCGCGGGCAUGGACUUCACCGACACCUUCGCUCCGGUUGUCAAACCGGGUACGAUCUGCAUAAUGCUCUAGUUGGCAGUCUCUCAUGCAUGGCAUGUGCAUCAGUUGGACGUGUCCAACGCCUUCCUGCACGAUCAUCUCACUGAGCGGGUGUUUUGUGAGCAGCCCACUGGCUUCAUUGACGCUGAGCAUUCUAAUCAUGUGUGCUUGCUAUCCCACUCUCUUUACGGGUAAAGCAGGCACCUCGGGCGUGGUACCAGUGUAAGGCGGUAUUUCUCCAGCAGCUCGGGUUUCACACCACUCGCUCUAACACUUCUCUCUUCUUCUACCAUCAGGGUGCCAUUAUUGCAUAUCUGCUGCUCUAUGUUAACGACAUCAUUGUGAUGGCAUCCUCUCCUGAGCUCCUCCGGCAGCUCACGGCUUGUAUCCGUGAUGAGUUUGCCCUCAAGGAUUUGGGAGCUCUGCAUUACUUCCUUUGCAUUGAGGUUGUUUGCCAUGCCGAUGGGUUCUUUUUGCAUCAGCAGAAGUAUGCUCACGAGUUGCUCGAGCGCGCUAGUAUGCUUAACCGCAAUUCCACCCCAUGCCCGUUGACACCAAGGCGAAGGUCUCUGCCUUGGAGGGAUCUCCUGCACCUGAGGCCAUGUUCUACCGCUCCAUUGUUGGUGCCCUGAAGUAUCUGAGGCUCACCCACCCGGACCUGCAGUAUUGAUACGUCUCCAAAGUGUCUAUGAACUUUUUAUUGUUCCAUGCUGUUAUAUUAUCAUUCUUGGGUGUUUUACAAUCAUUUUAUAGCAACUUUAUAUCAUUUCUUGGGAGUAACCUAUUGACAUAGUGCCCAGUGCCAGUUGCUGCUUUUUGCUUGUUUUUUACUUUGCGGAAUAUCCCUAUCAAACGGAGUCCAAACGCAGCAAAACUUUUUGGAGAUUUUUUUGGACCAAAAGACAACUUGGGAGCCAAGGAAGCACCUGGGGGAGGCCCGUGACCCACAAGACACCAGGGCCCUGAUGGGUUGUGGGGCCCACGAGGGUCUUCUCCAUCGUCUCUCAGCUCUAUAAAUACCCAAAUAUUCUAGAAAUCCUAGGGGAGUUGACGAAACACAAUUCCAGCUGCCGCAAGUUCCAGAACCACGAGAUCAAAUCUAGAGCCCUAUUUCGGCACUCCGCCAGAGGGGAACACGAUCAUAGAGGGGUUCAUCAUCCUCAUUGGCCCCUCUCUGAUGAUGCGUGAGUAGUUCACCAUAGACCUAUGAUCCAUAGGUAGUCGCUAGAUGGCUUGUUCUCUCUCUUUUUGAUUCUCAAUACAAUGGUCUCUUGGAAAUCUAUUUGAUGUAAUGACUUUUUGCGGUAUGUUUGUUCGGAUCCGAUGAAGUUUGAGUUUAUGAUCAGAUCUAUAUCCAUGAAUAUUAUUUGAGUCUUCUUUGAUCUCUUACAUGCAUGAUUAUUUAUAGCCUUGUAUUUCUUCUUUGAAUCUUUGGAUUAGUUAGGCCAACUAGAUUGAUUUUUCUUGUAAUGGGAAGACGUGCUUUGUGAUGGGUUCGAUCUUGCGGUGUCCUCACCUGUUGACAGGAGGAGUAGCGAGGCACGCAUGUAUCAUUGCUAUUAAGGAUAAAAAGAUGGGGUCUAUUCCUAUAUGAAUAGGUCUUGUCUACAUCAUGUCAUCGUUAUUAUUGCAUUACUCCAUUUCUUCAUGAACUUAAUACACUAGAUGCAUGCUGGAUAGCGGUCGAUGGGUGGAGUAAUAGUAGUAGAUGUAGGCAGGAGUCGGUCUACUAAUCUUGGAUGUGAUGCCUAUAUACAUGAUCAUUGCCAUGGAUAUCAUCACAAUUAUUUGAUGUUCUAUCAAUUGCCCAAUAGAAAUUUGUUUACGCACCGUGUGCUAUUUUAUCGAGAGAAGCCACUAGUGAAAUCUACGACCCCGGGGUCUAUCUUUUACUCCCUCCAUUCCACAAUGUAGUGCUUCCUCUAUCCCCGUGCUUCAAUUUUGACCGUAAAUUUAACUACCAAGACCGAUUGCGGCGGGAGCAAAAAUUAUAUCAGUGAAUUUGUAUUCGAAAGAAGUUUUCAAUUAUAUAUCUUUUUCUCCCGCCGCAGUUGGUCUCGUUGGUUAAAUUUAUGGUCAAAGUUGGACCUCGGGAAGCGCAGGCGCACUAUAUUUUGGAAUGGAGGGAGUAUCAUAUUUGCUUUUUGAUCUAUCUUUUGCCAUAUUUAUUUUCCAAUCUAUUAUUCCAAAACCCCAAAAAUACCUUGCUGCACUUUUUCUUGACUUAUUUUAUUUCGUGUUUUGUUCAGAUCUAUUUAUCCAAUCUCAUACAAAUCAAUCUAUCUUUUUAUCGUGGAGGGAUUGACAACCCCUCUUACGCGUCGGGUUGCAAGUAUUUGUUCUUUGUGUGCAGGUACCAUUUACAUAGUGUUGCUUGGUCCUCCUACUGGAUUGAUACCUUGGUUUCACCACUAUGGGAAAUACCUACCAUAGCUGUACUGCAUCAUCCCUUCCUCUUUGGGGAAACACCAACGCAGUUUCAAGCCGCAUCAAAAGGAAUUUCUGGUGCCGUUGCCGGGGAGACAUGAUACGUCUCCAACGUAUCUAUAAUUUUUGAUUGUUCCAUGCUGUUAUAUUAUCAAUCUUGGAUGUUUUAUAAUCAUUUAUAUUAUUUUUUGGUACUAACCUAUUGACAUAGUGCCAAGUGCCAGUUGCUGUUUUCUGCAUGUUUUUUACAUCGUGGGAAAUCAAUACCAAAUGGAGUCCAAAUGCAAUGAAACUUUACGGAGAUUUUUUAUGGACCAGAAGACACCCAAUGGGCCAAGGCAGCGCCUGGGGGGGGUGCUCCGAGGGGAGCACAACCCACCAGGACACGCCAGGAGGCCCACGCGCGCCCUGGUGGGUUGUGCGCACCUCGGGUGCCCCUCGGACCGCCUCUUUGCUCUAUAAAUACCCCAAUAUUUCAGAAACCCUAGGGGAGUCGAUGAAAAUCAAUUACAGCUGCUGUAGAGUCCAGAACCACUAGAUCCAAUCUAGACACCAUCACGGAGGGGUUCACCACUUCCAUUGGUGCCUCUCCGAUGAUGCGUGAGUAGUUCUUUGUAGACCUUCGGGUCCGUAGUUAGUAGCUAGAUGGCUUCCUCUCUCUUGUUUGAUUCUCAAUACAAUGGUCUCUUGGAGAUCCAUAUGAUGUAACUCUUUUUGCAGUGGUUUGUUGGGAUCGGAUGAACUUUGAGUUUAUGAUCGACGAAAAGGGGGAGAAGCAUAUGAGUUGAUAGUCUUCAAGCGGGUCCUUAUGGGUGGUUGCAUUAUUUUGCUAAGUCUUUACAACUCUUGUAUUUUGAAACAAUUUGGUUCUUUGAGUUGUAACACUUAAACUCGAUGGUCAUCUGCUACUUUUUCUGCUACUUUCUGAUGCGAUGAUAAAUCCCACAUGAAGCCAUUCCGCAGACGUCCAUUUUUCAUUAUGCAUGUCAUUAUCUUCGUUAUCUCUUUAUCUACAUGAUGAAUUGUCUUCAUAUGUUGAGAGGAUCUCCACAAAGUAAAACCUGCCAUGUGCAUUUGUUGGGUUUCGUAGUAAUUUCAAAAAAUUUCCUACGCGCACACAGGAUCAUGUGAUGCAUAGCAACGAGGGGAAGAGUAUUGUCUACGUACCCUACGCAGACCGACUGCGGAAGCGAUGACACGACGUAGAGGAAGUAGUCGUACGUCUUCACGAUCCAACCGAUCAAGCACCGAAACUACGGCACCUCCGAGUUCGAGCACACGUUCAGCUCGAUGACGAUCCCCGGACUCCGAUCCAGCAAAGUGUCGGGGAAGAGUUCCGUCAGCACGACGGCGUGGUGACGAUCUUGAUGAACUACAGCAGCAGGGCUUCGCCUAAACUCCGCUACAGUAUUAUCGAGGAAUAUGGUGGCAGGGGGCACCGCACACGGCUAAGGAAUCGAUCACGUGGAUCAACUUGUGUCAACUUGUGUGUUUAGAGGUGCCCCUGCCUCAGUAUAUAAAGGAGCCAAGGGGGGAGGGUGCGCCGGCCAGGAGGAGGAGGCGCAGGAGGAGUCCUACUCCUACCGGGAGUAGGACUCCCCUCCAAUCCUAUUCCAACUAGGAUUCCCAAGGGGAAAGAGGGAGAGGGGUGGCCGGCCACCUCUCCUAGUCCUAAUAGGACUAGGGGAAGGGGGGAGGCGCACAGCCCCCUUGGGCUGCCCCUUUCUCCUUUCCACUAAGGCCCAUGAAGGCCCAUGUGGUUCCCGGGGGGUUCCGGUAACCUCCCGGUAACCCGGUAAAAUCCCGAUUUCACCCGGAACACUUCCGAUGUCCAAACAUAGGCUUCCAAUAUAUCAAUCUUUAUGUCUCGACCAUUUCGAGACUCCUCGUCAUGUCCGUGAUGACAUCCGGGACUCCGAACAACCUUCGGUACAUCAAAAUGCAUAAACUCAUAAUAUAACUGUCAUCGUAACCUUAAGCGUGCGGACCCUACGGGUUCGAGAACAAUGUAGACAUGACCGAGACAUGUCUCUGGUCAAUAACCAAUAGCGGGACCUGGAUGCCCAUAUUGGCUCCUACAUAUUCUACGAAGAUCUUUAUCGGUCAGACCGCAUAACAACAUACGUUGUUCCCUUUGUCAUCGGUAUGUUACUUGCCCGAGAUUCGAUCGUCGGUAUCCAAUACCUAGUUCAAUCUCGUUACCGGCAAGUCUCUUUACUCGUUCCGUAAUACAUCAUCUCACAACUAACAUAUUAGUUGUAAUGCUUGCAAGGCUUAUGUGAUGUGUAUUACCGAGAGGGCCCAGAGAUACCUCCCCGACAAUCGGAGUGACAAAUCCUAAUCUCGAAAUACGCCAACCCAACAUCGACCAUUGGAGACACCUGUAGUACUCCUUUAUAAUCACCCAGUUACGUUGUGACGUUUGGUAGUACCCAAAGUGUUCCUCCGGUAAACGGGAGUUGCAUAAUCUCAUAGUCAUAGGAACAUGUAUAAGUCAUGAAGAAAGCAAUAGCAACAUACUAAACGAUCGGGUGCUAAGCUAAUGGAAUGGGUCAUGUCAAUCAGAUCAUUCUACUAAUGAUGUGACCUCGUUAAUCAAAUAACAACUCAUUGUUCAUGGUUAGGAAACAUAACCAUCUUUGAUUAACGAGCUAGUCAAGUAGAGGCAUACUAGUGACACUCUGUUUGUCUAUGUAUUCACACAUGUAUUAUGUUUCCGGUAAAUACAAUUCUAGCAUGAAUAAUAACCAUUUAUCAUGAUUAUGAGGAAAUAAAUAAUAACUUUAUUAUUGCCUCUAGGGCAUAUUUCCUUCAGUCUCCCACUUGCACUAGAGUCAAUAAUCUAGAUUACACUGUAAUGAAUCUAACACCCAUGGAGCUUUGGUGCUGAUCAUGUUUUGCUCGUGGAAGAGGCUUAGUCAACGGGUCUGCAACAUUCAGAUCCGUAUGUAUCUUGCAAAUCUCUAUGUCUCCCACCUGGACUAGAUCCCGGAUGGAGUUGAAGCGUCUCUUGAUGUGUUUGGUCCUUUUGUGAAAUCUGGAUUCCUUUGCCAAGGCAAUUGCACCAGUAUUGUCACAAAAGAUUUUCAUUGGACCCGAUGCACUAGGUAUGACACCUAGAUCGGAUAUGAACUCCUUCAUCCAGACUCCUUCAUUUGCUGCUUCCGAAGCAGCUAUGUAUUCCGCUUCACAUGUAGAUCCCGCUACGACGCUUUGUUUAGAACUGCACCAACUGACAGCUCCACCGUUUAAUGUAAACACAUAUCCGGUUUGCGAUUUAGAAUCGUCCGGAUCAGUGUCAAAGCUUGCAUCAACGUAACCUUUUACGAUGAGCUCUUUGUCACUUCCAUAUACGAGAAACAUAUCCUUAGUCCUUUUUAGGUAUUUCAGGAUGUUCUUGACCGCUGUCCAGUGAUCCAUUCCUGGAUUACUUUGGUACCUCCCUGCUAAACUUAUAGCAAGGCACACAUCAGGUCUGGUACACAGCAUUGCAUACAUGAUAGAGCCUAUGGCUGAUGCAUAGGGAACAUCUUUCAUAUUCUCUCUAUCUUCUGCAGUGGUCGGGCAUUGAGUCUUACUCAAUUUCACACCUUGUAACACAGGCAAGAACCCUUUCUUUGCUUGAUCCAUUUUGAACUUCUUCAAAAUUUUGUCAAGGUAUGUGCUUUGUGAAAGUCCAAUUAAGCGUCUUGAUCUAUCUCUAUAGAUCUUAAUGCCUAAUAUGUAAGCAGCUUCACCAAGGUCUUUCAUUGAAAAACUUUUAUUCAAGUAUCCCUUUAUGCUAUCCAGAAAUUCUAUAUCAUUUCCAAUCAGUAAUAUGUCAUCCACAUAUAAUAUCAGAAAUGCUACAGAGCUCCCACUCACUUUCUUGUAAAUACAGGCUUCUCCGAAAGUCUGUAUAAAACCAAAUGCUUUGAUCACACUAUCAAAACGUUUAUUCCAACUCCGAGAGGCUUGCACCAGUCCAUAAAUGGAUCGCUGGAGCUUGCACACUUUGUUAGCUCCCUUUGGAUCGACAAAACCUUCUGGUUGCAUCAUAUACAACUCUUCUUCCAGGAAUCCAUUCAGGAAUGCAGUUUUGACAUCCAUUUGCCAAAUUUCAUAAUCAUAAAAUGCGGCAAUUGCUAACAUGAUUCGGACGGACUUAAGCAUCGCUACGGGUGAGAAGGUCUCAUCGUAGUCAAUUCCUUGAAUUUGUCGAAAACCUUUUGCGACAAGUCGAGCUUUGUAGACAGUAACAUUACCAUCAGCGUCAGUCUUCUUCUUAAAGAUCCAUUUAUUCUCAAUUGCUUGCCGAUCAUCGGGCAAGUCAACCAAAGUCCAUACUUUGUUCUCAUACAUGGAUCCCAUCUCAGAUUUCAUGGCUUCAAGCCACUUUGCGGAAUCUGGGCUCACCAUUGCUUCUUCAUAGUUCGUAGGUUCAUCAUGAUCUAGUAGCAUGACUUCCAGAACAGGAUUUCCGUACCACUCUGGCGCGGAUCUUACUCUGGUUGAUCUACGUGGUUCAGUAGUAUCUUGAACUGAAGUUUCAUGAUCAUUAUCAUUGGCUUCCUCACUAACCGGUGUAGGUGUCACUGAAACAGUUUUCUGUGAUGAGCUACUCUCCAGUAAGGGAGCAGGUACAGUUACCUCGUCAAGUUCUACUUUCCUCCCACUCACUUCUUUCGAGAGAAACUCCUUCUCUAGAAAUGAUCCAUUCUUAGCAACGAAUGUUUUGCCUUCGGAUCUGUGAUAGAAGGUGUACCCAACAGUUUCCUUUGGGUAUCCUAUGAAGACACAUUUCUCCGAUUUGGGUUCGAGCUUAUCAGGUUGAAGUUUUUUUUCACAUAAGCAUCGCAGCCCCAAACUUUAAGAAAUGACAACUUUGGUUUCUUGCCAAACCACAGUUCAUAAGGCGUCGUCUCAACGGAUUUUGAUGGUGCCCUAUUUAACGUGAAUGCGGCCGUCUCUAAAGCAUAUCCCCAAAAUGAUAGCGGUAAAUCAGUAAGAGACAUCAUAGAUCGCACCAUAUCUAGUAAAGUACGAUUACGACGUUCGGACACACCAUUACGCUGUGGUGUUCUGGGUGGCGUGAGUUGCGAAACUAUUCCACAAUUUUUCAAAUAUACACCAAACUCGUAACUCAAAUAUUCUCCUCCACGAUCAGAUCGUAGAAACUUAAUUUUCUUGUUACGAUGAUUUUCAACUUCACUCUGAAAUUCUUUGAACUUUUCAAAUGUUUCAGACUUAUGUUUCAUUAAGUAAAUAUAGCCAUAUCUGCUUAAAUCAUCUGUGAAGGUGAGAAAAUAACGAUAUCCGCCACGAGCCUCAAUAUUCAUCGGGCCACAUACAUCGGUAUGUAUGAUUUCCAACAAAUCUGUUGCUCUCUCCAUAGUACCGGAGAACGGUGUUUUAGUCAUCUUGCCCAAGAGGCACGGUUCGCAAGUACCAAGUGAUUCAUAAUCAAGUGGUUCCAAAAGUCCAUCGGUAUGGAGUUUCUUCAUGCGCUUUAUACCGAUAUGACCUAAACGACAGUGCCACAAAUAAGUUGCACUUUCAUUAUCAACUCUGCAUCUUUUGGCUUCAACAUUAUGAAUAUGUGUAUUACUACUAUCGAGAUUUAGUAAGAAUAGACCACUCUUCAAGGGUGCAUGACCAUAAAAUAUAUUACUCAUAUAAAUAGAACAACCAUUAUUCUCUGAUUUAAAUGAAUAACCGUCUCGCAUUAAACAAGAUCCAGAUAUAAUGUUCAUGCUCAACGCUGGCACCAAAUAACAAUUAUUUAGGUCUAAUAUUAAUCCCGAAGGUAGAUGUAGAGGUAGCGUGCCGACUGCGAUCACAUCGACUUUGGAACCGUUUCCCACGCGCAUCGUCACCUCGUCCUUUGCUAGUGCCCGCUUAUUCUGUAGUCCCUGUUUCGAGUUGCAAAUAUUAGCAACAGAACCAGUAUCAAAUACCCAGGUGCUACUGCGAGCUCUAGUAAGGUACACAUCAAUAACAUGUAUAUCACAUAUACCUUUGUUCACCUUGCCAUCCUUCUUAUCCGCCAAAUACUUGGGGCAGUUCCGCUUCCAGUGACCAGUCUGCUUGCAGUAGAAGCACUCAGUUUCAGGCUUAGGUCCAGACUUGGGUUUCUUCUCUUGAGCAGCAACUUGCUUGCCGUUCCUUUUGAAGUUCCCCUUUUUCUUCCCUUUGCCCUUUUUCUUGAAACUAGUGGUCUUGUUAACCAUCAACACUUGAUGCUCCUUCUUGAUUUCUACCUCCGCAGCUUUUAGCAUUGCGAAGAGCUCGGGAAUAGUCUUGUUCAUCCCUUGCAUAUUAUAGUUCAUCACGAAGCUCUUGUAGCUUGGUGGCAGUGAUUGGAGAAUUCUGUCAAUGACGCAAUCAUCCGGAAGAUUAACUCCCAAUUGAAUCAAGUGAUUAUUAUACCCAGACAUUUUGAGUAUAUGCUCACUGACAGAACUGUUCUCCUCCAUCUUGCAGCUAUAGAACUUAUUGGAGACUUCAUAUCUCUCAAUCCGGGCAUUUGCUUGAAAUAUUAACUUCAACUCCUGGAACAUCUCAUAUGCUCCAUGAUGUUCAAAACGUCGUUGAAGUCCCGAUUCUAAGCCGUAAAGCAUGGCACACUGAACUAUCGAGUAGUCAUCAGCUUUGCUCUGCCAGACGUUCAUAACAUCUGGCGUUGCUCCAGCAGCAGGCCUGGCACCCAGCGGUGCUUCCAGGACGUAAUUCUUCUGUGCAGCAAUGAGGAUAAUCCUCAAGUUACGGACCCAGUCUGUGUAAUUGCUACCAUCAUCUUUCAACUUUGCUUUCUCAAGGAACGCAUUAAAAUUUAACGGAACAACAGCACGAGCCAUCUAUCUACAAUCAACAUAAACAAGCAAGAUACUAUCAGGGACUAAGUUCAUGAUAAAUUUUAAGUUCAAUUAAUCAUAUUACAAAAGAACUCCCACUUAGAUAGACAUCUCUCUAAUCCUCUAAGUGAUCACGUGAUCCAAAUCAACUAAACCAUAACCGAUCAUCACGUGAGAUGGAGUAGUUUUCAAUGGUGAACAUCGUUAUGUUGAUCAUAUCUACUAUAUGAUUCACGCUCGACCUUUCGGUCUCCGUGUUCCGAGGCCAUAUCUGCAUAUGCUAGGCUCGUCAAGUUUAACCUGAGUAUUCUGCGUGUGCAAAACUGGCUUGCACCCGUUGUAGAUGGACGUAGAGCUUAUCACACCCGAUCAUCACGUGGUGUCUGGGCAAGACGAACUUUGGCAACGGUGCAUACUCAGGGAGAACACUUCUUGAUAAUUUAGUGAGAGAUCAUCUUAUAAUGCUACCGUCAAUCAAAGCAAGAUAAGAUGCAUAAAAAGAUAAACAUCACAUGCAAUCAAUAUAAGUGAUAUGAUAUGGCCAUCAUCAUCUCGUGCUUGUGAUCUCCAUCUCCGAAGCACCGUCAUGAUCACCAUCGUCACCGGCGCGACACCUUGAUCUCUAUCGUAGCAUCGUUGUCGUCUCGCCAAUCUUAUGCUUCCACGACUAUCACUACCGUUUAGUAAUAAAGUAAAGCAUUACAUCGCGAUUGCAUUGCAUACAAUAAAGCGACAACCAUAUGGCUCCUGCCAGUUGCCGAUAACUCGGUUACAAAACAUGAUCAUCUCAUACAAUAAAAUUCAGCAUCAUGCUUUGACCAUAUCACAUCACAACAUGCCCUGCAAAAACAAGUUAGACGUCCUCUACUUUGUUGUUGCAUGUUUUACGUGGCUGCUACGGGCUUAAGUAAGAACCAAUCUCACCUACGCAUCAAAACCAAAAUGAUAGUUUGUCAAAUAGACUCCGUUUUAACCUUCGCAAGGACCGGGCGUAGCCAUACUUGGUUCAACUAAAGUUGGAGAGGCAUUCGCCCGCAAGCCAUCUCUGUGCAAAGCACGUCGAGGGAACCGGUCUCGCGUAAGCGUACGCGUAAGGUUGGUCCGGGUCGUCUCGUCCAACAAUACCGCCGAACCAAAAUAUGACAUGCUGGUAGGCAGUAUGACUUGUAUCGUCCACAACUCACUUGUGUUCUACUCGUGCAUAUAACAUCAACAUCAUUAACCUAGGCUCGGAUGCCACUGUUGGGUUUCGUAGUAAUUUCAAAAAUUUUCCUACGCGCACACAGGAUCAUGUGAUGCAUAGCAACGAGGGGAAGAGUAUUGUCUACGUACCCUACGCAGACCGACUACGGAAGCGAUGACACGACGUAGAGGAAGUAGUCGUACGUCUUCACGAUCCAACCGAUCAAGCACCGAAACUACGGCACCUCCGAGUUCGAGCACACGUUCAGCUCGAUGACGAUCCCCGGACUCCGAUCCAGCAAAGUGUCGGGGAAGAGUUCCGUCAGCACGACGGCGUGGUGACGAUCUUGAUGAACUACAGCAGCAGGGCUUCGCCUAAACUCCGCUACAGUAUUAUCGAGGAAUAUGGUGGCAGGGGGCACCGCACACGGCUAAGGAAUCGAUCACGUGGAUCAACUUGUGUCAACUUGUGUGUUUAGAGGUGCCCCUGCCUCAGUAUAUAAAGGAGCCAAGGGGGGAGGGUGCGCCGGCCAGGAGGAGGAGGCGCAGGAGGAGUCCUACUCCUACCGGGAGUAGGACUCCCCUCCAAUCCUAUUCUAACUAGGAUUCCCAAGGGGGAAAGAGGGAGAGGGGUGGCCGGCCACCUCUCCUAGUCCUAAUAGGACUAGGGGAAGGGGGGAGGCGCGCAGCCCCCUUGGGCUGCCCCUUUCUCCUUUCCACUAAGGCCCAUGAAGGCCCAUGUGGUUCCCGGGGGGUUCCGGUAACCUCCCGGUAACCCGGUAAAAUCCCGAUUUCACCCGGAACACUUCCGAUGUCCAAACAUAGGCUUCCAAUAUAUCAAUCUUUAUGUCUCGACCAUUUCGAGACUCCUUGUCAUGUCCGUGAUCACAUCCGGGACUCCGAACAACCUUCGGUACAUCAAAAUGCAUAAACUCAUAAUAUAACUGUCAUCGUAACCUUAAGCGUGCGGACCCUACGGGUUCGAGAACAAUGUAGACAUGACCGAGACAUGUCUCUGGUCAAUAACCAAUAGCGGGNNNNNNNNNNNNNNNNNNNNNNNNNNNNNNNNNNNNNNNNNNNNNNNNNNNNNNNNNNNNNNNNNNNNNNNNNNNNNNNNNNNNNNNNNNNNNNNNNNNNNNNNNNNNNNNNNNNNNNNNNNNNNNNNNNNNNNNNNNNNNNNNNNNNNNNNNNNNNNNNNNNNNNNNNNNNNNNNNNNNNNNNNNNNNNNNNNNNNNNNNNNNNNNNNNNNNNNNNNNNNNNNNNNNNNNNNNNNNNNNNNNNNNNNNNNNNNNNNNNNNNNNNNNNNNNNNNNNNNNNNNNNNNNNNNNNNNNNNNNNNNNNNNNNNNNNNNNNNNNNNNNNNNNNNNNNNNNNNNNNNNNNNNNNNNNNNNNNNNNNNNNNNNNNNNNNNNNNNNNNNNNNNNNNNNNNNNNNNNNNNNNGUACUCCUUUAUAAUCACCCAGUUACGUUGUGACGUUUGGUAGUACCCAAAGUGUUCCUCCGGUAAACGGGAGUUGCAUAAUCUCAUAGUCAUAGGAACAUGUAUAAGUCAUGAAGAAAGCAAUAGCAACAUACUAAACGAUCGGGUGCUAAGCUAAUGGAAUGGGUCAUGUCAAUCAGAUCAUUCUACUAAUGAUGUGACCUCGUUAAUCAAAUAACAACUCUUUGUUCAUGGUUAGGAAACAUAACCAUCUUUGAUUAACGAGCUAGUCAAGUAGAGGCAUACUAGUGACACUAUGUUUGUCUAUGUAUUCACACAUGUAUUAUGUUUCCGGUAAAUACAAUUCUAGCAUGAAUAAUAAACAUUUAUCAUGAUUAUAAGGAAAUAAAUAAUAACUUUAUUAUUGCCUCUAGGGCAUAUUUCCUUCAGCAUUUGCAUUCAAAAGCAAACUACUUAUAUGCACACCUUUAGGGGGAGCCUUUUGCUACAUAUGAAGACAAUGCCUUAAUCCUUAACUUUCACAUACUUUUGUCCCCAUUGAAAACUUCAACUAGUUUGUCACCAAUCACCAAAAAGGGGGAGAUUGUAAGUGCAUCUAGUGCCACCCCUAGUUGGUUUUGGAGUAUUGAUGACAAACUUGGUUGAGGGACUAAUGUGUUUGUGAGAAUUGCAGGAUAACACAGGUAGUAGUCCCUUAUUGAUUCGGUUUACCUACCAGAGAUGACCCCUAAAAAUGUGUGAAGACAUUGAAGCCAAUGGUGGUUUGUGAAGACAUUCAUAGUGAAGAUUAUGACAGGAGAAGACAUUCAUGUGAAGACUAUGGAGUGCGAAGACAUAGUUGUUUCGUAGUUUCCUUUUCUUCUUUGUUGAGUCAUAGGAACCACCGUACUGUUAAGUGGGGUCCAAGUGAACAAAGUCAGAGUGACUGAAGUGAUGCUCAACCAAAAUCCUAUGUCUUCGAGCGAAGAUAGUGAGAGCAAAUCUUAUCCAGAGCUGGAUGAGUCGGUUUUACUAGUAGCCCAAGUCAAGCUGCCGCGUGUGUUUGAAAUCCGACCGUUGGACACGUCUCGGUUCCUUAGUGACCUAGGGUCAUUUCGGACAAAUCAGGUCGGGUUGCCUCCUUGCUAUAUAUAGCCCACCCCUACACCAUAAAUUGGUGGCUGCUCAGAGUUAGUGCACGGCUUUUGUUGUUUGAGAGAAACCCACCUCCAAAGCAUUUGAGAGAGAGAUCCUUGCGAGGACAAAGCCCUAAACACCCAGUGCCAAAGAGUGUUAGGCAUCACUGAAGUCUUUCUAUCUGCGUGACCUGAAGACUUGUUACACUUGAGGACUGUGAAUCCUCCAGCCGGUUAGGCGUCGCGUUCUGAGCAUCCAAGAGUCAUUGUGGAUCGCCGGUGAAUGAAGUCUAUGAAGGUUUGGAAGUCUAACUUGAAGACUUACCAGAGUGAUUGGGCGAGAACUGGGUGUCCUUAGCUCAAGGGGAAUAAGGUGAAGACGCGGUCUUCUGAGUUGAAUCUCAGCCUCCCUAACCAGACGUACAGUUGUCACAGCAACUGGAACUGGUCUACCAACUCCUUGUCUUCACCAAGCAACUGGUUCUAUCCUUCGCUUUCCUUUACUUUACAGUUUUUCUUCAUGAAGUCAUUGCUUGCCUGUAUGAUCUGAUUGACUUCACCUUGUGAAGACUGUUUACUAUUUGGCUUCAUACUAUCUUCCAUCCUGAUCCAUACUACCUAGCUGCUGAUAGUCUUCAUGCCUUCACUUCAUUGCUUACUUGACUGUGGCUUGUCUAGUGUAGUCUACCUUCCAUUGCAUAUCAAUAGGUUUAUUUCUACUAUUUGUCUUCAAAGCCCCCGUGUUUUGAAGACUUCCAUAAAAAUCGCCUAUUCACCCCACCUCUAGUCGAUAACUAGCACUUUCAAUUGGUAUCAAAGCAAGGUGCUCCCUUGUUCUGUGUGAUUCGGUUUAACCACCUGGAGUUUUAACUAUGUCGACUGCAGGGAUAAUCAAGGUCUCUGUUGCAUGCCCUGUCUUCGAUGGCACUGAUUACCCCUACUAGAAGAACAAGAUGCGCAUGCAUCUCGAAGCCAUUGACGUCGACCUCUGGUAUGUCGUCAAGAAUGGUGUUCCCAAGGUCGGUGAAGGUGUCACCAUUGCUGAUGUCAAGAGGUUCAUUCAACUGGAUUCGACUACCAAGAACAUCAUCUGUGGUCAUCUGACCAAAGGACAGUACGACUGUGUGAGUGCACUAGAAACUGCAAAGCUAGUCUGGGACUGGCUCUCCAAGGUCAACGAAGGCGUCUCAACUCAGAGAGACUCAAGGAUUGAUGUUCUUCGUGACCUCUUCAACCGCUUCAAGAGAAACGACAAUGAGAAUGUCCAGCUCACGUUUGAUCACCUCACUGAUAUCACAAAUGAGCUUCGCGCGCUUGGCGCCACUGAGAUCACCAAGCAUGAAAUCGUCAAGAAGCUUCUGAGAUCACUUGACAGCUCAUUUAACACCCUGGCCCUGAUGAUUCAAGAACAUCCUGACUUCAAGACUCUCGAUCCAUCUGACAUACUUGAGAGACUCAACACACAUGAGUUCCAGUUAUCUGAAUAGAGACAUCUAUGGGCCCAACUAUGGCCAAUCCCGGGCUUUGAAGGCAAAGGUUGUGUCCUCAUCUGAAGAAGAAUCUGACUGCAGUUCUAGGGAUCCUGAAGACAUUGGAAGGGAGCUAGCUAUGCUCGUGAAGAAGUUCCAGAAGUCCUCCAAGAAGAAAGGCUUUAGAAAGUCUUCAAGAUCCAGCUCAAGAAAUGAUGAAGCCUCCUCUCGUGACUACAAGAAGAGAACAUGCCACAAAUGCAAGAAACCUGGUCACUACAUCUCUGAGUGUCCUCAAUGGGACAAUGAGACCAAGAAGAAGAAGAAGAAAGGCAAAGAAUAUGAUUCUGAUGACAAGAAGAAGAAGAAAUCCUCAAAGUCUUCUUCAAAGUGUUCAUCAAAGCCUUCAUCAUACAAGAAGAGCUCAUCAAGAAAGGCUCGUGCGUUUGUUGGCAAGGAAAUGGAUUCAGAGGAGGAGUCCGCUUUUGAGGAGGCGGAGGUGGAGUCGGAGGAGGAUUCAGAUUCAGGCGUGGCAAGCCUGGCUCUAGCGUCAACAUAUGUCGCCAAGUCCAUCUUGAACACUGAAGACAAUGACAUCGUCACCAACGCUGAUGCUGAUGAUGAGGAUGACUCUGCUCCUACCUACUGCUUCAUGGCACGUGGUGCCAAGGUAAACUCAAACGAUGCUUACUUUCAAACAUCCAUUGAAGAUGACUUUGAAUGUGAAUUUAAACCUAGCUACAAAACACUUGCUAAAAUUGCAAUAGAACAACAAAAUGCUAUGGAACACAUUCAUAUGUUGCUAGACAAAAGCGAUGACCUGUUGGACGCGAAAAUGACUCGAACUCAGUCCUUAAUUGAAGCAUUAAAAAUCUUCAUGUUAAGUACGAAGAACUUGAAAGUCGUCAUGAAACACUCUCAGCUACUCAUGAGAAGCUUUUCUAUGAUUAUCUUCAAAGGAAGCAAGAACUUGAGAACCUGAGAGCAUCUCAUGAAGAUCUUCAAAAGGAGAUUGAGUCACUUCGCGCUCAACAGAUCAGUCCCGCUCAGGAAGACUUUGAGCCACCAUGUUUGAAAUGUCUUGAGCGUGAUAAUGCUGUCUCUAUUGCUAAAUGUUCUACUACUUCUAUUGUUGUUAUGUGAUACGUCUCCAACGUAUCUAUAAUUUUUUAUUGCUCCAUGCUAUAUUAUCUACUAUUUUGGAUGUUUAUGGGCUUUAUUAUACACUUUUAUAUCUUUUCUGGGACUAACCUAUUAACCCAGAGCCCAGUGCCAGUUUAUGUUUUUACCUUGUUUUAGGGUUUCGAAGAAAAGGAAAAUCAAACGAAGUCCAAUUGACCUGAAACUUCACGGAACUCAUUUUUGGAAGGAAAGAAGCCUAGAAGACUUGGAGUGCACGCCAGGGGACUUAUGAGGAGGCCACGAGGCAGGGGGGCGCGCCCACCCCCUAGGCGCGCCCUCCACCCUUGUGGGCCCCUCGUGCCCCCCCUGACGUACUUCUUCCGCCGAUAUAUCUCCAUAUACCCUAAAAUGAUCGAAAAAGAGAUUAGAUCGGGAGUUCCGCCGCCAGAAGCCUCCGUAGCCACCGAAAACCAAUCUAGACCCGUUCCGGCACCCUGCCGGAGGGGGAAUCCUUCUCCGGUGGCCAUCUUCAUUAUCCCGGUGCUCUCCAUGACGAGGGAGUAGUUCUCCCUCGGGGCUGAGGGUAUGUACCAGUAGCUAUGUGUUUGAUCUCUCUCUCUCUCUCUCAUGUUCUUGAGAUGAUACGAUCUUGUUGUAUCGUGAGCUUUGCUAUUAUAUUUGGAUCCUAUGAUGUUUCUUCCCCCCUCUACUCUCUUGUAAGUUUCCCCUUUGAAGUUAUCUUAUCGGAUUGAGUCUUUAAAGAUUUGAGAACACUUGAUGUAUGUCUUGCCGUGCGUAUCUGUGGUGACAAUGGGAUACCAUGUGAUUCACUUGAUGUAUGUUUUGGUGAUCAACUUGCGGGUUCCGCCCAUGAACCUAUGCAUAGGGGUUGGCACAUGUUUUCAUCGUGAUUCUCCGGUAGAACUUUGGGGCACUCUUUGAGGUCCUUUGUGUUGGUUGAAUAGAUGAAUCUGAGAUUGUGUGAUGCAUAUCGUAUAAUCAUACCCACGGAUACUUGAGGUGACAUUGGAGUAUCUAGGUGACAUUAGGGUUUUGGUUGAUUUGUGUCUUAAGGUGUUAUUCUAGUACGAACUCUAGGGAUGUUUGUGACACUUAUAGGAAUAGCCCAACGGAUUGAUUGGAAAGAAUAACUUUGAGGUGGUUUCGUACCCUACCAUAAUCUCUUCGUUCGUUCUCUGCUAUUAGUGACUUUGGAGUGACUCUUUGUUGCAUGUUGAGGGAUAGUUAUGUGAUCCAACUAUGUUAGUAUUGUUGAGGGAACUUACACUUGUGAAAGUAUGAACCCUAGGCCUUAUUUCCACGCAUUGCAAUACCGUUUACGCUCACUUUUAUCAUUAGUUACCUUGCUGUUUUUUAUAAUUUCAUAUUACAAAUACCUUUAUCUACUAUCCAUAUACCACUUGUAUCACCCUCUCUUCGCCGAACUAGUGCACCUAUACAAUUUAUUGUUGUAUUGGGUGUGUUGGGUACACAAGAGACUCUUUGUUAUUUGGUUGCAGGGUUGCUUGAGAGAGACCAUCUUCAUCCUACGCCUCCUACGGGUUGAUAAACCUUGGGUCAUCCACUUGAGGGAAAUUUGCUACUGUCCUACAAACCUCUGCACUUGGAGGCCCAACAACGUCUACAAGAAGAAGGUUGUGUAGUAGACAUCAAGCUCUUUUCUGCCGCCGUUGCCGGGGAGGUUAGCGCUUGAAGGUAUAUCCUUAGAUCUUGCAAUCGAGUCUUUUAGUUUCUUGUUUUACCACUAGUUUAGUUUAUAAAAUAAAGUUACAAAAAAUAGAAUUAAGUUUGUCUCAUACGCUUCAUCUUUUUAAUAUCUUUCGUGAGUAUGAUGGAAAGGAUAAUUGUGCUCAAGUGCUAGGAGAAGAAAUAUAUAAAAUGUUUGGCACUAAAUAUUUGAAUGAUGAGCAUGAUUGCAAUGUUGUUAGUACGAAUUCUUUGAAUAUCCAUGAUACUAAUGAUGAUUGCACUAGUUAUGAUGAAAAUGUCUCCUAUAAACAGGUCAAUUUUUGUGGAGUGCAUCGGGUUUGUAAGUACACACCAAAUAGAGAAGAUAGAUAUUGCAAGAAGCAUAAGUACUUAGAAACUAAAUUGUUGCAUGAAGAGCUAGAUGAUUGUGAUGAAAAUUUAAAUUUUCUUGGUCAUACUUGUGAGCUUUGUAAUGAACGUGGUCAUUUAAUUAUCCGAUGCAAAUUGUUUCAUGAUCUAAUAGUGUCCAAAAAUUGUGAUGACUUGAUUUCCCUUGCACAUUAUAAUGAACUUAGUUUGCUUAUGGGCUAUGAAGAAAUGAAACGUAUAACUAAGGAUAUUCCAAAAUUUGCCCUUGAUAAAGUUCUUCAUUUUGACCUAGAGGAAAUUUAUAUGUAUUGUGCGGUGAAUUGCAUUGAAAAUCCUUAUAUUGCCAAUUACAUAAAGAAAAGAAAACAAAUAGAAGAUGAAGAGAAUACUAAUGAAAGGGAAGAGACUUCCCAAUAUCCUCCUAUUAUUUCUUAUGAUGAAUCAGGUAACGAGGAGGAGCCUCCUAUUCAACCAAUCUCAUUAAUAAGGAGCUCCAGAAAGAGGAUUGAACCCACACAUGAUUUGGUGAAGAAGAAGAAAAGAAAAAGGAAGAGAGGUAAAAAGAUAUCUAUCCCAAAUAAUGCUGCUCCUAUUACUAUUGUGCCUCAUGAAAAUAUAAUUGUGGAAGAUAAUGAUACUUCUUAUGAUCUUGAAAAUCUUUUUGGCACUUGCUUGGAAGAAUAUGAUAAUUGCUAUACUAUUGGUGCUAUCCAUACUAUUAAUGAUGAGAGUGAUUAUGCUUAUGAUAUGAGAAGGACCAAGCUUGGGGAUGCUAUGUUUGAUGAAGAUGAUGUUUUUGAGAAUAUAUUUUCUGCAAUUAAUGUUUGUCCCAAGCUUUGGGAAGCUAUGAUUAAUGAAGAUGAUAUUUUUAGUCUCCCAAGUUUUGAUAUGCAAGUUUAUAAUGAUGAUAGCAUGCCUCCUACUUAUGAUGAUUAUUGUGAUGAUACUUAUGCUAUAAAAAGUAGUGAUUAUAUUUAUAAAACUUGUCAUGAUUAUCAUUACCCCUUCUCUAAACAUUACUCUUUCAAUGUGGAAACAAUUUAUAGUAUUCGAGUUUCUUAUGAUACUCCCACUAUUCCGAAUGAGAAGAAUUUUGCUUAUGUGGAGAGUAAUAAAAUUUCUAUGCUUAUAGAUCAUGAAAAGAAUGCUUUAGGUGCUGGUUAUAUUGUUGAAUUCAUUCAUGAUUCUACUGAAAGUUAUUAUGAGAGAGGAAUAUAUGCUUGCAGGAAUUGCAAUAAUAUCAAGUUUCCUCUCUAUGUGCUUAAAAUUUUGAAGUUAUGCUUGUUUUACCUUCCUAUGCAAGUUGAUUCUUGUUCCCACAAGUUGUUUGCUCACAAAAUCCCGAUGCAUAGGAAGUGGGUUAGACUUAAAUGUGCUAGUCAUAUUCUUCAAGAUGCUCUCUUUAUGUUACAAUUCUUAUCUUUUAUGUGAGCAUCAUUGAAAUCAUCAUGCCUAGCUAGGGGCGUUAAACGAUAGCGCUUGAUGGGAGGCAACCCAAUUUUAUUUUUAUUCCUUGCUUUUUGCUACGGCUUAGUAAUAAAUAAAUUAUUUAGCCUCUGUUUUGGUUGUGUUUUUUGUGUUUAAUUAGUGUUUGUGCCAAGUAGAACCGUUGGGAAGACUUGGGUGAAGUCUUUAUGAUCAUGCUGUAAAAAUACAGAAACUUUAGCGCUCACGAGAAUUGCUGCCAUUUUUAUUUGGAGAGUGAUAUUUAGUUAAUUAUUUUUGCAUAUGAUUAAUAGAUAAAUUCCUCAGGUCCAGCAAUUUAUUUGAGAAUUUUAUGAGUUCCAUAAGUAUACGUUUGAUCCAGAUUACUACAGACUGUUCUGUUUUUGACAGAUUCUGUUUUUCGUGUGUUGUUUGCUUAUUUUGGUGAAUCUAUGGCUAGUAAAAUAGUUUAUAAACCAUAGAGAAGUUGGAAUACAGUAGGUUUAACACUAUGAGUUCAUUACAGUACCUUGAAGUGGUGAUUUAUUUUCUUAUACUAACGGAGCUUACGAGUUUUCUGUUAAGUUUUGUGUUGUGAAGUUUUCAAGUUUUGGGUAAAGAUUCGAUGGACUAUAGAAUAAGGAGUGGCAAGAGCCUAAGCUUGGGGAUUCACAAGGCACCCCAAGGUAAUAUUCAAGGAUAUCCAAGAGCCUAAGCUUGGGGAUGCCCCGGAAGGCAUCCCCUCUUUCGUCUUCGUUCAUCAGUAACUUUACUUGGAGCUAUAUUUUUAUUCGCCACAUGAUAUGUGUUUUGCUUGGAGCAUCAAUUUAUUUUGUUAGGAUUUUCUUGCUGUUAUUUAUAACAAUGUUUUGCAUCUUUUAUUUCAAUAAAAGUGGCAUUGAUAGCCUUUACUAUUCCUAUUUGAGAAGUCCACAUGUUGCUGUUUGAAAACAGAAAGUUUACCGCUGUUGCAAUAAUUCCCUAGAAAAUUCAGAAUGUGAUAAAAUGUUGAAACCUUUUGCAUAUUAAGCUAUGAUAAAUUUACUACAGUGGGAAUUUUCUUUAAUAAUUUUUUGAGCUAGGGAAGUAUGGAUGUUUCUGCAUUCUUUACAGACUGUCCUGUUUAGGCAGAUUGCUGUUAUGUUUGCAUAUGUUUGCUUCUUUAAUGAUUCUAUUUGAGGAUAGGACUAUUAAAUAUGCAGAGGCAUUUAGUAUGCAAUGUUGAAUAAUAAUUUUAGUGAUUUGCUACAGUAGAACAUGAUAAGGUUUUGGCAAUGGUUUAUGCUAACUUAUCUCACGAGUCCUUGUUGAGUUUUGUGUGGAUGAAGCUUUUGAGAUUUAGGGAGACCGUGAUAUGAGAGGAAUUAAGGAGACACAAAAGCUCAAGCUUGGGGAUGCCCAAGGCAUCCCAAGAUAAUAUUUCAAGAAGUCUCAAGCAUCUAAGCUUGGGGAUGCCCCGGUUGGCAUCCCACCUUUCUUCUUCAACAACUAUCGGUUAGUUUCGGUUGAUCCUAAGUUUUUGCUUCUUCACAUGAUGUUUGCCAUUGUUAGAAUGUCAUUUUAUUUUGCUUUGCUUGCUGUUUGAAUAGAAUACCAAGAUCUGAAAUUAUUAAAUAAGAGAGAGUCUUCACAUAGUUGCAUAAUUAUUCGACUACUCAUUGAUCUUCACUUUUAUCUUUCGGAGUAGUUUGUCGUUUACUCUAGUGCUUCACUUACAUCUUUUAGAGCACGGUGGUAGUUUUAUUUUGAAGAAAUAGAUGAACUCUCAUGCUUCACUUAGAUUAUUUUGAGAGUCUUAAAUAGCAUGGUAAUUUUCUUAAAAUCCUAGUAUGCUAGGUAUACAAGAUUAAUAAUAAAAUUUUCUUAUGAGUGUUUUGAAUACUAAGAGAAGUUUGAUGCUUGAUGAUUGUUUUGAGAUAUGGAGGUAAUAAUAUCAAAGUCGUGCUAGUUGAGUAGUUGUGAAUUUGAGAAGUGCUUGUGUUGAAGUUUGCAAGUCCCGUAGCAUGCACGUAUGGUAAACGUUGUGUAACAAAUUAGAAACAUGAGGUGUUAUUUGAUUGUCCUCCUUAUGAGUGGCGGGCGGGGACGAGCGAUGGUCUUUUCCUACCAAUCUAUCCCCCUAGGAGCAUGCGCGUAGUGCCGAGAUUUUUGAUGACUUGUAUAUUUUUUGCAAUAAGUAUGUGAGUUCUUUAUGACUAAUGUUGAGUCCAUGGAUUAUAAGCACUCUCACCCUUCCAUCCUUGCUAGCCUCUUCGGUACCGUGCAUUGCCCUUUCUCACAAUGAGAGUUGGCGCAAACUUCGCCGGUGCAUCCAAACCCCGUGAUAUGAUACGCUCUUUCACACAUAAACCUCCUUAUAUCUUCCUCAAAACAGCCACCAUACGUACCUAUUAUGGCAUUUCCAUAGCCAUUCCGAGAUAUAUUGCCAUGCAACUUUCCACCGUUCCGUUUAUUAUGACACGCAUCAUCAUUGUCAUAUUGCUUUGCAUGAUCAUGUAGUUGACAUCGUAGUUGUGGCAAAGCCACCUCUCAUAAUUCUUUCAUACAUGUCACUCAUGCAUCAUCGCAAUCCCGGUACACCGCUAGAGGCAUUCAUAUAGAGUCAUACUUUGUUCUAGUAUCGAGUUGUAAUCAUUGAGUUGUAAAAAAAUAGAAGUGUGAUGAUCAUCAUUAUUAGAGCAUUGUCCCAAGUGAGGAAUAAAAAAAGAGAAAGGCCAUAAAAAAGAGAAGGCCCAAUGUCGGUGUUAAAACCGGCGGAUCUCGGGUAGGGGUUCCCGAACUGUGCGUCUAAGGCGGAUGGUAAUAGGAGGCAGGGGACACAAUGUUUUACCCAGGUUCGGUCCCUCUUGAUGGAGGUAAAACCCUACGUCCUGCUUGAUUAAUAUUGAUGAUAUGGGUAGUAUAAGAGUAGAUCUACCACGAGACCAGAGAGGCUAAACCCUAGAAGCUAGCCUAUGGUAUGAUUGUAUGUUGUAGUUGUUGUGUCCUAUGGACUAAAACCCUCCGGUUUAUAUAGACACCGGAGAGGGUUAGGGUUACACAAGGUCGGUUACAAAGGAGGAGAUAUCCAUAUCCGUAUUGCCUAGCUUGCCUUCCACGCCAAGUAGAGUCCCAUCCGGACACGAGACGAAGUCUUCAAUCUUGUCUCUUCAUAGUCCAACAGUCCGGCCAAAGGAUAUAAUCCGGCUGUUCGGAGACCCCCUAAUCCAGGACUCCCUCAGUAGCCCCUGAACCAGGAUUCAAUGACGAUGAGUCUGACGCGCAGUAUUUUCUUCGGCAUUGCAAGGCGGGUUCCUCCUCCGAAUACAUCACGGAAGGAUUUGAAUACAAGGAUAGUGUCUGACCCUGCAAAAUAAGUUCCACAUACCACCGUAGAGAGAAUAAUAUAUCCACAAAUCUAAUCUGCUGACACGUUUCGGCAACACGACCUUAUGCCACGGCCCGGUAAUUAUUCGAACCGUUUUUCUUCAACCAGCCUCGCACAUAACGUGAGGCGGUUUCUUGACAUGUCUUGUCAAAGCAGAGAUCGUGCUCCCCUAAUUAUAGGAUUCUCAUCAAUACGGUCGUGGGUAACCCAACCGUAUCUAGGACUCCUAGAUUAUAGGUAAGUCCCAAAUGGCUACGGAGAGGACGCUUGAUAUUAACCCUCUUUAUAAAGGGACAAGGCUUUUACUUUUUUCCCUCCCAUGCUCAAUCGAAUCCUUCCCCCGCCUCGAGUUCUAACACCCAAAGCCCAGGUCAGGUGCUCCGGAUCUUCAAUCAUGUCUGGAUCUAGCCUUCAAGGCCGGUGGAUGCCCUCCUCCGUUACGGAAGAAGACAUCAAGAAGUUGAGGGAGGCCAGAUACCUGACCGCCGAGGUUUCGCAUCGGCUGCCUGCUCGAGGGCAGGUCGUCCCUACUCCUGAACCCAACGAAGACAUCAUGUUCAUCUCCCACUUCCUCUGAGGUCUAGGCCUCACUCUAGAUCCCUUCGUUAGGGGGCUGAUGUUUUAUUACGGGCUAGAUUUCCAUGAUCUGGCCCCGGAUUCCUUUCUCCACAUCUCAUCAUUUAUUGUUGUAUGUGAGGCCUUCCUCCGCAUUACCCCUCACUUCGUCCUAUGGCUCAAGACCUUUGACGUGAAGCCAAAGAUGGUCGAGGGGUAGCAUGUAGCGUGCGGAGGCGCAUUAAUAAGCAGGAUUGCCGGAGCUCCAUGGCCAAAGGGUUUUAUUCCAGAGGUGUCUGGAUUAUGGUAACGGGAGUGGUUUUACAUCAUAGCUCCCAGAAGUGCCAAGUGGGUGGCUGUCCCUACUUUCCACUCAGGCCCUCCACCACAACUGAUGUCAUGGAUUAGCAGAGGGCUGAGCUGGGGUCCCGCCAAGGACGUGCCUGUACUGCAAAGCCGCAUUCAAAAUCUCUUCGAAGGAGAUUUCAGUUUGAUUAUGGUAAUGCAAGUCAUGCUGGUUCGACGAAUCCAGCCAUGCAAACGCCAACCUCUUCGCAUGUGGGAGUUCAACCCAGAAGGACCGUGCGCUAUUCAGGAUUUCCUCGGCCUGACGCACGAGGAGAUGUAUAGAUCAUUGUUCGGACCCCAGAUAGAGUGUUCGGAUACUACCGAGGACGUGGGCCUGAGCAGCAACCACACCGCCGACCAAGUAAGUUAUCCUCUAGCCGAACACACCAACUUUCAUUUAUCAUGACGUUAUUCUGAGAAAUCGCUCUUUGACCAGGACUGGAUAACAAAGGCGAAGAUGAUUCGGUGUUCGGCCCCCCUUCCUGAGGGUUUGGAAAAUCCGGUACUGGAAAAGAUGCUCGAGCUAGCACCUUGCCCGGAGCCCUCAAAGGAAGACAAAGGGGGGAAUAAUGAGGGCGAAAGUGGACCUCCAUCGCUACCUAUUCCGACCGAGGGAACGAGCGCCUCCGUGAGGGAGGAUAACCGAGGGGAGGAAUCGGACAUUCUCUCACCCCUGGGGAGGAAGAGGACUACCUCUGAAGAUCCGGAAACCAAGGUUUCCAAGCAGGAGAAGAAAUCUCCACCAGAGGGUCCUGCCUUGGAGGGUGCUCUUGCCGCACAGAGUCUGUGCGGGGAUCAGCCCUCUAACGAGCUGUAAGUAAUUAAAAAGUACUUUAAUAGUGAGGAUAUAUUACCUUACCUCUGAGGAAAAUAACCGAAGUAUUUAUAUUGCAGUUCAGAUCUUUGCCCUUCUCAGCAGAGCUCGUCUUCGGGGGAUCUUCUUCUGGAGAUGAUGGAGAGUGAAAUGCCUCCCCCGGACUCCUCCGCUCAAGAAGCAGGCGACCUUGAAGUGUCGUCACAGAGGGCCUCUCCGGAUUCGGUGAGGCCAGAAGAUAAUCCUAUAGUCACCCGAAGUCCCCAGCGUCCGGCUCUCGAAGAGAGCAAACAGAAGAGUCCGACACCGACUGGUAUGCGGUCGGAUGUACUGAGAGAGCUUUUGGAGCGAGCGGCCAUCUCAAAAGAACACCGUACAUUGAUGGGUACGGUGAUGGAAAGGAUCUCAUCCGCCGAAAGCGGGUUGCAUGAUGCCUUUAUGAGUCUAUUGACGGGCUUUGAGGUACGUAAAAUGAUGUACAUUUGUGAUGGUACCGCACAUUUUUUAGCUGUGCCCUGUGUAGAUAGUAGCCCCUGAGACUCUGGUUGUCGCCGAGAAUGGCGGCAAACAGAGGAUCGUAGUCCCAGGCAAUAACCAUACCGCUUUAAUGUGCAGGUAGUGGGAGCUCCGGUGGCUAGCCGGACUCAUGAGUUUGCCGAACUGAAGCGGCAACUGGAUGCGGCGGAUGCCGACAUCGAGCUUGUUAACAAGAGGCUUGACGAGGCACAGUGUAAGUGUUAUUUUCUGGUGAAUGCCACAUAGUAAGAGCAGCAUGAUGCCAGUAUCUUUAAUAUGUUGUGACUGCAGAUGGAGCUGCCACCGUGGAAACCCUGCGGGCGGAACUUGCCCGAGGCAAAGAACAAGCAAGGAUUAGUAAUGCGGCUGCUUUGAAGGCGGUCGAAGAGUUGAAAGCCGAGAAGGCCGCGCAUUGCGAGAGCAAAGAGAAGAUGGCCAAGAUGGCCGUAAAGUUAAAAGACACUGCUGACCGUUGUUAGUUCCUUGAAAAAGAAAACCGAGCGAAGGCAAUGGACCUUGAAAAGGCCACGAUGGUGAACAAAGACACCCGAUCUGCUAUGAGAGCGAAGAAGGAGGAGCUGCGUGAAGCCGGGGAUAUUGCGGCUGGGAAGCCCUUCAUGCUACGAAGAAAGUUCGGAGAUCCAUGGUAUGCCCCUCUGGAUCGGCCGUGGAGUUCGGCAGACGCAUAUAUGGACUUGGCGGCGAGCGCUGCCGAUGCGGCCAAAUACUUCCAAGGUCAAACAGAUCGUGAAGUGGACAAGCUGUUCUGGUCGCAAUUCAACAUUCCAGAGCGUCCGCUUCCAUUGACUGAUCAGCUAGCCGAAUGGGCCAAACUAAAUAGGUUGUCCGGACUCGCCAUGAGGGCUGUCGUGGAUCAGCUGUGGCCGGAAAAGCCGAAGCCAAACAGCUAUUUCAGCUUAGUGCAGCAGUUCCUUGGUGCGGUGCCGCGCAUCAAUGCGAUGAAGAGGCCGGCGUGCAUAGAAGGCUCGCGGAUGGCCCUUGCCCGUGUUAAAGCAUACUGGGCGGAGAUGGAUGCUACCACUGUUGCGGCGCAGGGUUCGACCAUAGGCCGAGUGGCUGCCGAGCACUAUUUCGAAGAGGUUCUCGAGGGUGAUCAUUUGAUAGAGGCCCAGUGCUUGAAGAAUAUUAUGUUUGAGUGACAUGUAUUCCCAUUGUAAACACAAUGUUUCUAUGAAAUUUAUUAAGGCCGUGUUUAUACUUUUGCCUGAAAGUAAUAUGAUGCCUCCCGUGCGGCCGUUUAUGUAUACAUGUGUAUAACCUGAAAGAUUACAGUCGUCGGCUUCAGCCCCCAUGCAUAUAAUGCGGAGGUGUUUGCAGAAGACGCGUGUUCACACUUAACCCAACGUCUUGGUCCUAUUAAGGAGGUGAUAGCGCAGUGAACGAGGCAACCAGACUAUAAUGCUUUAACACUUUCACUUAGCCAUAGGAGUUUGACGACGGGGCUACUAUAUAGCCCCUGCUAGCUCCGCAUUCUCCCAAAUUCGGGGUGCGUACAUGCCUGGCCGAGAAACGGCCCUUCGUUAAGGCGGAGGAAUUCUAACAUUCCGAUAUGUCAUCGAGUGGUUGACCAGUCUCACGCUAUAUCAUGACAGUCAGUUUUCGGCUUUCUCUAAUGAGGUGCUCGUCCGGAUGACCCAGGGCACAAUCGCAGUAGUUCUCCUAGUGCUACCUUAGCCGAUAGAGCGGAACGUAAGGUACCAAAACAUAGGAGCCGGGCAAACCCAACAUUUGACCAAAGACAUGAUUCAGAGCUGAUGCAUAUAAGGCCAAACUCGCGACGCCGAACACUCGCUAAGGUAUUCGGUCUUUAUGGUAUAAACUGGGCGUAAAUAGUGCCCUUUGUAAGAAGCCCCUGGUGUCCAGGUACGUGCAUUAUUCUGACGUGACCACAUGCCAAGACGCCAGCAUCCUUCUCAAUUGUACUGAGAAUCCGAGGGAUGUGUAUCAACAAGAGACAGUAAAAAAGGUUGAUGCAGGGUCUUAAUCUAAAAAGAAUCCUUGGGACGGGCCCCUGCUGCACGUCUGCGCCUGUGUCUCCGUUGUGCCAUAUCCUGGACGGGUGUAGAACGGUGGUCAUCUGUAGUCGUGCAAAAAGGUAGGUUUUAAAGAAACCAUGUAAAUUUCAAGAUGAGUAAAAAUUGCCACUUGUCUGCGCGCAUUGAGGCCCUUGUGUUUAUGAGAGGGGUGUGGCCAUCAAACCUGUACAAAUUUCAUAUAGCUGCGCCGGACUCGUCUAACCGUGUCCGUGGUCAUGACAACCUAUCGAGUACUUUAGCUGGUGAGGCCGUUUUAGUGCGGCAGCCGCACCCUCCUCGACGCGCAGGGAUCGCUCAAUAUUUCCAUUUACUGUAAUGAUGCCACGUGGACCGGGCAUCUUAAGCGUGAGGGAAUCAUAAUGCGGUAUUGCAUUAAAGCAAGCGAAAGCUUCGCGUCCAAGUAGUGCUUGAUAGCCACUUUGGAACGGAGCAAUGUGGAAGGUUAAAUUUUCGCUACGGAAGUUAUCGGGGAAGCCGAAUAUAACUUCUAGUAGCAGGGAGCCCGUGCAAUGAGCCCCUCGGCCUGGGGUUACUCCUCUAACGGUAGUAUUGCUGAGGAAAAUUUUCGUUGGGUCUAUCCCCAUUUUGCGGAUUGUGUCCUGAUAUAUCAAGUUUAGACUGCUGCCACCGUUCAUCAGGACUCGUGUGAAGUGGUAUCCGUCAAUUAUUGGGUCUAAUACCAAGGCAGCCCAUCCUGCAUGCCGGAUACUUGCUGAGUAAUCCCGAUGGUCAAAAGUGAUCGAUUGAAACGACCAGUGGCAGGGCUCCGCGGUGAUAGGCCCUUGGGCAUAUUUGUCUGGGAGUGCCGCUUUGUUUCUCCCCUUGAUCACGUGUAACACGUUGACUGUUUUGACUUCUGGUGGAAAUUUCUUUUGUUCCCCAGUGUCUUGCUUGAGAGGCUCAUCCUCGUCUUCGCUUGGUGUAUCCUCCCCCUUGUGUACGGCGUUGAGCUUGUCGGACUGCUUGAAGACCCAACAUUCUCUGUGGGUAUGAUUAGCGGGUUUACCAGGGGUGCUAUGGAUCUGACAUACUUGGUCCAGAAUUUUAUUUAGGUUGGACAGUUCGUCUCUGGCGCCUUUAGAGGGCGGCUUUUGCUGACUUGGCCGAGAGCUUUUGAAUCCGGCGUUUACUGCCGUGCUCUUCGUGCUGUCUUCUUUAUUCCGGCGUUUGUUAUUGCGCCGUGAUUUUCCGUUUCCAUCUCUAACUUUGGAUGUACUUGGGUUGCUGGCGCUGCAUCUGGCUAGCCAGCGAUCCUCACCCGUGCAAAAGCGGGUCAUGAGGCUUGUUAAUGCUGCCAUUGUUCUCGGCUUUUCUUGGCCGAGGUGUCUGGCAAGCCAUUCAUCGCGGACGCUAUGCUUAAAAGCUGCCAAGGCUUCGGCGUCCGGACAGUCAACUAUUUGGUUCUUUUUAGUAAGAAACCUGUUCCAAAGCUUUCGGGCUGACUCUCCAGGCUGUUGAGUUAUAUGACUCAAAUCGUCCGCAUCCGGAGGUCGGACAUAAGUCCCUUGAAAAUUUGCCCGAAAAGCAUCUUCGAGCUCUUCCCAGCUUCCAAUGGAGUUUUCAGGGAGGCUUUUAAGCCAAUGCCGAGCUGGCCCUUUGAGCUUAAGGGGUAAGUACUUGAUGGCGUGGAGAUCAUCUCCUCGAGCCAUAUGGAUAUGGAGGAUAUAGUCCUCGAUCCAGACCCCAGGGUCUGUUGUUCCGCCGUAUGCCUCUAUGUUUACGGGUUUGAAUCCCUCUGGAAAUUCAUGGUCCAACACCUCAUCGGUGAAACAUAGGGGGUGUGCGGCACCCCUGUAUCUGGGUGUACCAUGUUGUUCGGAUGUUUGUUGUGUUGCAUCUUAUGCUGGAGCGCAUUUGCGUGGUCCAUAGAUGGAUCUGGUUGCGCCGUCCUUUUGGUGCGAGCCCUCGCGUGGAUCGUGUAUUGGCUUAUGUGUGGUGUUGUUUGCCGCUCUAUGUUGGCCGUGAGGUCGUCUAUCCGGCUAGGUGGCCGUUUUGAUUUUUGGUUGCGGGGGAUCUAAGGCCUCCUCAUCGAAUUCGAGUAGCAACUUCCGCUUCGGGUAGCUCUUGGUGGGGCGAUUACCGCCGUACUUCGCUGCUGCGUUGAGUACUUGGCUCCAUCUGAUUCCGAGUGUGUCUUGUGCAGCCUUGAGUCUUUGCUUAUGCUUUUUUAGACUCCUCGCGGUGACAACAAGCCUUUGACGGGCAUUCUGUUGCUCCAGGUGUCUGUCCGGUGUGAGGUCGUCCGGAUUAUUAUCUUUGACAGAGUCAGGUUGUUCGGUUUGAUUCUCCGUAUUGCCGUGAUCCGGCGAUGGUUCACCCUGCUCUAACGCUGGGUCUAUAUGAUCGUUGUUUCUGUCGAGGCGGGAUUUGGAGCGGCGCUUACGCCGCCGCUUUGACUGCUUCUCGAGGGGACAACCCUUCGUUGCGUCCUUUCGUUCCUCGUCAUCGAUUUCUUUUGGUGUGUUCACCAUGUAUACGUCGUGUGAUGAAGUGGGCGUCCAAUGCCCUAUGGGCAGCGGUUCCUGUUCAUCUCCUGCAUCGUCGUCCAUACCGUUGAUGUCUUCGGAGUCGAGGUUGAGCAUGUCGGUUAAGUCAUCGACAGUGGCUACUAAGUGGGUGGUGGGUGGGCGGCAAAUUUCUUCGUCAUCCACAUCCAAAUCCUGCCGGACAUAGUCCGGCCAGGAUCCUCCUGACGAGGAGAGGGACCUUAAUGUGUUCAGUAUGUCGCCAAAGGGCGAGUGCUAAAAAAUAUCCGCGGAGGUAAACUCCAUGAUCGGCGCCCAAUCGGAUUCGAUAGGAACGGGCACGGGCGGUUCAGAGUCCGUGGUCGGAGAGGGAUCCGACAGUUUAUCAACACGGCUCUCGUGCAAGGUAAGGUCGAUGUUUGGCUCGAUCACCGCUGAGGGUAAGGCCUCCGUGGCGGGGUCCAUCCACCCGUCCACGGACGGCGCAACUGGCUCCGAAUUGGGGGUCGGAGCGGCUGCCUGUGCGAUCUCCUGAACACUAUCCGAUGGUAGAGCUAAAUCGUACUCAUCGUGACUGCGUGACGCACAAGGCAGAGGCUCGAAUCCGUCGAAGAUCAAGUCUCCACGGAUAUCAGUCGUGUAGUUUAAGCUUCCAAACCUGACCUAGUGGCCAGGGGCAUAACUUUCGAUCUGCUCCAGAUGGCCAAGCGAAUUGGCCUGCAGUGCAAAGCCGCUGAACAUGAAGAUCUGUCCGGGGAGAAAAGUCUCACCCUGGACUGCAUCACUAUCGAUGAUAGUAGGAGCCAUCAAGCCUAACGACGACGACAUAGAGGAACUCUCAAUGAAAGCACCAAUGUCGGUGUCAAAACCGGCGGAUCUCGGGUAGGGGGUCCCGAACUGUGCAUCUAAGGCGGAUGAUAACAGGAGGCAGGGGACACAAUGUUUUACCCAGGUUCGGGCCCUCUUGAUGGAGGUAAAACCCUACGUCCUGCUUGAUUAAUGUUGAUGAUAUGGGUAGUACAAGAGUAGAUCUACCACGAGAUCAGAGGGCUAAACCCUAGAAGCUAGUCUAUGGUAUGAUUGUAUGUUGUAGUUGUUGUGUCCUACAGACUAAAACCCUCCGGUUUAUAUAGACACCGGAGAUGGUUAGGGUUACACAAGGUCGGCUACAAAGGAGGAGAUAUCCAUAUCCGUAUUGCCUAGCUUGCCUUCCACGCCAAGUAGAGUCCCAUCCGGACACGAGACGAAGUCUUCAAUCUUGUAUCUUCAUAGUCCAAUAGUCCGGCCAAAGGAUAUAAUCCUGCUGUCCGGAGACCCCCUAAUCCAGGACUCCCUCACCCCAAAAAAAGAGAGAAAGGCCAUAAAAAAGAGAAGGCCCAAAAAAAUGAGAGAAAAAGAGAGAAGGGACAAUGUUACUAUCCUUUUACCCCACUUGUGCUUCAAAGUAGCACCAUGAUCUUCAUAGUAGAGAGUCUCUCAUGCUAUCACUUCCAUAUACUAGUGGGAAUUUUUCAUUAUAGAACUUGGCUUGUAUAUUCCAACAAUGGGCCUCCUCAAGUGCCCUAGGUCUUCGGGAGCAAGCAAGUUGGAUGCACACCCACUAGUUUCUUUUGUUGAGCUUUCAUACAUUUAUAGCUCUAGUGCAUCCGUUGCAUGGCAAUCCCUACUCCUUGCAUUAACAUCAAUCGGUGGGCAUCUCCAUAGCCCAUUGAUUAGCUUCGUUGAUGUGAGACUUUCUCCUUUUUGUCUUCUCCACAUAACCCCCCUAAUUAUAUUCUAUUCCACCCAUAGUGCUAUAUCCAUGGCUCGUGCUCAUGUAUUGCGUGAAAGUUUAUGAGUUUGAGAUUACUAAAGUAUGAAACAAUUGCUUGGCUUGUCAUCAGGGUUGUGCAUGAUGAGAGCAUUCUUGUGUGACGAAAAUGAAACAUGAAUAAACUAUAUGAUUUUGUAGGGAUGAACUUUCUUUGGCCAGGUUAUUUUGAGAAGACAUAAUUGCUUAGUUAGUAUGCUUGAAGUAUUAUCAUUUUUAUGUCAAUAUGAACUUUUGUCUUGAAUCUUUUGGAUUUGAAUAUUCAUACCACAAUUAAGAAGAAUUACAUUGAAAUUAUGCCAAGUAGCACUCCGCAUCAAAAAUUCUAUUUUUAUCAUUUACCUACUAGAGGACGAGCAGGAAUUAAGCUUGGGGAUGCUGAUACGUCUCCAACGUAUCUAUAAUUCUUGAUUGCUCCAUGCUAUAUUAUCUGCUAUUUUGGAUGUUUAUGGGAUUUAUUAUACACUUUUAUAUCAUUUUUGGGACUAACCUAUUAACCCAGAGCCCAGUGCCAAUUUCUGUUUUUACCUUGUUUUAGGGUUUCGAAGAAAAGGAAAAUCAAAUGGAGUCCAAUUGACCUAAAACUUCACGGAACUCAUUUUUGGAAGGAAAGAAGCCCAUAAGACUUGGAGUGCACGCCAGGGGACUUACGAGGAGGCCACGAGGCAGGGGGGCGCGCCCUCCACCCUCGUGGGCCCCUUGUGGCCCCCUGACGUACUUCUUCUGCCUAUAUAUCUCCAUAUACCCUAAAAUGAUGAAAAAAGAGAUUAGAUUGGGAGUUCCGCUGCCAGAAGCCUCCGUAGCCACCGAAAACCAAUCUAGACCCGUACGGCACCCUGCCGGAGGGGGAAUCCUUCUCCGGUGGCCAUCUUCAUCAUGCCGGUGCUCUCCAUGACGAGGAGGGAGUAGUUCUCCCUCGGGGCUGAGGGUAUGUACCAGUAGCUAUGUGUUUGAUCUCUCUCUCUCUCUCUCUCGUGUUCUUGAGAUGAUAUGAUCUUGAUGUAUCGCGAGCUUUGCUAUUAUAUUUGGAUCCUAUGAUGUUUCUUCCCCCCUCUACUCUCUUGUAAUGAAUUGAGUUUCCCCUUUGAAGUUAUCUUAUCGGAUUGAGUCUUUAAAGAUUUGAGAACACUUGAUGUAUGUCUUGUCGUGCGUAUCUGUGAUGACAAUGGGAUACUGCGUGAUUCACUUGGUGUAUGUUCUGGUGAUCAACUUGCGGGUUCCGCCCAUGAACCUAUGCAUAGGGGUUGGCACACGUUUUCGUCGUGAUUCUCUGGUAGAACUUUGGGGCACUCUUUGAGGUCCUUUGUGUUGGUUGAAUAGAUUAAUCUGAGAUUGUGUGAUGCAUAUCGUAUAAUCAUACCCACGGAUACUUGAGGUGACAUUAGAGUAUCUAGGUGACAUCAGGGUUUUGGUUGAUUUGUGUCUUAAGGUGUUAUCCUAGUACGAACUCUAGGGCUGUUUGUGACACUUAUAGGAAUAGCCCAACGGAUUGAUUGGAAAGAAUAACUUUGAGGUGGUUUCGUACCCUACCAUAAUCUCUUCGUUCGUUCUCUGCUCUUAGUGACUUUGGAGUGACUCUUUGUUGCAUGUUGAGGGAUAGUUAUGUGAUCCAACUAUGUUAGUAUUGUUGAGGGAACUUAUAGUGAAAGUAUGAACCCUAGGCCUUAUUUCCACACAUUGCAAUACUGUUUACGCUCACUUUUAUCAUUAGUUACCUUGCUGUUUUUAUAAUUUCAGAUUACAAGUACCUUUAUCUACUAUCCAUAUACCACUUGUAUCACCCUCUCUUCGCCGAACUAGUGCCCCUAUACAAUUUACCGUUGUAUUGGGUGUGUUGGGGACACAAGAGACUCUUUGUUAUUUGGUUGCAGGGUUGCUUGAGAGAGACCAUCUUCAUCCUACGCCUCCUACGGAUUGAUAAACCUUGGGUCAUCCACUUGAGGGAAAUUUGCUACUAUCCUACAAACCUCUGCACUUGGAGGCCCAACAACGUCUACAAGAAGAAGGUUGUGUAGUAGACAUCAUUAUGUCUUCAACUGCUGAUGUGGAAACUAACCCUUCUUCUGAGGAUACCACUACUAUUGCUGAUGAGAAUGCUAGGUUGAAGACAUUGCUUGAAACAGGGAUGUACAAAAGCCUCAAAGGGCAUCAGACUCUUUGUGAUGUCCUCAAGAAACAGAUUCUGAACCGAAACCCUAGGAAAGAGGUUUUGGGUUCGAGAGGAAAAUGAAUGUUGAUGGUUCAUACUAGAAGCCCAAGCAGUACCCCACAACCACAUGGGUUGCUGCAAAGGGACCUUCAGUGGAUCCAUCUACCUUAUCUGGCUUCACUUGUGUUAACCCGAUAAUCAUUGAUGAAUCCUUCGAUGCAAACUAUAAACUGUUUAAGAAUCAGAAUGGUGAAGUGUUUGCCAGGUAUAUUGGUACUAAUUGCAGGAAUGGGCCACCUCUGAAGAAGAUCUGGGUGCCCAAAAGUUGUCUUGAGAAGCUUCCUGUGAAUGUUAUCAUGACCCCACCUGGGAAGAAGACAAACUCCAGACCAAAGGCUUCAUAUGUUCCAAAGGUUUCAUACAGAAAGUGGACUCAUCAGAGUCACCCUAACGCCAAUGUUUUACAGGGAAACCAUACUCAGAUGUAUGAAUAUGAGAGUGUUUCAUCAAACCGCUAUGUUCAUAAGACCAAGAACUAUUCAGCUUAUUCUUAUGAGUAUUAUUCACCUCCUACAAGGCUAUUUUCUAGGGCUCCAAAGCCUAAAUUCUCAGAUGCUGCAAUUAGACUCAUUUCUUCUAAGCCACCCCUUAAGAUGUGGGUGGUUAAGAAGAAUUAACUCUCUUUUGCAGGAAAUGGUCUCCAGCCGAAAAUCAAAAGCUUUUGAUGCUUAUGCUGGGGACCUAAAACAUCUUGUGGGACACAAGAUAAAAUGUCCGAAUGGUCUUGCUAUAUAUUUCGUCCCGGUAUUUCUUGAUAAACAUCCUAUCUACCGUAACUAGGAUCUGAACUUUCAUAAUAUGCUUGUUCGUCAAAUGUUUAUGCUUCACACUUCUCUUGGUGAAGCCUAUCCCCCCAAGUGCACUGUAGGGUACAACACCGAAGGCUUCAGAGUGGAUCAUGGACAGUGGAUGCACUAACCACAUGACUGGUGAUCGAAGUCUUCUUAUGAAUUCAACCCUACGUCCAUCUGACAAGAGUCACAUCACAUUUGCUGACACUGGUAAAAGCAAAGUAUUGGGCCUAGGUAGAGUUGUAAUCUCAAGGUAUCAGCACAUGGAUAAAGUCAUGCUUGUUGAAUCCCUCAGUUUCAACUUAAUGUCUGUCUCAAUGCUUUGUGACCUAAACAUGAUUGUGAUAUUUGGAAAUAUCAUUGCCUUGUGCUUAUGGAAUCUGACAAAUCUCUAGUCUUUGAAGGAUAUCUAAAGGAUGAUCUGUAUAUGGUAGAUUUCUCCGCAGGACCAUAGCUGGCUGUAUGUCUUCUAGCAAAAGCUUAAGAGUGUUGGCUCUGGCAUCAGAGGCUAGGGCAUGCUGGCAUGAGGAACUUGCACACUCUCGCAAAGAAGAAGCAUGUCAUAGUCAUCGAGGGCGUCAAGUUCAAGAAGGAUCAUCUGUGCGGUGCCUGCGAAGCUGGAAAGAUGACUAGGGCCAAGCAUCCCUCGAAGACAAUCAUGACGACGAUUCGUCCCUUCGAGCUACUUCACAUGGACUUAUUUGGCCCUACUCACUACUCUACCCUCACUACCACUGCUUGCCUCUAUGGCUUCGUCAUUGUUGAUAAUUACUUGAGGUAUACAUCACUACAAAAAAUACACAUCCAUGACAUUUUGGGCCGAAUGAAAUUUUUUCUUGUCAUGCUUAUGACACUUCUAUGACGAUAAUUGUGACAAAACCCGGUAUCAUCAUAGAUGUGGUGGGCUCCUACUUCUAUGACAAAAAAUCAUGACAGAAAAUGGGCUUUUCAUCCUGGGCGGGCCAGAGACGCAGUUGCAUGACAUUCUUUGGGCCGUCCAUGACGGAAAAAACCGUGGUAGAAGCGAGGGCAAGGAAAAUAUCGGGGGAGUUCUCGGUUACGGUGGGUGGUUGGGGGCCGAGAGAUGCGCGUUUCUCUCGUACGUACGCGUGUGUGUGCGAGGCAUUACACUCUAACUGAACCCGAGCGAUUGCACUGCAGGCUACGCGUUACUGAACCCGAGCGAUCGAUCGAUUCCUUGUUGUUAAUUGAACCCGAGUGAUUCCUUCACUACAGCUAACUGAAGCCGAUCGAUGCUGCCUCUUGAUGAACAGUGAGGGUUGUUGGGGGGUUUGGAUGAAUAGUUCCUGGUGGGGGGUUGGGUGAAUAGGAACCCGUGGUGUUGCCGCUGGAUGAACAAGACCGCAUCGAUCGAGCCGGUGGAGGGCUGGAUGAACAGGACCCCGUGGAGGGCUGGAUGAACAGGACGACCCCAUGGAGGGCUGGUUGAACAGUAGCCGGUGGAGGGCUGGAUGAAUAGUAGCCCAUGGAGGGGUGGUUGAACAGGACCCUGUGGAGAGGGGUGGUUGAACAGUAGCCGGUGGAGGAGCGCGUGGUGGAGGCUAGAUGAUCAGGAGCCCAUGGAUGAACAGUCGCAGGUGGAGGCUGGAGGAGGUCGACGGUGGAUGAACAAUAGCCCGUGGAGGCAGUCGACGGUGAAGAUGAACAGUAUCCCGUGGAGUCCCGUUUUGCAGUACGCCACACCCCUCCCGAUGAACAGGACCCCUGUUUCGACCAUAGCGCUCCAACACAAGGCCGUUUCCUCCGUUUUGUGGUAUGCCACACCCCUCCCGAUCAACAAGACCCCGUUUCGACCGUAGGAGGUCCAAGAGAAGUCUGUUUCCUCUGUUUUGUGGUACACCAGACCCCUUCCAAUGAACAUGAUCCCGUUUCGACCCUGGCCGGUCGAACACAAGGCCGUUUCCUCCGUUCUACGGUACGCCAGGCCUUGUUUCCAUCAGCUGUUCCGUCCAAGCCGGUUGGCUCACGAUGAAUAGCACGCAUUCCGUUGCCUCCCGAUGAACACGACGCAUUCCGUUGCCUCCCCAUGAACACGAUGAUGACGCAGUUUCUCCGUUCCGAACCACCCAUGUACAUGAUCCCUGGUCGUACAUAUGCGCGAGUAGGCGUUCGAGACCCCGCCUAUAUGUACGUACAUGGCCGUAUUUUCUUUCUUGCACCCUGGCCGCUGUACGUACGGGUACAUGCUAUGUGCGUGCCUCUACUACGACACGUGCACGCCUCUACUAUGACACAUGUGCACCUCUACAUCUACCAGUAUGUACAUACACGUUCGCGACCAGAAUGACAAUGCUAUGUAUGCUUCAACGAGGUGCGUCCCGACUGUCAGGCACUUCCUUGCGUGCGAUGAUGUAGCUGAUGGGUCCCAACAAUCAGGGGGAGAAAAACAUUAUUUUCAGGGUAAAAAGGAUGCAGUUGCAUGCAUACGUCCAUGGGCGUGGUGCGUCCCCACUGUCAGCCUCUCAUGUACAGUCAUCUUUCGAUGACUCUCAUUUGUUGACCACGUUGACCACACCAUGCCGAGCACACCAAGGCCGGUGGACGAUAGUGAGGCCCCAAACUGGAAUGACCCGGAGAUGGGGAAGACGCGGCAGUGGAGCCGCAGAUGGAGAGGAGUGGGAAACUUUACUGGUUCUAGUGCGCAGCAACAUUGCCGCCCACGGGAGCCAGGAGCAAGAACAGAGGUGGAAGAAGGAGCAUGGCUGUUUGAUUAACAUCCAACGGUCCAGCUGCUAGAAUCAUUUGUUGAUUAAGUUGACAAAGCCCUGUGUACACGUCUGCUUAGUAGGCCCACAAGUCAGCCACCAAAUCUGCUGGGUCCUAGCUGUCAUCGGGAGGAAUAGUUUUUUUUCGCAUAACAAGGAGGCACUUCGUUCUGUGUGAAGAUACAUCUGGUGAGUCCCAGCUGUCAGGGGGAGGAAACAUCUUAAUAAGGAGGAACUUUCCUUGCGUGCGACCAUGGACCUCGUGGAUCCCAGCCGUCAGGCUCUCCACGUACAGUCCUCUUCCUACGACUCUCGUUUGUUGACCACGCCGCACCGAGUGCAGCGGGGCAGUGGACGACGGCGAGGCCCCAGACUGGAAUGACCCGGAGAUGGGGAAGACGCGGCAGUAGAGUCACAAACAGAGAGGAGUGGGAAACUUGACUGGUUCGGGUGCGGGGUGGGCCUACACUCGGCAGAUAAUAACAGGAGGUGAGGAGUGGAGGGAUGGCAUGGCCGUCGGCGGGGGAGCGUUUCGCUGUGAGGCGUGCAAAACAAUGCCGCUGGACGCUGGAGGCUGGAGCAGGUGGUCCCGGCAGCGCUGGGGGAAGAAGAAGAGAAAUUGAAGAAGAAUGCUGGCCGUCAAAUGUAAAUCCAACGCCUUGCUUAGGCUUUGACCUACUGGCCCACAUGUCAGCCAGUCCAUUUGUUUUUUAGUCCAUUUGGUGGGCUGGGUGAAACAAUGAUGUAGCAUCUAUGGUGCUUGUUUAUAUAUAUGGUAGAAUUUAAAGCCCAUUUGCAUUUUUCUCAAAAUCCGCAGACUUGCUAGGAUGGGUGAAAAUAUCAUGUUGGUCUGGACGGAGAAAUGUUAUAAAAACAUAAACACAUGAUUGCACGUCUAUUACUGCAUUGGUCAGUAAAAUCUUUGCAAGCUUAUGUACGCAAUCACUAGGAGUUAACUUGCUAAGUUAUAUAUAAACAAUUGUUAUUAUUAUUUUUAAGAACUUUCAACUUACGAAAUAAAAUAUCAUUUUAAUUUGAUGAGUUAAUAGGACGUGGGGUAUUAUUAUUUUUUAGGCUAGACGUGGGACAGUUGAGUUGGUUCUAGGGAAAAGUACUGGGAGAAAACUCAGUUUACAUCGAAAAAGAAAGUGGGAGAAAAUUCAGAUAUAGGAUUAAUGAAAACGAAAAAUAAAGGAAGUGAGAAGGUCUAUAAAAUGGUUGGACGAACGACAAGUUUAACGAAACCUUAUGUUGUUUCUAUUAUAUAUAUAUGUAAUAAAAUAAGAUAUAAAUAUAGUUCAGUUUUGCAUUCUUAUAGAAAACAUAGGUUCAGUUUUGCAUUCUUAUAGAAAAAUAGAAUUGAGCUGUGCGUCGUCUUGGAAAAACAAACAUAACUUGGGCUGCUAAUGUUAUAGAUAAGCUAGGUUGGGAGGCCCAGAGGCCGCUUGAUACCUGCUGGAUCCAAAAAAAUGUUGAAACAUGUCGUGGGCUACCCAUGUUAAACAACAAAACCUAGGCCAUGGACCUGGUGGGCCCAGGACUGUCAGCCUCUCGACGAAUAGUUGUCUCCCGAUUCCUCUUGUUUUGCUGACCAUGUUGGGAAUGAUAGACGGCGGCGCCGCAGCGAGAGCACCAAGGCGGAGGACUACGUCGAGACCUCGGACGAAACGAACCAGAGCGGGGGAAGACGCAUGAGGAGGGGAGUACGAGGGUUGACUUGUUUGGGUGCAGGGUGGGCCGGUGGAGCUACCGCUGCCGGACAAUGUGUGGGAGUAGAGGGAUGGCCUAGCCAAUGCCUUAGGCUAUGAUGGCCAGCCGCUGUAUAGGAAGAGGACGAAAGAUUGAACAAAAUAAAGAAAUACAAAUGGAUAGGUGGUUGGUCCUAUAUGUUUGUGUACUAGACCUGCUGGGUCCACCUGAGAAGGGGAAUAUGUUGGGAGGAAGGAUAUUCAAAGCACGACAGCCGAGUGAACUAGUUUUUUUGAAACGGACGAGUGAACUAGUUACAUACAUAAGCAAAUAGCCACUAAAAGCAAACAGGUUAAUGGGUUCUUAAAAGAAAUAUUUUGAACAAAGCAGACAAUUACGACACAUAGGCUAAUGCACAAAACACUUAGAUGAUAAAGGUGCUUAAACAGAUAAAGUACAACAUCUAGACCUUCCUGACACGCUUGAUCAUGACGCUGCAGCUGUCCGUGUACCCGUCGGUUAUGGGAAGCAGACACGUCCUCAUGUCCAAGAUCCGCCUGCACAUGUUGUAGCAUGCGUAUGCGUCCUUGGCCGUGUAGGUUAUGUAGGCUAGAUUCAGAGGUACCUCCCACAUUUUUAGGUCCUUGGUAUAGUUGUCUUCUUUCAUGUUGGCGUAUCAGGGGUCGAUGAUUGUCUCGGCGAGGUCAACCAUGGAGUCCUUCUCCUACCCGUUGCCGAUGAUCUUGUAUUGCUUCUGGAUGCUGAGAAGCUUGUUGCACCAGAUGGCCGAAUCGUCGCGUUCUUCCUUCUCUCCACCGUAGCGAAGGUGCAGUCGGCGCUGCCGAUGAAACAGGCAAAUGCUCCAGAAACUUUGACGGCCCUAUAGCAGUGGUAGAUGAGAACCUCAUCCCGCACACAUACCUAGGCGACGGCGAUCCGUUGGUCCCUGUCAGGAGAUGAAUGGAUGGGCACAAGGUCUAGUCCUGCGACCUUGUGCUUUCUCGUCCUGUAGGUACUGCUUGAACUCGGCGAGGCAGAUCUUCACCAAGUCCAGAUCAUUGGUGUACAUCACAUUCAACUUGGUGCAGCCAUGGGACUGAACGGCGAACUCAAAGGUGAACUCCUUGCUGAAGUCCAUAUCCAGCAGGCUCACCCCUCGGAUCACCAUUGGAGUCUCUUCAAGUGAACGAGUGGGUAGGCGGCGACAACAGUUCGUUUUUCAGCUCUUGGGGAACUGAAUUCAACAGUAAACUGAGUGUGUACAGACGACAACAGUUAAUACCCCUCCCUCGCCCGCUGCACGCCCGACAGAAGAUGCACCCUCGGCACAUUCAAACGCCUCCAUUAAGAAACCUACUCUAGCCACACAUCGGUUCACGAGCGGGUCUGUAUUGGUACUGUAAUAACAAGUGUUAGCGGUCACUUUACUUAAAUUUAAUUAGCUUUAAUAGAAAUUUAUUCUUAAAACAAGCAAUGCAUUGGCUCGUUCUAUCAGUGCCACAAGAUCAACAUGCACAACAAUUAGAAUUAUUAUUCUUAGGAUGCACACGAUCAGCACAUUUGUCGCACUUCCACACAAAUAAUACUACCAAGUUUGAACUGUUUGUUAUGAUUGUUGUCCUCUACAUCAUCAUGCCGUGUUUCCCAGCUUGCAAGAUUCAGAACCAACAAAUAAGAUCCAAAUAAUAAGUACAACAAAGAUGUCUACACAUCUCAUUUCUUCCCAGCUUGCAAGAUUCAAAACCGACAGAUAAGAUUCAAAUAAUAAGUACAACAAAUAUGCCUACACAUCUCAUUGAUUCCCAUCUUGCAAGAUUUAGAACCAACCCAUUAGAGCCUUUUUAUAAAGUGAAUAUCGGGAUUAAAUCCAUCUUGGCUAGCCGUGUCAUACAACCCAAGAACUUGGUGAAUGCUCUUGACCAUCACAACAUCUGUAGUUGAGUAUUCCUGUUUGCACAACAAAAAUAAGAAGAGCAUGAUUAAUAUAAUAAUGGAACUCCUUGAACUCAACUUGCAGCUCCACUCAGAUGAGGCCAACCUAGAGUUCCAUGAUUCAAUUCAUGAGCCUUUUUCUGUAGUUCACCUGAAAUGAAGCAAAGAUUGCAUCAUUCAGCUAGCAAGAAGUACUCGCUCUCGUGAGCUGGCAGGUUCUUCUUUAGUAGUUGCACUAAAAUUGAGGAACAUUAAGGUUGGUUGUCCGGCUCAUGUAAGGUGCAACUAUAAUUUUCUUAUCCUUUUGUGCAGUUCCACUAAAAUAAAGUGCCAUUAUGGUGACAGUGACGGCUUAUCUUGCAAAGGCCAAUAAAAUGUUGCACAAGAUUACCAGCAGAAUUUGACAAAGAUUUUGGAAACUCCAAUCACCAUUUUGUGCAGUUCCACCAAAAUUAAGAGAUGUUGCCCACGUGAAAUUUUAGUUGAACUGCACAAGACACUCAUUCCAAAAAAGUGUUUUUUGUAGUUCACCAAAAGGUCAUAAUAGCAACAAGGUGAAAUGGAUAUCCCUAUCUGCACAAAAAGAUAGAAAGUAAACAGUUGCUGGUCAAUAAGAAUAUACGAAACAUACACGAAAUGAAAAGAAGCAUCUUAAUUAUGUUCAUGGAAAUCACGCAAGGACAAUAGAAAUUUUAAAACGUCAGCAAUGCUUCAUGUUACCAGAAGCAUUACGAUCAACAAUGGCAUUCGUCAAAUAUGGGAUUACUUUAAUGGUGGCAUUGCUUGUUUACCAGAUACAAUAAAUCAAUAGCAGGUAAAGAGUUGGUUUAAGGGCAUGGGACCGUGGGGACACCAGGACACUUAGCAGCGUAAAGGAGCAACUUACUUAUCGUACUGGGGAAAAUAGCAGGAGUACCAUUUGUAACACAGUUUAAUUGUAUCAUAUCACUGGAGGCACUAGAUUAACAAUAACACUGGUUAGACAUGUCCUUAAGGUAACAGUGUGAUUGCUUCAUUUUACAUGCGCCCUUACAUUAACAACAUCAAAAGGUUGGUAUAAGGACAUGCGACAGUGGACGCAUCUGCACAAUGUACCUACAAGGAGGCAUAAAGUGGUGAUGCCGAGUUUGUUCAUGCUCUGUGAGGGCAGCAAAUCUAAUCCUUGAGACCUUUUACUAUGUGAGGGUAGAAAAUCUAAUCCUUGAGACCUUUUACUAUGUGAGGGCAACAAAUCUAAUCCUGGGCAUACUCUAUUGACUUGUCCACCAGCUGCCACUUUUUAUCCUUUUUUCAACCAAUAAUAAAUUUGUUCCUUAUCCAGUUUGUACUGUGUUUUCCCAUUAUUUCCCUUUUCAACCAAGAGAUUGGUUGGGUAUCCGGUCUCUACUACUUUCACCCUAUUUUUUCCUCUUUGAACCAAGUCCUAGAUUCAUGCUACAACUUUCCCCCCUUUCUUUGUUGUUUGAACCAAGUCCUAGAUUCGAAUGCAUGAAGUAGCUUUACCUCUAAUAAUACUAAAAAUUUAGGUGGCUUUGGAAGAGCUGAUGGGAGUAGAAAAAGAUGCACAUGCAGACACGAGGGGAGCUGGGGCAGUAGAGCAAGGCUGCUUUCGAAGAACUUAUACCUAAGGGUCGUCGGGAUGUCGACGGCGGCAGGUCGGAUCUACGCACAAUACGACAAGGAGGAAGAAGGGUCAGAGGACCUCCCAAGCCGACGCUGUGUCGGAGAGAACGACACAGGCAGAGGACCGGGCCCCUUCGGCAGCUAUGGGUUUCCUCCCCCGCCGGUGAUGACCGCGUGAAUGAUGCACCUAGUCCUCUACACACACCAGCCGAAGGGAUCCAGCCGAAUCUGUGACCAGCGAUGAGCAGAGAGAAAAUGUCGCUACCGCUGUCUUGUUUAGAUCUGGAGAGGAUGAGAGAAUGAAGAGAGCAACACUAGUAAAGCAAGCGCUCAGACCCCUGCUUACAUAUAUAGUGGAGUGAUUAUCUUUUUCUCUCCACAACAAGCGUUUCAAUUUGUGUACGUGGCAUUAAAGAAAAGGAACUCUCUAUUUAAGGUGACUAACUGAACGACUCCUACUUACUACUAGUAGUAGUAUUGUUCACUUGUGCUCCCCGGCCCUCCAUUCAUUGAACCACCCCACGGGUGAAUAAACAUACAGUACUAGUAUUUAUAUAGAACGAACAAGCUUGAACUAUUUUCGCGUAGUUAAAAGUUGAGGGAGGGUUUUUCCCGGGCAGUACGCGUGACAGUUUUCAUGUAGGCGGUUUGACAGAGAGGCGAGGAGGGUGAGGGAGUAGCGGAUUCAACUUACUUACUGCUGGAAAGGUCGGGUUGUGCGAUUUGACGGUGCGUUACUACUAGAAAGACUUGUGAUAUGACUACUCAUUAUAGUCAUGAAUUACUGGCAGUACGACCGGGGUGAUGCCCCCCUUCCGUUCUGCACUCUAAUCUGCUGCAUGACACGUCGACCCGGAUGCUGGCUCUCCCACAUGUCGGCGAAGUACGUAGUAGUAAGAAGGAGCAAAGAAUCAUGCGGUAUAUACUAGUAGUACUACUACUAACGUCGGAGGAGUGCGAACCACGGCAGCCCAGUGAACCAGCAGUAGAAAACAAUGUGGUGAUAUGGCCAUAAAAAACAAUGUGCUACGGUCCAGACUGUAGCAUGUACAGUACUACUCCUCUUUGUUUGGAUCCCUGAGUUAAAGAUAGUUUGGGUUGAAAUAGCCUCAAAUUAUCCAAACAGAAGGGGUUAGUUUGAGCUAGUUUGCUCUAACUCAGCUAAAAAAACUAGCCCGGUGGAGAGGUUCUAAUUGGGUUAGUUCUCCUCGGGCCCACUCAAAGAGAACUAAAAAAAAUCUCCCCUGCCCACACCAGAUCGCUCCCUCCGCCCCCCUUGCACCACUCCUCUCUGUUCCCCAUCAGCCCGCCCGCCCAAGCGCUGCUCCGCCACUCGCCCUCUCUCUCUCCUCCGACCGCCCUCUCCCUCCGCCCUCCUCCGGCCUUCGAAGCUCCCCCCGCUCCCCCUUCACCAGUCAUUUUUCUCCCUCUAUCCUGCGCGGCGGCGGUGCAUCUACCACGGAGGUCGCGAGAGGGGUGAGUUUGUUCAUUCCUUCUCUGUCUCACAGCCAUAUCAUUGAUCUUGCUCGCUCUAGCGCUAAUUUCUGAUUUGGAAAAGUAGAUCCUGAUUAAACUUGGUAUAGAUUUGUGGUGCACGCAUGGAAUUGUUUGAUGCUACUUGAGGAGGUAAUAAGUCUUUCUAGAGGCCCAAAGAUUCAGUUCACCUUUCUAGGUAUUUCAGUUUCAGGCUUGCAUUAUUUCUAGAGGCCCAACGAAUAAGUUCUCCUUUCUAGGCAUUUCAGUUUCAGGCUUGCAUUAUUUCCAGAGGCCCAAAGAUUCAGUUCACCUUUCUUGGUAUUUUAGUUUCAAGCUUGCAUUAUUUAUGGAGGCCCAAAGAUUCAGUUCACCUUUCUAGGUAUUUCACUUUCAGGCUUGCAUUAUUUCUAGAGGCCUGAAGAUUCGGUUUGCAGUCGUCGGCAAGUGGCCCUGCUACCCAUGCCGGUGUCGACCUCAACUCGCAAGCGCCAGCGUCGGAGGGGUUCCCAGGGCUUGGGCUAUACAGAGCCUUCCUCCAGAGCGACGACGACGAGCUCCUAGUUGGGUGCGUGAGGGGCUCUGGGCUCCCUCCCUAUCGUGAAUGACUUCCGUGAUGAGUUAGCUCAUGCUUUGUUUCAUGGAGUGCAUUUUUUGUGAAGCUUGAUUGACAACUUGUAUGCUUAAGUGGGAUAUCUCAUUUGUAUGGACAAAGUAAAAUUUAUCAUGUUUUGCAUGCUUGAUUUGUAAAGAUGGUUCGUUUAUGUCAAUUGUGAGCGGGAGGAGGCCACACAAGAGCUGGCCACACCAAAUCCGGUAGGAAAUAGGGUCCAAAGUAGUCAAAUGAUUGAGAAAUAACAUUUAUUGUCAAUCUAACCCUGUCAUCCAUACACCUCUUUGGUUUAGAGUUAGUUCAGGGUUAGAAUCUAACUCUAACCUCUAACUGAGUUAGAGUUCUCCUCAUCUCGGUUCAUCAUCAUCAUACUUUCCCCAUUCAUGUGUUUUCAGUAUCCUACGAAUCAAAGAGGCCCUUAGACUGGUUUAGGUCCGGUCGUUUUUAUAAACGUGUUAUGUCCAAAAUUUAAUGAACGUGUUGCAGUUUCUACGAAAAUAAUCCGGUUUCAUGUAGUAAUUUAUUUAUUUAUUUAUUCUUCUGCAAGGGGUUUGCAUGUAAUUCAUGAGGUCUGAAAUGUAAAGUACCCCAACAUAUGCUCUGAGUCAUGCAUGCACUACGACCCAGAUGCUCUAUGUCCCACAUGUCGGCGAAAGGGGCAUGUGGAAAUAGACUACGAGUACAUAUAGGAGGAUAAAUGCGUGAAAAAAUAUGUAUGGUGAAGCGUAGCUGUGGUUCGAAAAGGAGACCUAAAGUGAUGAUAGGUAUAGGUCGCACGCACCCAACUAGUGGUACUAGACAUACGACUACUUUUUCCCUAAAAAAAGAGGUACGAGUGCUUAGUACUCCUAUUCUAUCAACACGAGUCCUAUCCGACAAUAGCGUCCGUGCUACAGCUAGCUCUUGCCCCUCGUUUCUCUCUUCUAAUUCUAAACUCAGCCGACGCCCCAUGGGCGGGGUGGGGCUUUGCCGAUGGUCGGUUUGCUCAACUGCGGCCCCACCUCAUAGUGAAAAUGUUACAACUAGAAUAAAAAUGCCAUAUACUCUCUCCGUUCCUAAAUAUAAGCCUUUUUAGAUAUUUCAAAUGGAAUAGAACAUAUGGAUGCAUGUAGACAUAUUUUAGAGUGUAGAUUCACUCAUUUUGCUCCAUAUGUAGUCACUUGCUGGAAUCUCUAGAAAGACUUAGGCCUCCUUUGGUUUGGAGGAUUUUUGUAGGAAUUUCAUAGGAUUGGAUUUUUGUAGGAAAAAUUCCUUUAGAGCCCUUUGGUUCGUAGGAAUGGAAUCCUAUUCCUAUGGAGGAAUUCUUCCUAUCCUGCACAUUUCAUAGGAAAAUAAACAUUAGCCUAGACUCAAUGGAAAAAAUUCUAUGAAGUGAAUCAAACGACAUCUCCUUUCCUAUUUCUACUCAUAGGAUUUGAGAUGCAUGUCAUCUCAUUUCCUAUGACUUUUCUAUUUCUAUGAUUUCCCUACCCUAUGAACCAAAGGAGGCCUUAUAUUUGGGUACGGAGGGAGUACUAUACUAAUAAAACAUUAAGGCCACGAGGCGAUGUGAUACGUCUCCAACGUAUCUAUAAUUUUUGAUUGUUCCAUGCUAUUAUAUUAUCCAUCUAGGAUGUUUUAUAUGUAUUUGUAUGCUAUUUUAUAUGAUUUUCGGGACUAACCUAUUAACCUAGAGCCCAGUGCCAGUUUCUGUUUUUUCCUUGUUUUUGAGUAUCGCAGAAAAGGAAUAUCAAAUAGAGUCCAAUUGACAUGAAAAUUUACGGAGAUCAUUUUUGGACCAGAAGAAGCCCAUAGAGCAUCGGAGAUGGAACAGAAGAGUCCUGAGGCCUCCACGAGGGUGGGGGCGUGCCCCCUGCCUCGUGGCCACCUUGUGGACCCCCCUGACUUGUUCCCGACGCCAACGCCUCUUAUAUAUCCCCAAACUUCCAGAAAAUAACCUAGAUUGGGAGUUCCGCUGCCGCAAGCCUCCGUAGCCGCCGAAAACCAAUCUAGACCCGUUCUGGCACACUGCUGGAGGAGGGAAUCCAUCACCAGUGGCCAUCAUCAUCAUCCCGAUGCUCUCCAUGAUGAGGAGGGAGUAGUUCACCCUCGGGGCUGAGGGUAUGUACCAGUAGCUAUGUGUUUGAUCUCUCUCUCGUGUUCUUGAUUCAGCAUGAUCUUGAUGUAUUGCGAGCUUUGCUAUUAUAGUUGGAUCUUAUGAUGCUUCUCCCCCUCUACUCUCUUGUAAUGGAUUGAGUUUUCCCUUUGAAGUUAUCUUAUCAGAUUGUGUCUUUAAGAAUUUGAGAACACUUGAUGUAUUUCUUGCAUGUGCUUAUCUGUGGUGACAAUGGGAUAUUCACGUGAUCUACUUGAUGUAUGUUCUGGUGAUCAACUUGCGGGUUCCGUGAUCUUGUGAACUUAUGCAUAGGGGUUGGCACAGGUUUUCAUCUUGACUCUCCGGUAGAAACUUUGGGGCACUCUUUGAAGUUCUUUGUGUUGGUUGAAUAGAUGAAUCACAGAUUGUGUGAUGCAUAUCGUAUAAUCAUACCCACAGAUACUUGAGGUGAUAUUGGAGUAUCUAGGUGACAUUAGGGUUUUGGUUGAUUUGUGUCUUAAGGUGUUAUUCUAGUAUGAACUCUAGGAUAGAUCGAACAGAAAGAAUAGCUUUGUGUUAUUUUACUAUGGACUCUUGAAUAGAUCAAUCAGAAAGGAUAACUUUGAGGUGGUUCCGUACCCUACAAUAAUCUCUUCAUUUGUUCUCCACUAUUAGUGACUUUGGAGUGACUCUUUGUUGCAUGCUGAGGGAUAGUUAUAUGAUGCAAUUAUGUUAUUAUUGUUGAGAGAACUUGCACUAGUGAAAGUAUGAACCCUGGGCAUUGUUUCAACGCAUUGCAAUACCGUUUUACUCACUUUUAUCAUUAGUUACCUUGCCAUUUUUAUAUUUUCAGAUUACAAAAACUUAUAUCUACCAUCCACAUUGCACUUGUAUCACCAUCUCUUCGCUGAACUAGUGCACCUAUACAAUUUACCAUUGUAUUGGGUGUGUUGGGGACACAAGAGACUCUUUGUUAUUUGGUUGCAGGGUUGUUUGAGAGAGACCAUCUUCAUCCUAUGCCUUCCACGGAUUGAUAAACCUUAGGUCAUCCACUUGAGGGAAAUUUGCUACUGUCCUACAAACCUCUGCACUUGGAGGCCCAACAACGUCUACAAGAAGAAGGUUGUGUAGUAGACAUCAAGCUCUUUUCUGGCACCAUUGCCGGGGAGGCAAGUUCUUGAAGGUAUAUCUUUAGAUCUUGCAAUCGAAUCUUUUAGUUUCUCGUUUUAUCACUAGUUAGUUUAUAAAAGAAAACUACAAAAAACUGGAAUUGAGGUUGUUGAUACGUCUCCAACGUAUCUAUGAUUUUUGAUUAUUCCAUGCUAUUAUAUUAUCUGUUUUGGAUGUUUAAUGGGCUUCGUUAUGCUCUUUUAUAUUAUUUUCGGGACUAACCUAAUAACCAAAGGCCGAGUGCAAAUUGCUGUUUUUUUUGCCUAUUUUAGUGUUUGGUAGAAAAGGAAUACCAAACAGAAUGAAACCUUCGGGAGAGUUAUUUUUGGAACAAACGCAAUCCAGGAGACUUGGAGUGGACGUCAAGGAAGCGACGAGGCGACCAUGAGGUAGGAGGGCGCGCCCAGGGGGGUAGGCGCGCCCCCACCCUCGUGGGCCCCUUGUGGCUCCACCGACCUAGUUCUUUCGCCUAUAUAUACUCAUAUACCCCGAAAACAUCCGAGAGCACCACGAAACCCUAUUUCCACCGCCGCAACCUUCUGUACCCAUGAGAUCCCAUCUUGGGGGACUUUUCUGGCGCUCCGCUGGAGGGGGAAUCGAUCACGGAGGGCUUCUACAUCAACACCAUAGCCUCUCCGAUGAUGUGUGAGUAGUUUACCAUAGACCUUCGGGUCCAUAGUUAUUAGCUAGAUGGCUUCUUCUCUCUCUUUGGAUCUCAAUACAAAGUUCUCCUCAAUUCUCUUGGAGAUCUAUUUGAUGUAAUUCUUUUUGCGGUGUGUUUGUCGAGAUCUGAUGAAUUGUGGGUUUAUGAUCAAGAUUAUCUAUGAGCAAUAUUUGAUUCUUCUCUUAAUUAUUUUAUGCAUGAUUUAAUAUCUUUGCAAGUCUCUUUGAAUUAUCAGUUUGGUUUGGCCUACUAGAUUGAUCUUUCUUGCAAUGGGAGAAGUGCUUAGCUUUGGGUUCAAUCUUGUGGUGUCCUUUCCCAGUGAUAGCAAGGGCAGCAAGGCACGUAUUGUAUUGUUGCCAUCAAGGAUAAAAAGAUGGGGUUUAUAUCAUAUUGCUUGAGUUUAUCCCUCUACAUCAUGUCAUCUUGCCUAAUGUGUUACUCUAUUCUUAUAAACUUAAUACUCUAGAUGCAUGCUGGAUAGUGGUCUAUGUGUGGAGUAAUAGUAGUAGAUGCAGAAUCAUUUCGGUCUACUUGUCGCGGACAUGAUGCCUAUAUACAUGAUCAUGCCUAGAUAUUCUCAUAACUAUGCGCUUUUCUAUCAAUUGCUCGACAGUAAUUUGUUCACCCACCAUAGAAUUUGCUAUCUUGAUAGAAGCCACUAGUGAAACCUAUGGCCCCUGGGUCUAUAUUCCAUCAUAUUAUUUUCCUAUCUACUUUCUAUUUAUGCCGCCUUUUAUUUUGCAAUCUUUAUUUUCCAACCUAUACAACAAAAAUACCAAAAAUAUUUAUCUUAUUAUCUUUAUCAGAUCUCACUUUUGCAACUGGCUGUGAAGGGAUUGACAACCCCUUUAUCGCGUUGGUUGCAAGGUUCUUAUUUGUUUGUGCAGGUAUGAGGGACUUGCGUGUAGUCUCCUACUGGAUUGAUACCUUGGUUCUCAAAAACUGAGGGAAAUACUUACGCUACUUUGCUGCAUCACCUUUUCCUCUUCAAGGGAAAACCAACGCAUGCGCAAGAGGUAGCAAGAAGGAUUUUUGGCGCUGCUGCUGGGGAGAUCUAUGCACAAGUCAAGACAUACCAAGUACCCAUCACAAACUCUUAUCCCUCGCAUUACAUUAUUUUCCAUUUGCCUCUCGUUUUCCUCUCCCCCACUUCACCUUUGCCGUUUUAUUCGCCCUAUUUUUCGUUCACUCUUUUUCUUGCUUUUUGUGUGCCCGUUCUUUGUGCAAUUUGAUGCCAUCAUGUCUGAAAUUGGGGAGGUUAUCGUUGAUAAGGAUAGUGGUAAUAACAUGGAAAACUUUUAUGCUUUUGAUGAUCCUCAUGAAGAACCUACUAUUUUACACACUAAAAGUUUUUGGAUUGGUAGCGAUAAUAUUAUUGGAAAAGGAGUUAUUCAAGAUUUCUUUACUUGUGUCGGUGCCCUGCCCUCUAUGGGUGGGUCUAUUCUUCAUAGAACUAGUAGUCUUGCGGAUUCUUUAUCCUCGCUCGUAGUUGAACUUGAAAGACAAUUUAUUCAUAUGCAUCCUUGCAUACAAAGGAUUUUUCUAGAAUUUUCCAAUAUCGAGCAUUCUUUUGUUAAGCGAGCAGCUACUAUCUUUUUGGCACAUGAGUUUAGGUUUAUAAUGAGGGAGGCCAAUGAAUUUUUUGCGCAUUAUAGGGUGGACGCUGGUCGUCAUCCCAUAGAAGCUAUCCUUUUUAAUCAAGAAGACUUAAUGCGUUUACGAUCUUUAGAUCAUGUUGCUUACAAUGAAAACCUUAGAAAGAAGGUUCCUACCGAUGUUCUAGUUGAUAGAAUUUCUGAACUCAAUGAUGACUUUGCUAUUCAGAACAAUGGGUUAGGUUUUUAUCUUGAACAAAGGCUCAUGACUUAUUGUCAAAAGAAUGCUUAUAAUGAUGAAUUGGUUGUGCAAUAUAACGGGCCAAAGGAGGAACCCAUACCUCCCGAGCUUGAUCUUGGGGACUUUUGUCCCAUUAAAUUUAGCCCUUUUGAUUACUUUUGCUUGCCACAAAGAAAACUUGCUGCUGAACAUAGGGAAUAUGAGAUGAGUUUCCUCAAUUUGCCCUACCAUUAUUAUGAUAAUACCUAGAUCUAUUCUUGUUUUUAUGCCUAGCUAGGGGCGUUAAACGAUAGCGCUUGUUGGGAGGCAACCCAAUUUUUUUGUUUCUUGCUUUUUGUUCCUGUUUAGUAAUAUAAUUCAUCUAUCUUCUGUUUAGAUGUGGUUUUAUGUUUUUAAUUAGUGUUUGUGCCAAGUAGAACCUUUGGGAAGACUUGGGGGAAGUCUUUGCAAUCUUGCUGUAAAAAAAUAGAAACUUUAGCGCUCACGAGAUUAGCUGCCAUGUUUUACUGGAGAGUGCGAUUAGCUUUAUUAUUUUUGAAGAUGAUUAAUAGAAAAAUUCCUCAUGUCCACCAAUUUAUUUCAGAAUUUUUGGGGUUACAUAAGUAUUCGAAACCUACAGAUUACUACAGACUGUUCUGUUUUUGACAUAUUCUGUUUUUCGUGUGUUGUUUGCUUAUUUUGAUGAAUCUAUGGCUAGUAUCGGGGGGUAUGAACGAGGAGUUGGAAUACAGUAGGUUUAACACCAAUAUAAAUAAAGAAUGAGUUCAUUACAGUACCUUGAAGUGGUGGUUUGUUUUCUUAUACUAAUGGAGCUAAUGAGAUUUUCUGUUGAGUUUUGUGUUGUGAAGUUUUCAAGUUUUGGGUAAAGAUUUGAUGAAUUUUGGAAUAAGGAGUGGAAAUAGCCUAAGAUUGGGGAUGCCCAUGGCACCCCAAGGUAAAAUUCAAGGACAACCAAAAGCCUAAGCUUGGGGAUGCCCCAGAAGGCAUCCCCUCUUUCGUCUUCGUCCAUCGGUAACUUUACUUGAGGCUAUAUUUUUAUUCACCACAUAAUAUGUGUUUUGCUUGGAGCAUCUUGUAUGAUUUGAGUCUUUGCUUAUUAGUUUACCACAAUCAUUAUUGCUAUACACACCUUUUGGAGAGACAUACAUGAAUCGGAAUUUAUUAGAAUACUCUAUGUGCUUCACUUAUAUCUUUUGAGCUAGAUAAUUUUGCUCUAGUGCUUCACUUAUAUCUUUUUAAGAGCAUAGUGGUGGUUUUAUUUUAUAGAAAAUUUUGAUCUCUCAUGCUUCACUUAUAUUAUUUUUAGAGUCUUAUAGAACAGCAUGGUAAUUUUCUUUGGCUAUAAAAUUAGUCCUAAUGUGAUGGACAUCCAAGUUGGGUAUAAUAAAAACUAUCAUAUAAAGUGCAUCGAAUGCUAUGAGAAGUUUGAUUCUUUAUAAUUGUUUUGAGAUAUGAAGAUGGUGAUAUUAGAGUCAUGCUAGUUGAGUAGUUGUGAAUUUGAGAAAUACUUGUUCUAAAGUUUGUGAUUCCCGUAGCAUGCACGUAUGGUGAACCGUUAUGUGAUGAAGUCAGAGCAUGAUUUAUUUAUUGAUUGUCUUCCUUAUGAGUGGCGGUCGGGGACGAGCGAUGGUCUUUUCCUACCAAUCUAUCCCCCUAGGAGCAUGCGCGUAGUACUUCGUUUCGAUAACUAAUAGAUUUUUGCAAUAAGUAUGUGAGUUCUUUAUGACUAAUGUUGAGUCCAUGGAUUAUACACACUCUCACCCUUCCACCAUUGCUAGCCUCUCUAAUACCGCACACCUUUCGCCGGUAUCAUACACCCACCAUAUACGUUCCUCAAAACAGCCACCAUACCUACCUAUUAUGGCAUUUCCAUAGCCAUUCCGAG